CAUUGGGAAGCUUCCAAUCAAAAUGGUAGAGCAGAUUUGCAAGUAAAAGCUCUACACUGGCAAUACCAUACGACAUACCAGGACACAUCCUCCGUCCAGCACCGAAUGGAAUAAAUUCAAAGUCUGUUCCUUUAUAGUUAAUUGAACUAUCGCAAAAUCUCUCAGGAUAAAACUUCUCAGCUUCAGCCCAGUAAUUUUGAUCUUGUCCUAUUGCCCAUACAUUAACUAUGACCCUAAAUUUGGCAGGUAUGACACAUCCGUUAACCUCACAGUUCACUUGGCAUUCUCUUGGAAGUAGCAAAGGACCUGUAGGGUGCAAUCUUAGUGUCUCUUUGAUAACUAGUCUGAGGUACUUCAACUCAUGAAUGCCUAAUUCAUCAACAUCUCUUCUACCAGCAAAGACAUGCCUCACCUCUGCUUGUGCCCUUUUCAAUACUUCAGGGUUUCUUAAUAAUUCUGACAUUGCCCAUUCUACAACUGUAGAUGAGGUUUCACCCCCGCCGAGGAACAUAUCCUGAAAUAGCUAGGAUUAUUAAGUUUCAAUUAAGCAUGCACAAAAGGCUGAUUUUGUGAGUGUCAACAUUAUGAUCACACAGCCAAAAUAUAGAAAAGAGACAAAACGAAGCAAUUGACUAUAAAGGAACAGACUUUGAAUUCACUAACCAGAAUAAUAGCUUUGAUGCUGCUGGUUGAUAAGGGAACUUCAAGGUCUCCAUGAUCCUGAAUAUCCAGAAGGACUUGGACGAGAUCGUCUGCUUCACUUUCUCCUGUCCUUGUUGAUAAUUUUGUAGCUCUAUGUUCCUGAAUGACGCUUUCCAGAAUCUCAUCUACCUUGUUAUGCAGUUUUUUAAUUUUAGGCCUCAUGGCAUUGAUCAGAUGGAGCAAUUUAACGGAAGGAUAGACAUCAACAAUACUGAGACCUCCAAACAACGCUAUAAUGUCUGGGAUAUGUUUCUUGAAUGCAUCCUGGUGCUUACAUUUCCCACCAAAGGCUGUUCUGGAGAGUAUGCUGAGUGCUGAAGAGUACAAGAAGUUCUUAAGGUUAAUAGGCGAUCCUGCUUUCGAUGAGAUGGUUCUUACUAAAUUAGAUAUUUCUUCUUCCCUGAUUGGUCUAAAUGACUGAACUCGUUUCUUACUUAACAGCUCCAGCACACAAAUUUUGCGUAUUUGUCUCAUGUAAUCUCCACGGGCAAAUGCAAUAUCUCUAAAGUUGUAAGUUAUGAACUGUGCAGCAUAGAGAUAAGGCCUCUCAGAGAAAACAGAGUCGUGGGUUUUCAUCACCUGUUUAGCAGCUUCUGGUGAAGAAAUCACAACAGUUGAUACUUCCCCAAGUUGCAGAAGCAUCACUGGACCAUACUUCUGAGCCAAUCGGGCAAGGCAGCGAUGAGGUUGAGUCCCAAUAAGAAGGUGCAAGUUUCCUAUCAGAGGUAAUUUUGGAGGACCAGGUGGUAGCGUUGAUGGAAGGCUACUAGAUUUGGUAUUCGUCCAUGUCCUCAAAGCCCUGAAUGUGACGAACAAAAGGGUAAGAAGGAAUAAGAGAAAGGGAAGUUGGUUUUCCAUGCGAGCAAUGGGAAAGAAUUAAAUGGAGGGGAAAUUUCCUUUAUUGAUUAUGAAUCUCCUCUCUUACUUGGAAAUUGCGGUUGGAGGGAUGAGACUUGGGGUGAAACUAUGGGGAAAACGCAGUGCCGAAAGUAUUUAAUUUGCUGUUAGUGGCCUCAUUUCAUAUAUCUUGUCAACAGCAGAACAGUGCUGUUAUUGAUAUUUGCAUGUUAUAUGUUCCAACCAAAUGGCCUUUUGCAUUUUUUUUUUUAUAAUUAGAUAAAAGAUUCAAACUUUACUCUUUAAGUAAGGGAUAAUGCACCAACUAAUAAGUUAAAUGUUGAGGUACAUCUUUUACGUUUUGUUUUACUAGAAUUAGCAAAACCAUAAUGGAAAAAUGUAAAUUUUGUUUGAUAUAAUGAGAAAUAUUUACUAUUAUAAAAAUAAAUGCUAACUUUCCUACCAAUAAUUGUGAACAAGCAAAUUGUAACUACUAUAUAAUGGAAAGCUAAAGCUUUUCUUGUUUAGCUGGCUUAAAGAUUUACACGUGAAACUAUUGAAAAAAAGAGGUGUAAAGUUAUCUUUUUCAAUCUUAAGAUUUACCCAUGGCUCGACUUGUGGACCAGAAGAAUAAAAUCCUGGUGUUAGUCGUGCCCCACAGCUGUUGCACCAUGGAAAAGAUUAAAGUCUCUAUCAUUUGCUAUUUUUUAAUAUUGUGUUGUCAGUUUUUUAUUCAACUUUGCAGUUAGUGUAAUAUUUUUAUUGGGGUAGUUUGGCUACGUGUUAUGACAUUAUAGGCCACUAAGUACUAGACACAUCACUUGGUAUUUUAUGAUUUUUUGUCUCUUGUAAUGAGAAAUAUUAUAUUUGCAUAAUCAAAAGUGAGCUGUGACUUUGCAAGGCUUCUGCAAUUCUUCUCAUCUCUCACGUGUUUUUGGUUUUUUAUAUUUUAUGUUUUUCUCUCUCUUGUAAUUAGAUGUACUAUAUUUGUUUAAUAAAAAGUGAGCUGUGACUUUGCAAGGCUUCCUGCAAUUCCUCUCAUCUCUCACGUGUUUUUGGUUUUUUGUUAACUCAGUGUUUCUCGUUCAACUUGUUAAUUACUCAAUGAAUUCAUAACCUUUUGAUUUUUGAACAAUUGUUUGGGAAAUCUUUCUCCAAAAUUGAGCAAGUGAAAAAGAUAUUAAAUAGCUUGUCCAAGUCAUGCCAGGCCAAGGUGACCAUCAUAUCAAGAGUUCAGAGUCUUCGUAUGUUACAGUUAGAUAAGUUUACUGAGUUCUCUUUUAACCUGUGAGAUGAAUCAUGAGAGGAUUCCAUUUAAGAAGAUGAAUCAUGAAAGUUUGGUUGUAGAUAGAAAUCAUGAGGAGAUAAAGCAAUGUCCAUGCUAGACAUAAUAGGAUUCAACAAGUUCAUGCGAAAGAAACAAAACCUACGGAAGCAAAAGAAGAAGACAAUGAUCGAGACGUGGAGUGAUAGUGAGAAUGAGAUCUUCGAAGAUGUGGCCUUUAUCUCUCAUGAGUUGUGAUUCAAUUUCACAUACAUUUGAUGCGUUCUCAAAUUGAAAAUAUGAAUCUAGUUAUUCAAAACUUUAAAAAAAAAAAAUUUGAAAGUUUAAUACAAUUUCAAAAAGGGUACUUGAUAAAUUUUUUACAAGUAAUAAAAAUAAUGAAUCAGAAAUUAUUAAAGAAAUAUUAAAAUAACUUGAUUAUAAAAGUUUAAGUAGAAAUUUUCAUCUAAAAAUGCUAGAAUAAUAAAAUUUUUUUAAUUUUAAUAAAAAGGACCUCAUUUGAAUAUUUUACUUUAAACUUUUUAGGUUAUUGAGCCGUCUCUAGUAUUUGAAAUAUAAGAAAAUGAUCACCUCUUAACUUAUUUUUGAUAACUAAACGAGAUUGAGUGUGCCUAUAUAAAAUCGAAACAUAAGUUUAUAAUCCAUGAAUAAUAGUUGUUUAAAGUUGGUAAAAUAUCAAGACCAAAGAUUAAACACAUAAGCACAUCCAAUGCUUUAGCUAAUUACAAAUUUCCAAACAUAUCAAGAAUAAUUAAGCUACAACGUUCUUGAUUAAGCAUAGAUCAUUCCAGGUAUAAAUGAUAGCCAAUCAACUCAAGUUGCGGAGAACAGUUAACAACUUAAUAGAUAUAGACAGGAUGCUUUAUUUUUUUUAUUUUUAAUAAUUAAAUUACCCCAUUUUUUAAUUGAAUUUACAUAAUUUAAUUAUAUUUAAUUUUGCAACUUGUUUUUGGAUCAUUCGAACAGAGUUACAUUUAAUAUGAGUCUCAUCUGUCCUGUCCAUCAUUUGAGGCUCGUGUGACUCAAAUUGUAAGAAGUACAUAUUAAAAAGAGUCUUAGUAAAAUGAAAUAGAAUAAUUCUAAAAAAAAAAUCUUAAUAAAAUUUCAAAAAUGCCAAAAAUGACAAAAAAAAUAUAACGUUUACAAAGAAAUAAAAGUACAAAAAAUUAGAAAAAGAAAGACGAAAAUAAGAGAAAAAACAAGGAUUGCUGCCCUUCCUCCAUAUCUUUCUCCACUACUUUGUGCCGACAGGUGAGAAAAUCCAUAAGAAAUCAUUUGAAAGUUGGGUAGUAUUUAAUUAUUUUGUUUAUAAAAAUAAACAUAUAUAGUAUUUAAUCAUAUAAAUCUCCUUUUCUUUUUCCGUAUGGGACAUGAUUUUAUGUUUAAACUUUCUUGCUAAAGGACAAAAUUAUUAGUUUAAAGGUCCUUUUAUGGAAGGUGUUUAAAGGUCAGAGUCAAAGUCUGAAUCUUUAAAUUAAGUUUAAAAAUUUUACUGUAUAUGAGUUUCAUCAAAUUUUAUAUUUUAUAUUAAUUUAUUGAUUUAUUUAUUUUAUUUAUAAAAAUGUCAAAUUUUAUUACUGAAAAUUUUAAAUAAAUUUUCUUAAUUAAUAAUAAAAAUACACAUAAAUAUAUGCAAAUGUCAUCAUGAUUUAUAAAAGUAAUAAUUUUAUGUCAAAUUACUUUUAUUUUGGGUCAAAUAAACUCUUAUAACUUAUGGUUAACUAACUAUCUUUAUUAAAAAGUCACUUGUCAUUCUAUGUCACAUGGUAGUAAUAUGAUAUGUUAACAUGUUAUAAUUGAUAAUGAUAUAACAUGCUGAUAUAGUAUGAUGGUAUGAUCAUGUGACAUUUUCAUCAUCCACGUCAACAUCAUAUUAACGCCACGUGAGUAUAAAGUAAUAGGCAACAUUUUGACUAAUAGUAAUUAGUCAACCAUUAGUCAUAAGAGCCUAAUUGACCUAAAACAAAAGUAUAAGAGAUUGAUUGAAUGGAAUAUAAAAAAAAGAGUUUGUUCAAUUUUUUUUAAAGUAAUUUAAAAACUUUUUAAACUAUUAUGCCCUAUAUGAACUUAUUUUCUAAAGUUGAUAACCAAUAGUAAAACACUAGAUUACAAGUAAGAAUGAAUAGAAAAGAGGGGAAACAGUUUUCCAUGAGAGAUUUGGGUUGGAUUUUCAAGAAUAGGCGACUACUCGAAGGUUUACAAAUAUUUGGUUUCAUUACUUUCAAACAUACGUUGAUGUUAGUUUUCAGUUUAUUUAACAUUUUAUCAAUAUAAUGUCAAUUAUUGAAUUUGAUAAUACAAUUAAGUGAUAUUAACUUAAUUGAUUAACUUAAUUUAUUUAAUAUUUAUAAAAAUACACAUAAAUAUGUACAAAUAUCAUCGUGAUCUAUAAAAAGUAAUAAUUCUAUGUCAAAUUAGUUUUAUUUCGGAUCAAAUAAACUUUUAUAACAUACGGUUAACUAACUAUUUUUAUUAAAAAGUUGUUAUUUUAUAUCACAUGUCAUAAUUGAUAGUGACAUGGUAUGUUGAUGUGGUAUGAUGAUAUUAUCAUGUGACAUUUUUUUCAUCCAAGUCAAUAUCACAUUAACGCCACAUGGGUAUAAAAUGAUAGACGAUGUUUUAACAAAUGACAAUUAGUCAACCGUUAGUCAUAAGAGCUUAUUUAACUUAAAAUAAAAGCAUAAGAGAUUGAUUGGAUGAAAUAUAAGAAUAAGAGGUUUUUUUUUUUCUAAUUAAGGGAACAAGGAUUCGAAUCUUACUCUUUAAGUAAGGCAUCAUGUACCAACUAGUGAGCUAAAUGCUCAAGUGCAGAAUAUAAGAAUAAGAGCUUGUUCUUACUCAUGAUGCAAGCUAAGGGUGAGAACGAUCCUAAGCUUAAGAGAUCUUUUGAUGAUUGUGGGUAAGGUCAAUGUGCCACUCACACAACUAUAAUGAUUGUUCAUGUGAGGUGAACUAGAUGGUAGUGAGGACUUUAACCACUACCCAUCUAAAGGGGGUGGGACCACUUGAUAAAUCGUGGAUGAGGCUGAGGUGCCAUUCACGAGAGCUUGCUAGGAACUCGAAAUAGUGGAGGUUAAACCACUAUUUGUCAGAACAAGGCAGACCCAUUCAUAGAUGGAAUGUUAUGAUGAAUGAGUUUAAUGAGUUUAAGGAAUGAUUGAAUGAGUAUUGAUUGAUGACUUAUGUUUAAAUGCUUAUUUUAUGAUAAAUGAUUAUCGAAAAUGUUAUUCACAUUAUAAUAUGGUGAUAUUGGUUUGGUUAGAUAAAACCUUAGCUUAAGGAAUAAUCCUAUAAUUUUGGAAAGACUUAUGAAUGGUUUAGGUUCAAAACAUUGCCUAGAAAAUUGAAUUUUGUGGAAAAAGUAUCGAUACAUGUGGAGCAUGUAUCGAUACAUUUUCAACAGAAUGCUACAAGAGGUGUUCUGUGUGAAAUGUAUCUAUACACUCUCAAAAGUAUCGAUAGAUUUCUUGCAUGCAUCGAUAAGUUUCAAAAUGUAUCAAUAGAAUUGUUGCAAAAAAUGAUUUCUAAGUGAUUUUAAAGAGGUUUUCCAGGAUAAAUGAGUUCUAAUGUUUUAAGCAAAGUUGUUUUCCAUUCAAAGUUAUUUAAAGGAUGUUUUAAAUGCUAUGUUACAUGAUCAUUUUGGUAAUGAUGCUGAAUUUAUGAAUCAUAUGUAUUUACAAUUGCGUGGUGUCACAGCCCAAUUUUCGGGCCAUGACUAGCGCAUAGGCCCAAUGGGCAUAGCCCACAAGCCCAAGCAAGUCUCUUUAUGUAAUCCCUGAUCGUCAUUUCAACAAUCAUUCCUAAAGUCACAUUUCGUAAUUCUCAACUAUAAAAUAUUCAGUGAUAUACUAUGGCAAUCAAAUACUUACAUUUAGAUCAUCCAAAAUAAUAUCAUCCAUUGCCAACUCAUAGUGGCAUCAUCAAUCAAAAUAUAUAUACAUUGUUUAUACUAUGAAUCCUAGUGAUUUACAUCACAUGUAUGUAUACACAGGCAAAAGACUAUUGACUACCAGCGGAGUGACUUUGGGUGAAGGUACAACUACUGAAUGCCAUGGUACUUACCAAAAAGAUGAAUAUAUGUGGACACCUCAAUCUAGGUCCCAACUGCCUCUGAAUCUGAAAAUAUGAUGUUUAAAAGAGUGAGUAUAAACCUAGUGAGUGAACAUAGGAAGAGAACAAGCAAACGAUACGGAAAGUUAUAGAAAACAUGAUGCACUUAUGUUAAAAACAAUGCAAUUUAGCUUAAUUUCUUGUAAAGCCCCUUAAUUCAACCUUUGGUUAUUUAAUCCCUUAGAGUGAAGGAUCUAUGAUCAACAACGAAGUUGAAAAGAGUGAAAACUACAGCAAAUAUCCAAGCAAGAUAGGUAAGGCAGAGAGUUUGUCGUUGGAUUGAAAAUCAAUUUGGAAACAAUUAACAAUUUCAACAUUCAACAUUCAUUGCAAUCACAUAAUAUUUUCUCUAGCAUUUCCAUGGUAUGUGUAAGCAUGUAUACAACCAUCGGCUCAUUAGCUUAUGUGCACUCUCACACCGCACAUAGUUAGAAUCACCUGUCAUCAUCGGCAUGUGCACUCCCACACCACACACGCGCGGUUAGAAUUAUCACACAAUAUUAUUAUUCAAAGCAUAACAUAUAUAUCUUCAGAAUAUAGGAACUCAUGGGUUCAUCACAUUACACAUUUUACAACAUAAAACGUUUCAUCAAAGGUUUGUUCCCAAGCAUGAUUUAGAGAAAAAAAAGUCAAAUAUAAUCAUUUAAGUGCUUCAUCUCAACACAUAUGUAUUUCUCAGAAAUAAUUUAAUGCAAGUUCACUCACUUGUCCUUGUUGAUUGUUUUGAUCGACUAUAACUUCAACUAAUUCUCCAAAUGGACAUGUGGAGCCUCGCUGGAACCUAUCACACACAAUAUAACCAUAAAAAAUAUAACAGCCCACAAAUCUAAUUAUUAGCCAUCUUUAACAACUUAAAAUCAAUCCUAACACAUUUCUCACCUUGGUGGACUUGUAGUUGAAUUUUCUUAGUGAGGAUUAAAAGGGGAAAACUCCUUCAAGAGUUUUCAAGCUAAUUUGAAGUGUUUCCCUCUCUAAAAAAUGUUCAGUAGUGAAAGAAAGUACAAAGAAAAAACACUUUUUUUGAGGGUUUUUAAGGUGAAAAAGUGAAAGAGAAUGAAAAACCCUAUGAAAAAGUGUGCAAAAACAUGAAUUUUGAAGUUAGUAUGUGAAGGCUAUGGAGGUUUUAAGGUUUCUUUCCAUGGAGGAUGAAAAGUUCUGCAAAAAUGAGAGAAGAAAUGAGAGGAAGAUGAAGAAGGUGCUGGAACUUUAUAUAUUUAUCUCUAAAGUCAAUCAAAAUUUCACAUAAUUUAUAAAAAUGCCCUUUUUGUUCUUCUGGUGCAGUACCUUCAUUUUGACAAAGAUUUUGACCACUUUACUAUCAGAACUGGGCAAAGUAGAAAACAUCAAAGUUGUAGCCCUACCUCUUAGCUUUCUAAUGGUAUAAAAAUUAUGUCAUUUGGACUUCUUUAGUGGGAUAUAAUCUUGAAAAACCAAAAUAUAUGCAAAUAAAGCAAUAGUUCAUUAUGCACCUUUCUUCACCAAUUGAAAUUAUUUUUGAUCCUACUCCUAUAAAAACAUAAAAUAAUUAUAAAUAACAUAAAACUAACAUCAUUAACUUAAAAUAAACAUUUAAAUAUAAAUUAAACUAAACUAAUAAAAUAAAUAAAAAUACCUAAAUUAUAUCCUAAAUCUAGUCCAACUUAGACUAAUUAGGUAUUUAAUCUUCCAUUAAAUAUGUGAAUUUGAUGCACUCAUCAGUCUACCUCAAGUCACGCAUCUAUGGAGGUCGAGGUUUCACACAUGGUUACGAAAAACUCUUCCCUUUGGCCUGUCCCCUUCUCCAUAUCCAUUCACAAAGUCUUUGUGACUCACACGUUAUUUUUCGUCACUAUUUUCGUUAUGGAUUAAUGAUAGUAUUUUGUAGUAGCUAGUGUCAUGGAUACAAGUGUCUAGUUUUCAUCCUGUGUUAGAUGUCUAAUAGCCACUUGAUGCCUAGAGGGUCGGUCAUGUUUUGUUGAUGAGUCAGUCUUAUCUUUAUGUUUAUGUUUACGAAUUAUGAACAUGUUAUGAUAAUGCAACCAAUGUUUAGGCACUUUACAUUAUGAAUUUUAUGAUUAAAUGUAUAGAGCUGGUUGGAGAGCCUAAAUGGACAGUUGAGGGCGUUAAUAAAUGUUCAUAUGAUACUGUGCACUGAGAUAGUGACACUUUAAUGUUUUAUUAGAUGUUUCCACAUACAUUGCUUAUAUUGAGAGGUUCUUUAACUGUGUAUGAUGCCUAUGAAUGCAUACUUGUUAUAACAAUGUAUGCUUAUGAAACUUUAUAUAUGCUUUCGAAAUGAUGAAUAUUAAAGAGGCUUACUUAAGCUUAGUGGGCUAUACCCGUCUAGGCCUAUGCACUGGUGAUAUCCCAUCGUAAAAUGGGAUGUGACAAAGUUGGUAUCAAAGCUUUAGGUUCAUAGAGUCCUAGGUUUUCCUUGGUUGUCAACGGAAUGUUUAGAGCCGUAUGUAGGAAUCUUGUUUUUGUUUUAUGUACCUAGGCACAAAUUGAAAAUGGGAGACCUACAUAUAACUCCUUGUUUUUUGACCUACUUUAUGCUUAAGAGUUAUGUCUAGAAUUACUAUGAGUUUAUAGAUUUGAGUCUUACAGUAUAUGAUUGUUGUUGUCUAAAUGAGAUAUGUCGCCUAGGACACGAGCUAGUGGUAAAGAUGCGACAGAGCACGAGGCUCCCGUGGAGACUACUAAUAGACCACAUACACCUACUACUAGAGACCAUGGUAGACGUGACAAGGCUGCCAAUUCGGGGAAGAUAGACAGCCCUGCUUGUAGCUCCCCUGCUUGCUUUUGUUGUUGUUGGUGUUGCUUGAUGCUAGUGCUUUUAUUCAUUCCCCUCAUAACUUAGUUAUAAUACUAAAUAUUUGCGCAAACUUAAAAGUACGAUUUAAAUUGAAAAUUGUUGCAACAUAGCUUAGAAAAAAGUCUCAAUAUGCUUUUGCAGAACUUGCUUAUUCUUGCUUACAAUAUCAAUUCUAUAGCGGAUAAUAAAAGAUAAAAGGUAACUAAAAUUUGUUUAACACAGUUUACUCACUAGGCAAAGGAUGGUAAGGAAUGGGAAUUAAGAAGAGAUCAUUCUUUCUUCUUACAGAUAGGCCAAAACAUUCAGUCAUGUCCAAGUCUUCACAUUUGCUUCCAUUUGGGAGCAUCCAAUCAAAAUGGUAUAGCAAUUGUGCAAGGGGUAGCUCAAUGUUGGGGAGUGCAAAUGAUAUGCCUGGACAUAUCCUCCUUCCAGCACCGAAUGGAAUAUAUUCGAAAUUUGUUCCCCUAAAAUCAAUAGAACCGUCCAAGAACCUAUCUGGGUUAAAUUUUUCAGCAUCUUUCCAAUACCUAGAAUCUCUUCCUAUGGCCCAUGCAUUAACAAUGACUUUAGUCUUUGCAAGUAUAUCAUAUCCACUGAUUACACACUUUUCAUCACACUCUCUUGGUACUAGAAGAGGUGCAGCAGGAUGUAACCUCAAGGUUUCUUUAACUAUUAAUCUCAAGAAUUUCAAUUCAUGAAUACCAGCUUCAUCCACGUUACCUUUUCUAUCAAAAACCUGUCUCACCUCGGCUUGUGCUUGUUUCAUCACCUUUGGAUUUUUUAGCAUUUCUGACAUUGCCCACUCCAUUGUUGUUGAUGAUGUCUCACUCCCAGCCGCCAGAAUGUCCUACAAGAUGAUACAUUAUCAUUAGUUUUUUGCUGUUUAUGUUUUCACGAAUUUUAUAUAAACAUAUUGUAAUUUUCUGAUAGAAACUUAAUUUGAGUUUGAAUGGACAGAUUGUCAACUUCGCUUCAUUGUGCAUACAAUUUUUUAUAAGCCAAAAGUAUUUCAUUAAAGAUGGGUUACUUUAAUUCCGUAACCCUUCAAAAGUUUACAUGUCAGCCUGUACAAAUCACCCUUGUCACCAUGGGCUCCGCACUAUAAACCUAUAUUCUUCCUUCAAGAAAACAAACGCCACAACCCUAAUCAAGCCCAUAUACAGCCGCACUCAUCAGCUCAGAGCAUUGCAAAAACAUGUUAAGCUCAUUGUCCAUACAAUUUAAAAGAUGAUUUUACUUCUGUCCAUAUACGUAAUUGUUCUGAGUGGUGCAUCACCGUUAAUUUAUAUACUAUAAAAGAUAAUUCAACAAAAAUAAAUAAACAUUUCAAGUCAUCAAAUUUGUUUUUAGAUAGCUUUUCAAAAAGCAAAAAAAGGUUUGUUCUUAGAAAGCUUAUGGCUACUAAAGAAGUUAUGAUAGAAGUUGAUCUGUAGAUACAUGAGAGAAAAUGAUACUAACCAAGAUAAUUGCUUUUAUUUUGUCAUUCGUCAGAGGAAUUUCAAGGUCAGAACUCUGUUGAAGUUUAAGAAGAACUUCAAGAAGAUCUUCCUCUCCUUGUUGCUUGCCCAUUUCUGAUGUACUGUUUGUUUUCUCUUUGUGCUCGUUAACUAUGUCUUCAAGUAUCCGAUCAGAAGCCCGUUGCAAUUUCUCAAGUUUAAGCCUUACGCCACUGAUCAGUUUAAGCAGCUCAUUAGAAGGAUACAUAUCAGCUAAGCAGAAACCACCUGCGAGCUUUGUAGUUUCUGUUAUGAUCCUUAUGAAUUCUUCUUGGCCUUUGCUUUUCUUGCCAAAGGCUGCCCUUGAUGUUAUCCCAUAUGUCAUUGAGAAAAUUUUCUCGCUGAGAUUAAUUGGGGAUCCUUCAUUCAAAGAUAUGGUUUUGAUGAGAGCAGAAACUUCUUCUUCCCUGAUGAAUUGAAAUGACUGAACGCGACUUGGACUCAAAAGCUCCAUCGUGCUGAUUUUCCUCAACUGUUUCCAAUAGUUUCCAUAGGGUGAAAAUAUAAUGCCUACAGAAUCAUAUGACAUUAUCCUAGAAGCAAGAAGAUAAGGCCUUUGAGCAAAGGUGGUUGCGUGGUCUUUCAAAACCUCUUUUGCAAUUUCCGGAGAAGAUAUUACAAUGCUGGGAACUUCACCAAGUUGUAGAUGCAUCAAAGGUCCAUGUUUCUUGGCCAAAUCUCUGAGGGUGUGAUGGGGCAGAGAGCUUAUGAGCUGAUGCAGGUUACCUAUGAAAGGAAGUUUUCGUGGUCCUGGAGGAAGCCUUGCUGGGGGGUUGUUGGCUUUCGAUCUUUUCAGAACUUUUAGUACCAUGAACACGAAAAGAGAGGUGAGGAGUAGGGCGGUGAAGGAAGGAAAUUGAAGCUCCAUGAUGCUCAAGGAAAACAGAAGAAAUGCCACUUUUUUUUUCACCCCCCUUGGAAAGAAAGACAAAGAUGCAAGUUUCUCUCUCCUUAGCUAGCUAGAGAAAAGGCCUUCUCUUAGUAGCUCUGAAUUAUAAUAUUUAUGUGGAUACCAUUUAUAUUUAUAGCUAUAUGAUGGAUAUAAUAUAUAUUUAGUUUUUAAGUAUAUAUUUAUUAUGUUUAUUAUACCAUUUACUCUUUGUAGAAUUAUAUAAUUAUCUAAAUAUUUAAUAUUUAAGUAAGUUUUUAAUAAAUUUGUUAUAAAUUGAGUUUAAUAUAUGUUUAUUUUCAAUAUAACUUCUCAUGUACAAAGCACUAUACGGACGUCAGUUUCAUGGAAAGAACAAAGAUUUCAAAUAUAACCAAACUUGCAGCGUACAAGUCGGAGACAAGAGGAAUCUGAAAUGCUUCUUCAAAAUGCAUUGUAUCAGCUAUGUUCAUGCAAUGGCUCCUCUUCACUAGCUUUCCAGCUCACUAUCAAAUUAUUUUAAAAAUAUGAAUCCUUGGGAUUCCUUUUCACACGUUGAUGCCAGCCAAGUUGCUGCUGCAGGAGAUCUGUCGACAUUGUUUCAUGAAAUAAGAAAAAGCAACAAUUAAUCGUUUGCACGUGUGCAUAGGCAUAGAUUAUUCGUUUCCAUUAUCAGUAAAGGUUUUUUUUUUUAAAUAGUACAUUAUCUUUCAUGUCAUUCGAUUUUUCAAAAUUUUUAUUUUAAUCAUUCAACUUUGAAAAAUAUAAUUUUGAUAAUAAAUAUUUAUAAACAUUUGGUUAUUCAAUUGCUAAAAGAUAACAAACUUAGCUUUCUCUUGAUAGUAAGUUACAUAUUCAUAUCAACUACUUUGUCAUCUGUCCAUGCGUAAUAAAAAAUUAUAGCUUACUAAUAGAAAAUUAAAAUAAAGAAAAAAUAAAAACAAAUACAAAUAAAAAAUUAUAUUAAUAAUUUAUUAAUAAAUUGUUAAUAUUUAUAUUUUUAAUGAAAAUAAAAAUUAAAAGAUUAAAAAUAGAAAUAAAAUAAAGAAACAAUAAAAAAAUUAAAAUAAAAAAUCAUAUUAGUAAUUUAAUAAUAAAUUUGUAAUAUUUUAAUAUUUAAUGAAAAUAAAAAGUAAAAAAUAUUAUUGAGUUAUAGAAAUAAAUAAUUUUUUCUAAUUUAUUAAUUUAUAAUAAAGGAAACUUUUUGUUUUGAUGAAAAUAAAUUUUAUUAUAAUAAAAGAUAAUUUGACCAUUUUAUUAUUUAUUCUUCAAAAAUAAGUCAUAAUAAUAAGGCUAAAAUUUUUUUUUAGCCCUCAAGUAUAAGUUGUUUUUAGAAAUAGCCCUCAUCUUAAUUUUAACUGUUUUUAGCCAAGAGAUAAAAUUUUGGGAUAAAAAUACCCUUAAUGAGACUUCUUCAUUGAACUAUAUUUGAUGGCAUGUUUAAAAAUUUCCCACGUAACACACCAUGGUGAGAAUUUGUGACAUGCCAUGGAAGAAAUAUGCAACACGCCAUAGAAGGAAUAUGUGACACGACACUGAGGGAGUAUGUGACACGACACUGAGGGAGUAUGUGACACGCCAUGGUGAGAAUAUGUGACACGACAUGAAGGGAAUAUGUGACACACCAUGGAGAGAAUGUGUGACACGCCAUGGUUAGAAUAUGUGACACGCCAUGGUUAGAAUAUGUGACACGCCAUGUUGAGAAUAGGUGACACACCAUGGUGAGAAUAUGUGACACGACAUGGUGAGAAUAUGUGAGACGACAUGGUGAGAAUGUGUGACACGCCAUGGAAGGAAUAUGUGAGACAACAUGGUGAGAAUAUGUGAGACGACAUUGUGAGAAUAUAUGACACGCCACGUUGAGAAUAUGUGACAUGCCAUAAGGAGAAUAUGUGACGCCAUAAAGGGAAUAUGUGAGACGACAUGGUGAGAAUAUGUGACACCCCAUAGAGGGAAUAUGUGACAUGACAUGGGGGAAUAUGUGACAUGAUAUGCUGAGAUUAUGUGAAACUACUAAUAACUCUAUUAUAUAGAGUUAUUUUGACACAUUUUGAGGGCUUAAGUAGUUAUACUUUCGAGAUUUGAUGUUUGAAUUUUUACAUUUUAGGUGUUUUUUUAGUUUACGUUUGAUUACUUAUUGAGUGGUUAAUUUAAAUUAUUUUACUUUAAUUUUAUAUUAUUUUGUUUUAAAUUACUUUAAGAGUAGUAUUGCUAAUUUCUCUUAUUGCUUUUGUAAGAAAUUUGAUGAAAAUCCUCGUAAGUAUGUUGAUGGCUUCAUUCGUAUAUGUUGCGGUAUUUUGACUAUAUCUUUUUUUACAAAACUCCAAAAUGAAGUAAUUCUUAGACCAUUAGAACGCUAAGAAGAAGGGAUACAACUUUUAUGUUUACCACUUUACCCAGUUCUGGUCAGAUGAUGACAACAAUAUUUGUCUAAAUCAGAGCACUAUAAUAGUAUGCAUGUACUAAAUAUGAUGCAAGCAUAUAUUUCAACCCUAAAGUACAAUUGACGUGAUUCUUAAGCCAUUGGAAAGAUAAAAGAUAGGGCUACAACUUUUAUGUUUGCAAUAUUUCCAAGUUCAGACCAGAUCAUGGUGAACAUCACGUUCAAAUUUGAUAGACUGCCACAAUACUGGAAAACAUGGCCAUGGUGCUGAGCUAAAAUAGCUCACCAUGCAUUUUCCUAAGAGCUCAAAGCCAUAGCGCUAAAGAAGCAGCACCGUGAUGCUACUGUAGCAAACAUGUAGCACCUCAGUGCCAAAAAAUUCAGGCCACAGCGUUGGGAGAUUUUCCAAAAAUAAAAGUUUGAUAGGAUUUUGGAAAUUAGGUUACUUGGAGCCUAUUUAAGGGACCUUUUUUAGAGAAAAGGGAAGGCAGCAAGCAACUAUUCUGGAGAUUUUGAGCCAAGAACAAAGCAAGAAAACAAGAGAAUUUGAUAGAGAAUUAAGAUUGCAAAGAAGCUUUUAUAAUUAGUUUCUUUCUCUACUUUUGUGCUUUUUUAAUUUUCUUUGACUUGAAUUAAUGGCUAAAUUUCUUUGGAUAUUGUUUUUAUUACUUAUUAUGAGCUAAAUUAUCUUUCUAGGAUUGUGGUGGAUUUUUACAUGUGGUUUGAAUAUUAGUUUCUCUUGUAUUUAUCAUCAACAUGUGUAGUUUUGCUUAUUUAAAUCUGUUCUUAAUAUUUUCGAUUGUCUGGCAAACAAUUAACUGAUUUGUUAAUCUAAUUGAGACUUAACAAAGAGAUUUUAGAUUGGACUAAGAUUUGAAUAGUGUAUGUUCAUGUCACUUAGGUGAUUUGAUUCGCGAUUUGAGUAAACAUACACUAAUUGCCAUACAUAGCUAAAUUAGAACGCUAGCUUAAUGAACCUUAUUUAAUUGAUUCCUAUAGACAUAUAGUGAACUAAUUAAGUUAGGUAUUUGUACAAGCAACUCGAUGGAGACUUGUCCAUAGCUUUGCAUUAUAGGUUAGUAAAACCACCCAAAAAAGAUAAAUAAUAAGAAAAGCUGGUAUCAGAUGAAAUGUUGAAUGAACCCAUAAUCCUAGGUCUUUAAUAUACUACUUUUGUCAACUUAUUUAGUUUAUUAGUUUAUUUAGUGUUGAUUUUUAAUUGUUCUUAAUUAGUUUUUCUUCGAUUUUCGGAUUGCUUAAAUAAGAUUAAUUUAUUUUAUAAUUUUAGUACUUAGUGAAACUUUAGAAACAAAUCCUCAUGGGAACGAUACUCUACUUCAUCACUAUAUUACUUGUUAGAUACAUGUGCAAAAUCGACAACAACGACAUGGAAGAAAUAUGUGACACGACAUGGAGGGUUUAUGUGACACACCAUGGAUGGAAUAUGUGACACCGCUUAAAUUUAAAUGGAAAAAAAUUGCAAACAAAUAAGGAAACCGUUCGAAAUUCCACGACAUGCAUAUUAGUGGUUGAGGUGUUUAAAAUGCCAUCACAUUUUAUUUUCAUCAUUUGCAAAUGAUAGUGUCAAGUAAGAGUUUUUGAUUCAUUCUUCAUUCCUAAAGGGACCAGAGUGUUCGACUUCGUUCUGAGCAAAGUCAACGAUAUCACAGCAACAAUGUCGGUUAUGCGUGAAGAGAUCAGUUAAUCAUCAAUUAAAAUUUUCUUUUGUUUUGUGUUUUUUUGCUAGGUUGCUCUAGGAAAUGUUUGGGUUUAUGAUUAUGCUAUGAUAUAUUUUUCCUGUUUUCUUCGUGUUUUUAAGGUUUUUGCCUAAAUUAUGAAGAAAACUACAGCAUUUUUACUUACAUGGUUUAAGGUGGUACUAACAUUUUAGUGGGUCUGCAUAACGUGUAACAAGAAUAAAUUUCUUCGAUCUGGUGUGUAGUGGGUUAACUGCUUUUGUGUCUAGCUUAGCAUUACUUGCAUGGCAUGUAGUAUGUAAAUUGCAUAGUAGGCAUAUUCCCUAGUGUGCAACAAUAUGGGUAUUUUAUUAAUGGCGUGUAACAAAUAAGUAAUUAUACUUGGCGUGUAAGAACAAAAAAAUUGCAUGUUACAACAUUUUACUUGGUCUGAAUAGUGUGUAACAGCAAUAAAUUUCUUCAAUCUAACAUGUAGUGGGUUAAAUGUUUUUGGGGUUUAGGGUAGCAUUACAUGUAUGGCGUGUAGUAUGUAAAUAGCAUAGUCAGCAUGGCAUGGCAUGUAACAACAUAAGUAUUUUGUUCAUGGUGUGUAACAAAUCAAUAAUUAUAGUUGGCGUGUAAUAACAUAUAGGCAUGGUGUGUAACAACAUUUUACUUGGCUUGUUCAGUGUGUAACAACAAUAAAUUUCUUUUAUCUGGCAUGUUGCACAUUAUGGGUUAACUGUUUUUGGGGUCUAUCUUACAUGUGCAUGGGUGCUAUGUUUUGCAAAUGGAGUUCAGAGAGUAUGAUAACCUUGACACUUUGCUUGUUGUGCCGAGGGAGAAAUGGGCCUUCAAGGUCUCCAUUAACGCCCAUUGUAAGUGGUCAGAACUGCAUUACAUAAACAAGAUGCUCCAAGAGAAAGGGAGUACGAAGCAGUCAAGCGUACGUGCUUCGGUCUGCUGCUGGAUAUCUAUCCACAAGGCUACUUUUGCAUUAGUCUGAUACAGAACAUCAUGGUUUGUUGAAUCAUUGAAACCGAGUCAAUAGACCAUGAGUUAUAGUUAUGGUUUGCCAUUGGCAAGAGCAUGGUGCGUUUAUCAAAGCAGCAGUUCUGCCUUAUAACCAGACUGAAGUUUAGCUCACUGCCUAAUAUAUUCAUACAACCAUACGAGGUCACUCCCGAUGAAAUUCAUGCAAAAUACUAGAAUGGGUAGUAGAAUGUUAAGUUGUAGGAGUUGUUUGAUAUGUUCUGAGGAGGCAAGUUUCAACAACCAGGAGAUACAACCAAAAUGGCACUCGUCUUGAUCGUGAAUAAUAUUUUAUUUAGUCAAGACUAUCAAAGAUGGGGUGACACCUUAGCUUUUGGCAUUGGUAGAGGACAUGGACAUUUGGAAUGUUUUCCCCUAGGGUUUAGAGGCUAACUGAGGACUACCUAUUGAAGGGGUUCGAAGUUCCUACCACAAACUUGCAGAAGGAUAAUCGUUUAUGCUACAACCUUUAUGGAUUUGCUAGGACAUACAGGUACUGUCAUGUAGCAUUUUCUAGUUUCCUUUUGAUAUAAAAAUUUAUGGUGGCAGUCGUUUAUCAUUUACGAUAUGAUAAUGGUUGUAAUUAACUUGCAGUUCUGGGCAAUGGAGGCGAUUCCUACUUUAUGAAAAUCAAUUACCCCCUCCAUUCGAAAAGACGUCUUCUACCCAUGCAUGUGUAGAUGGUAAUGCAAUCAGAAGUCGAAGGACUUCUACAAGGCAAUUGAGAAGUUGGAGUCAUCUCAAUAGGUUAGGAAACAACUACUAAUUUGUCCGGUGAAUCUCUAAACUAUUAAGGGUUAUAAUGCAAUGCAUGUAUUUUGCAAUUGCGGGCACAAUGAACCUCGGAGCCCACACUAGAGGAGGCCACACAGGAAUAUCUGUUGGACAUCGAUGCCCCUCUAUUUGAGGGGCUCUAAUAUGUACCAAUAGGGCAGAUGGAGGAUCGAGCAAAAUGAGGUAUUGAUGCGAGAAUAAGGAAGAAAAACUUGAAUGUGAAAAAAGUCGCUGGUCUAGUUAAGCGGAGGUGCACUAUUGCUUCUGGAAAUGAGGAGCACUCAUGUGAGAUCUCGACCUCUAUAGACUCAUAAUUAGAAGUAGACGUAAUAAUACAGACUAAGGGUAAUUUCGUCAUUUCCUCUAACAAGCUCCUAGAAGAAGGUUUUCUAAUAUUUUAAGCUCUAAGUGGGCAUAAGGACUGAAUGAAUGAUGUAUAAUGAUGAAAACAUGAAGAAAACUAGAAGCGAUAAUAAUUUUCAUAAUAGGGGCAAAAUGGUCAUUUUGCACCCCGAGUCAAAGAUUUUAAGUUUUGUGAACUCGAGUACUUUUAGACUAUUAUGGACCUUGUCUCAGUAUCAAAAGAGUAAAAAAAUUGCACAAAGGAUUGGAGGAGAACAAGUUAACUUGCUAAGGGCAUUUUCGUAAUUUAAGUGGAGUUGGAUAAGCUUGAGCUGUAAAAUCAUCUUCCAACAGCUUCUUAUCAUAUUUCCAGCAGCUUUUUCUUCUUCUUCUUCCUCUUAUCUCACGUUGCUUUCAUCCUCUAUGGAACCUUGAUAUGAAACCACCAUAACCUCUCUCAAAAUAGCUCCAAUUUUCAAGCUUUUGUGCACUUUUGCAUAGAACCCUUGUGCUCUUUCACUCUCUCACUUUAAAACCCUUGAAAAAUCUUACUUCCAUACUUUCUCUCACUAACUAGGUGUUUAGAAAGAGAAAAAGGGAGCUUCAUAAUAGCUUGGAAAAUUAUUGGAAAGAAUUUCAAAUUUACAAGCUAUCAAGGUGAGUAGUAAAUUAGAGUUGAAUUUUAAGUCUUGAGAAUGGCUACAGAUUAGACUUAUGAAUGUUUUGUAGUUGAGGUCGUUCAUUCAUUUUAGAGUGAUUAGGAUAGUGAAAAUAGAUAGCCACUUAGAUGGCAAUUGGAAGCUAGUUAAGAGAUAGCUUUUAGAAUUUAUAAGUAUUGGAAUUGACUUAAUUGUGAUGCUAAUGUGAUGAUAGGUUCCAACAAAGCCCCAUCUCCCCAUUUGGACCAUUAGGGAAGUUAGAGUCGACUAAAGAUUCAACAUAAUACCGGUGAGUGAACUUGCAUUAAAAAGGUUUUGGGAUAUGUAUACAAGUAUGUUUGACUGAAUCCCUAAAGCGUUUUAAUUAUUUUGUCUUCAAAACUGGCACGGGAACAAGCCCUUAUGAAAUGUUUUUAUGAUAUGAAAUGGAUUGUGUGAUGAAUCCGUAUGUGUCUGUGUAAUGUUGAUAUAUAUAUACUAUGUCAUAAAUGGUACCAUUGUGUGACAAAUGAAACCGCGCAUGUGCGGGGUGAGUGUGCACCUGCAGGUGAUGACGGUGGUGAGGGAGAUGGAUAGUGAUAGUGCCCGUGUGCACGAUGUGGGGGGAUGCACAUGAUGGCACUAACUGUGCACGAUGUGGGGGGAUGCAUACGAUGACUCUGACUAUGUGCACGAUGUGGGGGGAUGCACAUGAGUUGGGUGAAACGAUGGUGGUAUUGGUGUUUAUCUAUGUAUAUAUGUAUAUAUAUGUUUAUGAAAUAAAAGCUCAUGAAUAUGGUAUAUGGUUGUAAUGCAUGUGAAAAUUUGACAUGUUGAACUUUGGAAAUUUUAAGUGUUUCACGUUGAUUUUGUCAUUUCAGCAGGAUGGCCUUCUUCUUGAGAGAAUGGAAACUUUUCUUUGGUGCCUUGUUUCUCGUUGCAGCGAGAAUGAUUCUCGCUAUAGCGAGAAACUCUCGGGUUUGAGAGGUUUGUUUGACCUGGUUCUCAUUGUAGAGAGAAUGCAUUCUCGCUACUGUAAGAAAUUUGUUGGAGCUUCUCACUGUAGCGAGAUUCAUUCUCGCUACAGCGAGAAACUUUCUGUUUUGGUCGCUUGAAUCUCGCUGCAAAGAGAAAGAAUCUCGCUGCAGUGAGAAACUUUCUGUCCAAUAUGCUAUCUUGCUGGUUUUUGUCAUAUUUUUUCAUUUCAUUUACAUCAUAGUUGUUCAUGGACUCCCAACAUUUAGAGGUUUAUCUAAUUAAGUUUGAAAUGAGGAAUUUUAGAGAGAAACCCUCGGCCAGUGGAGAAACCCUCAUCCAGCUAAUAACUUGAGCCAAAAAUUUUGCUGCAGCUAGAAUGCCUUUCCACUGCAGCGAGGACCCGUUAUUUCAUUUGACUUGCUUGUAUAUCACUGAAGCUUUCAUUCUUCGAAUUUUUGUUAUGUAUGGAUUCAUCAUUAUCAAGUGAUUAACCAUUUAAGGGUUUAAUGAGGGGUUUUAAUAAGAACCAAACUAAAUUGCAUUGUUUUGAAAACAAAUGCAUCAUGAUUUCUUUAAAGUUUCCUUCUCGUUUGCUUGUUCCCUUAUAAUGUUCACUCUCUGAGUUUGUACUCACCGUUUUCAACUUCAUGUUUUCAGAUUAGGAGGCAGUAGGUAACUAGGUCGAGGAGUGUUCGUAGAUUCGACUCUUGGUAGGCGUGCCGGCAUUUAGUAGCUGUACUUUCACCGAAGUCUCUUCGCUGGAAGUCGAGUACUCUUUUGUUGUGUAUAGACAAAACCAAUGUAAAUUAUUAAAAUAUAUGUUUUAAACAAUAUAUGUAUAUUUUGAUUAGUAUGCCACUACGAGUUGGCAAUGGUUAGCGUUAUUUUGCUUCGAAGUUAUGAAAUGUGACUUAGCAACUUUUGAUGGAAUGACGAACAGGUCAUAUUAAUAGGCUUGCUUGGGCUUAGUGGACUACGUCCAUUGCACCCAUGCACCGGUCAUGGCUCAAAAUUUGGGUCAUGACAACUUAGACCCUGAGUUGAUGAAGGAAGGGGAUGACCAUGGCAAUGUGAGUGAAUGACAUUCUUCCCACACCGAUGAGUAGACCCAUACACAUUGACCUCCUCAAUGAUCGAUAGGACGUUUUCAGACGCAUAGUUGCUUUGAUCUGCUGGUAAAGACGGUUUUUGUGGCAUACGAUUAAAAAUUCCAUAUUUGAUUAUUGAAUAACACAGUAAUAUUUGUUAUUGUAGUUGAGCAAGGUGAGGAAAGACAAUGACGGUGUAGUCACAGUCUGUCAGUUGCGACAGGUUGUGAGGAUGCAUAGUGAGACAUGUUGGAGAUGAAGGGUUCUAUUUAGUCAUUGAAGUACGUAAUGCAGACAUUUGAGGACCAUAUUGUUGGUCAGAUUCUUGACAACAUUAAAUUACAAGUCUAUUCUUCUAACUUUGUUCAUAUAUUGAUGGUUUACGUUUAGCAGGCUUAGGCCUAUUGUUUAUUUUGGGUUUAGGGUUUAACGUAUGCUAUGAGUUAAUGGAUUUUUUCAUUUGUCUCUUUCUCUAGGGUGGUGUUUCCUCUCACCAUGAUGGUUCACAGCACGAUUAUGCUAAUGAUGGGCAAGAUGAUGAACUUGGUGUUGGGGUUCGAGACAUUGACCAUGACGUGGUGGGUGCUGAAGUUGACAAUGUACCUCACGUCGAUGAGGUUGUCAAUGAAGCUAUGGAAGGGGAUGGGAAAUUUCAAACAGUUGAUGCUAAAGGAGAACAUGUACCUCAUGCUUAUGCAGUUGUUGAUGAAGUUGUGGGAGGUUAUGUGAACCUUUAAAUAGUUGAUGCUGAAGGAGACCAUGUACCUUAUGCCAAUGCGAUUACUGAUGAAGCCGUAGAAAUGGAUGGGAACCUUCAAUCAGUUGAUGUUGAAAUAGACCAUGUACCUCAAAGCACUCCUGAAGGCAACAUGUCACGGUCAUCGUCACUAGAUUUCUCUUAUGUCCAGUAUUGUGAAUCAUUAAUUUCAAACCCAUCUGAAUGGGCACUGGGACACAAUGGCCAACAAACACAUCGCAAGCCCGUACGUUGACCCGUUGGUGAACCACUAGGAUGUCAAGAACUCGAUGGUGGAAGCAUACAAAGCAUUCAAGAAAGACAAGCAUGCAAGGUAAGCUCAGAAAUAACAUUGCAAAUACUAUUUAUUUUGAAAUUUUAAUUCACCCAACCGUUUGAAUCUGGUAUGUUGCAUGUGCAAGCGUAACGUCGGGAUCUUAAGGGAUCAAGGGCCUAAGUUUUUCAUGUCAUUAGAGGGCCUUGAAGAGAACAUGACAAGUGAAUAAAUUGACGCAUGCCUCAGUGUACUGUGCAAGUGACUUACAUGGUAGAAGUUCAAGUUGUACAACACCUUGUGUAUGCAUGGUUGAUACGAUAUUCGUCGUAAGUUUGUUUGAGCAGUUUUCAAUUUUGAAACUAUGUGUGUGUUUGGGACUACAUGACGUGUAAGUUGAUGUAAAUAUAUUUCACAAGACACCAUUUGUAUGCUAUACACCGUAUAUCCAACUGACCAUAAAUGGUCCAGUAUGAAAUUUCCAUUUGAGUUGCUUAUGUACGUGCAGGGUGACAAGCUAACAUAUGGGAAAAAAAUGGGAAAAUGUCAAUUUCAUCCUCGCUCCUUGUGAUGUGGGUGGGCACUGAGUUGUUGCGAAGAUUGACUUGAUGAAGUGGAGGAUCAAGGUAGUGGACUCCGUAAGAACUUCUGUCGUGAAGGAAACCAAAUUGCGUGUGACUCAAAUGACAUCCCUUACUACUAUGAUGCCUAUACUCUGCCACCAAUCUAGUUAUUUCAAGAAAAGAUGCCGCAAGAAAUAAGAUUUGUCGUUGAUUCUAUUUGAAAUUCAUUUGCCAAAAUCAUUAGUGCAUCGGCAAAAUGAUAGUGUAAGUUGCGGUAUGUUUACAGUAAGGUACAUUGAUGUUAUUUUGCAAUUGGGACCGAUCAGAGUUAGGCAAACAAUGAUUGCAAAUAUGUAGUUGAUAUACACUUAUGAAAUUUUUAGCAAAAGUUGUGAUAGCGAACCCCUCCCUGCACGAUGAACAUAUGGGAAGUUGUAUGUGCAUUUUUUGUACAUAUAUUAACUUUAAUAUACGUACAUUUAAUGCAUUAAUUUUUCAUUUCAAACAUAGUGCCUAUAAUGAUCGCAAGAUGAAAAUUAAUUGGUUGUUUUACCUUCAAGAAGUCAUUUGUUACUAUUGGUGUGUAACAAUAUAAGACUGUAAUGAAAUGGAGUGUCACAACAAGAUGUAAAUGACAUCUAACAAAGCAUGGCAUGCAACAAUAUAAUAUUUCAACAAUGCUGUGUUACAAGAUGUAAAUGACAUCCAAGAAGCCAGGCGUGUAACAAUAUAAGACUUUUGAAAUGGUGUGUCACAAUAAGAUGUAAACAACAUCUAACAAGCUUGGUGUGUAACAAUAUAAGACUUUUGAAAUGGUGUGUUACAAUAAGAUGUAAACGAUAUCUAAUAAGCCUAGCAUGUAACAAUAUAAGAUUGCAAUGAAAUGGUGUGUCACAACAAGAUGUAAACGACAUCUAACUAGCGUGGCGUGUAACAAUAUAAUACUUCAACAAAAUGCCAUGUCACAAGAUGUAAACGACAUCUAAGAAGCCUAGCAUGUAACAAUAAGAUGUAAAUGACAUUUCACAAGCAUGGCAUGUAACAAUAUAAUGCUGAAUGAAAUGGUGUGUCACAAGAUGUAAACGAUAUCUAAUAAGCCUAGCGUGUAACAAUAUAAGACUUUGAACUGGCGUGUCACACUGUAUGAGUAAAAUGAAAUGGUGUGUAAGAAGAUGUAACACCGUAUGAGUAAAAUGAAAUGGCAUGUAAGAACAUGUAAAUGACAUAUAACAAGCCAUGUACGUGUGAUCACAUUACAAUGAAAUCUAGAAAAUAUGAGAAGCAAUUGAGAAACAAAUAUUUUCAUUUCAUACCUCCAUACUUCUGACCAGAUACAAGAACAACAUUUUCUCUAGAUUUACCAUUACAAACUAGAAUAACAAGCUAGAAUAACAAGAUGUUGAAAUAUCAACUUAGUCCAUUAUUAGAUAACAAACACAAAACCAACACAAAAUAUCAAUGUAAGAAACUUUAAAAGGAAAUUAUGAGAAAGAUACUAGACAUGGCUCACACAGUUAGUUAGACCGACUCAUUGUCUUCAUCUACAAGACACCCUACGUUCUCAAACAUUGUUUUUUGUAUUGGAUAGGUGUUGAAUGUGUAACUGGUUUAUCUACAAGUUAAACAUGCUUUCAGUCAUCGUCUUCGUGGAGGUACCAAUGGACCUGAAGAUGGUGCUAGAUUUAUGGAUGGAACUGCAAAUGAGGAUGGGCAAUUUUAUCUAUUAUGCCCAUACCUCUAGCAUUGUGAACGUCUUCGUGAUCAACUACCUUUACCAGUCAAUGGAAUCCUUCUCCUCUUAGGUCUUCCCGCUUGACAUUGCCAAGGUGGUGGCAAAACGACGAUUUCUUUUAAAUGAGGGGGAAUGUCCUAAUCACUAAGAUGCCUAAUUGGUGAAUGGACCCAGCAUAACCCUUUGCUAAAAAGGUUAUCUUGUAGUAGUCUACGCAAAAUUCAAUGACUUCAUGUUUGCACUUACUAAAAAAUCCAAUGAACUCAAUGUUGAAGCACAAUGUAAAAGUUACGUUCAUUACUAAUCAAAUAACAAAUAAAGAUAUUCGUACUUUAUUGCCACAAUGGCAUGGCUACAUGGUAGUAGAUCUAUCUAGAACACCCAACAUGAACACGUUUUCAUAGACAAGUUUACAAGUCCAUCCAUUUUUUCGUCUUUAACUUUGGAAUCCACUUGAUUGAUUAGUUUAACUACAAAGUGAUGUGCAUCAUUGAAACAUUUGCUCAAUUGCUUGGUAGCCCAAGGGCUGAGGGGCAUGGUCACCUUGACAGCCUCCUUGUACCGAUCAUGGAACCAAUGCUAGAAUAUGUCUAUGAUGAACUUGAUCAGAACAAUGAUUGGCAUUUGUCUUGCAUGCUUCAAGCAAGAGUUAACGCAUUUUGCAAUGUUGGAUGUCAUGAGUUGGUAUUGCCUUGCCAGUGACCAUGCACAUCCCUAUCUCUCAAGGCUUAUUCUCAUAAGGUAAGCGUGGGCUCUUACGUGAACCUGCUUAAGUUGGUUCAUAUGUCUAUUGAAAUUGAAAACCUUAUAACAGUCUCGAGCAAGGGUGAAAUCACUAAAGCGUCAUCGUGUUUGAACUUGUCUUUAAAGUUUUUCUUAAAGUGGUAACUACAUAAAUAGUGGUGCAUUUCUGUGUAUGCUUUACGAAUUGCUUUUUUAAUCCUGAUAUGCUGAUUAGAAAUGAACAUAGUGUUUUUAGGACAACCAACUGUAUCAAGUAGGUUGCUAAGAAACCACAUCCACGAGUUUUCGUCCUCAACUCGAUCUAUGCCAAAUGCAACUAGACAUACGCACUCGUUCGCAUCUUUGCAUACAACGACAAACAAAACACCCUUGAACCUACGUUUCAUAUGUGUCACAUCAAUUGCAACUACAGGAUGCAUUACGCCCUUAAACCCCUCGAUACAAGCACCAUAUGAUCUAAACCAAUAUUUGAAUCAUUGUGCCUCAUCAAUAGCCACUGCAGUGAUUGUACUGAGAUUUUUUUGUUCCAGCAUAUAAAACUACGAGGGUAGUAGUUAAAAUGACUCCUCCGGGGGAUCAAAGAAACCUUUUUGCAUAUUCCUUUGCUUGCUAGGCCUUACCAUACAAGCAUUCCAAUACCCACCAAACCCUCAUCUCACCAAUUACGUCCUUAGGUCUCAAUGUUACUUCAUUAGCUUAAAGCUUGUGUGACAUAAGUUCAUUAAUUAUCUUCACACUCGCAGUUUAGAAUCGCCCUUGCAAACCAUCGACAGUCCAUGUGUGCACUUUAUGGAAUGUUCGAACUUGCCAAUAUUCUCCUUCAAGUAACCUCAUUGCACGCACACCAAACUUACAUGCGUUGCCCAUACAAGCAACCGUAAAACGAGCUUGACUUAACCUUUUUACUCUUAUCUCUAGAUGCUCUUUUAAUGCUAAUAUGUUCAAAACUCAUUUCAACUUGGUCUUAGAGGAAAACAUUCUUCUUGUGUAUAAUCAGUCUUCGGCAAAUAUUGAUUCUUUAGUGGUAAUGGUUUAGAUUGAGAACCUUUCUACACCUAAAAUAAGCCACGUCCUAGAUAUCCUUGCAUUUUCCCUUUCCUGAUAACUAUCAUCGGGCAACAUCUUAUGUGAACAAAUCCCGUUGUCACUAGAAAUGGUUUUAUUGUAUAUGGGGUCAUCGCAUUAAACAUCUCCUACAUCAACACCUCCAACAUGUUUUGUUUUGCCUUCAACAUUAUUGCAAUUUGGAAUGUAACUAUCUUAAAGCUAGUGAUCAUCUAAAUUGUCAUCAUGCCAGUCAUCAGGCUUGUCAUUUGAAUUGUCAUUAAAUCUAUCUUUAGCAGCACAAAACAAAUCCUCAUUAGCCUGAUUAAAUGCAGUAUUAUCCUUAAGCAUCGCAGUGUCAUCCUCAAGUAUUGCGGUUUUAUUUGAAAAUGGCAUUACACCCUUUACAGUUUCACCCGAUGGUUGCAUUUGUUGGACAGAAGCAAGUAAUUGGUUUGAUACACAUGCCGAUCGGAAUUGUUCAACCAACUAUUUUGUGAAUGUCGUAUGUCUAAUUGGCUGCACAAACUCAUGUGCAUACGUCGAUUGCCAUUGUUGUGGGUUAGGAACCAAAUGCUGUGGUAUAUGUGAAGCACUAUAAAUCUCAUUUUGAUUAAGGUAAUUACCAUGUUGGACAACUUCUUCAUGUGGCAUAACAUUUGUGUGGCAUUUCUUAAUGGUGACGUACACUGCCGAAAGAUUCGUCUGCUCUAGCAAAAUUAAUGCAACAUUCUCCUCAUCCUUGAUAAUUGGGCGUGAUAGCUCUCCAAGUGUACUGAUUAAUGCAUGUAACUCAAUCUCCUAAAUCUGUGAGUUUACCCCAACAACAUCUUCAACCAACUUUAUCAAGCCCACAAAUGAUAAAUCAUUCCUAACUCCCCACAUUCGUGACUCACCACCCUUAUAAAUGCCAUCGACCCACUGACCAUCGUGUCUUAUCACAAAUCACACAAUUGGAAUGCCACUGAAAUUUGAAAAAAAAAAUGUUAGUCAAUUUACACAUUACAUGCCAUGUUCUAAAAUUUUGCUACAUGCCUUGUUGAAAACAUGUUUAUUACACGUUAUGUUGAAAAAGUUUUGUUAUAAACCAUGUUUUAAAAAAAAGGUUACAUGCCAUAUACUAAAACAUGUUAUUUCAAUAUAUUUUUUACAAGCCAUAUGCAUUAGAGAUGUUACUUGCAUGGCGUGCAACAUUUCUGGCAAAUGUUCUAAUGAUUUUGCUACACGCCAUGUUUACUACACCUUAUGUAUAGACAAAUUUUACUACUAGCCAUGUAAUAAAACAUGUUAUUUCAAUAUAUUUUUUACAAGCCAUAUGUAUUAAAGAUGUUACAUGUAUGGCAUACAACAACUCUGGCAAUGUUCUAAUGAUUUUGCUACACACCAUGUUUACUACACCUUAUGUACAAACAAAUUUUACUACCAACCAUGUAAUAAGACAUGUUAUUUGAAUACAUUUUUUACAUGCCAUGUGCAUUAGAAAUGUUACAUGCAUGUCGUGUAGCAACUUUAGGCAAUGUUCUAAUUUACACACAAAGUUUCAGAAAUUAAUGGGUUGUAGCAAUAAACCUAAUAGCAUAACUUGAUGUCAUCUCUUCUCUAGGAUCUAUAUAUUGAUGACGAUAUGGCGACAUGCCGAGAGAUAGACCAAAGCACGAUGAUGAUUGUUCUUAACAGAUAGUUGGCUGGCAAGAGAGAGCUAACAUAGCGAAGAGAGCUGAGAAAGUUGAGCAUUUAAUUUUUCUCUAUGGUGGGAGGGAGAUAUCAAAAGAUUAAUUUGCCAAAAAUGUAUUCAAGGGCAUUUUUGUCUACUCAUGCCAAAAUUAGGUAAAAGUAGUUAACUUCAUAUGGUAGGCUAUUUCUGAAAUCACCUUAUGAAAAGGGUUAUUUCUUACAAUUUUUUCUAAUAAUAAUUCCUAACCUAUUCCAUUUUAUAAAUUAAAUUACAUAAUAACUAUUCUAUUUUGUUCUUUUUUUUAUUUUAUUCUCACAAAAUAACUAUUCUAUUAUAUUUUGGAACCAGACAUGCCAUUACUUCCUUAUAAUCCAAAAUUCAUAAUAAAAUGUGUUUAAUUGGAGAGCCAUAAGGGCACUUCAGAAAGGUGAAGCCCAAGAUGCUGGAAUUAAUUUUAAGAGUUUUGUUUAUGACCCUUGUUUUGAUUUUUUGAUUUGAUUAAACAAUGUUAGCAAGAUUAAUGAAAACCUUAGAGAUCAGAUAAAAUUUAGAAAUUGAAACAAAACCAGAUGACAAACAUUCUGGAGCCAAAAAACUGGCCAAUAAGAUAGAAAAAAUGUUGAAGAUAUUGCUUGCAUGUACCCAAAUGGGCAAAAAGCCAAGUGGCAAACCACGAAAAGCAUGCACAUUAGUAUGUGUCUUUGACAAUGUUGAAGAACACUACAUGGGACUUUGCAUGCUUAUUUAUCAGUUAUGUUUAACACUUGUAAAUCUCUCCUUUAACAAGUGUUUACUAUGUGUUUAUUUAUGCCUUGUAUAUAUAUUGUUAAUGGUAAACGAAAAUCAUUGUGGCCUUUUCUAUUUGUUCAUCUUUGUUUAGAGAUAUAAAAUAGAGGCUACAUCACAACAACCAUAUACUCUCUUUCUCCCAAAAUUACAACAUGGUAUCAAAGCCUAAUUUGAGUUCUUAAGGGACCAAAACUUUGAAUAUCACCACAAAUCUUCCAAACAACAAGCCACCCUUUGAUCAUGGUAAAUAGUAGUAUCUUCUUUCAUCAAACAACAAUAUUAAAAAAGUUUAAGGUCUUGAAGAUGAAGGACAAUGAAACUUUGAAGGAUUGCAAAGAUGAGUUAAUGCAAAUAACAAAUCAGGUGAGAUUGUUGGGUGAGAAUAUUCUAGAAAAAAGUUUUAGGGAGAAGGUCUUUGGAAGUGCCAUAAGUGCAAAAUUCAAAGCCAAAGUCAAGUGUGAAACAACACCAAGAAAGGGACUUGAUGAGUCAUGGGACAAAGAAAAGAGAGACCAUCACCAUAACAAGUCUUAGUCCAAGAGUUUACCAAUGGGGACUUCUUGCAUAGCUAAUAUUCAAACCCCUUCAUGCAUUAGUUUUUGAAGUAUAACUCACUGAUAUAAUGGCCAAGUCAUUGAGCAAGUCAAAAUCUAAAUGUUAUAAGGAUAGAUUGAAGGUCCUCAAUGCAAACAUUAAGGGUGUCACGACCCGGAACUUCCAUCGAGCCUGUGACAACCACCGCGAUGUCCAGAUAGACAUUCAUUACUCGAAACGCCAAUCGAAACCUCACAAGGCUUAACAUCAGUUUUCUUGCUUCCCCUAUGAGUAUUAGUUACUAAAAUCAUGUUUUAAAGUGAUAUGAACCAAUUUCAAUUCAAAAAUAGUCAAAGAGAAGUUUCAACUACACAGGGGUAUUUUGGUCAUUUUUUCUAAAAAUUUCGAAACCAGCUAAAAUGUAGUAUAUGAGAGAAGUUUACACAUUUCAUAACAUAUUGGUCAUUUUUGAGGUACCCAAGUAAGCAAACAUGGAUUCUUAUGUAAGAAUGGCAUAAUAAACAUAUUGUAGAGCCGGGUUUGAUAGCACUACCCCCCUUAAAAUAAAAUUUUGACCUCAAAAUUUCAUUUACUGAACUCAGAGAAAAAGUGGGGGUAUUGUUUUCUCAUCUAAUGCUCGACUUCUUAUGUCCUCCCCUUUAUAGGGAAUUUCGUUUUGUUCAUUCUCAUCCAUAACCAAGAUUCAAUAGAAUAAUCUUCAUAAUUCAUACAAAUUCUCAUCAUGCCUGUGCAUAGUUCCACAUCAUUUACAUACUUAUACUCUCUUCUUAUCAUUUCCAAUUUUAUGCUUAAGUUUCCUUGUACUAUAUAUCAUUGUAUCACAAUGUCGUCUCCAUUGAAUUAUAAUCUAUUAUGCGUGUAUACUUUAUAAUCCCAUUGAUGCCUCAAAGAUUUGUCUUAACUUGAUCAUUGCAUCUCAUGCAAUACCACAAUUCCUAAGAGUCAUCCUUUUCUUCGAUUAUCUUUCAUGCCUCUACAUUACCUUGUAUCCUUCUUGCAUUUUGAUAUUGAUUUGUCACUUAAAACUCAGACUCAUUUGAAUCAUGUAUGCCUCAAGCAUUUUCGAAUUCCAAUUUCCAUAAUAUAUUAGGAAAGUUUCAUUAUCCGACUUCAUUAUCAAGGUCGACUUCUAUCAUCCUUUGUUCCACUCUUUCAUACGAAUAUAACAUCAUUCUUCCUUAACCAAUUUACAAAUUGUACUUGAAAUUACAAGACUUGAAACUAGAAUAUACUCAAGUACUUUUUAAUAUUAAUACUAAUAUCACUCUCAGCUUACAGCUUCCUUUUUUAUAACCACAUAACUUAGUGCUUGCUUUCACGAGAUCCAUGGCAGAACUUCCCUUGAGUAUUUCCUUGGGGAUAUCUAUCUUAAACUUAUGUCUCACAGCAGGUGAUCACUUAACUCAUGACUUAGCUGUUUGGCUCCUUAGCAAGUUUCAAAAUCACACAUCUUAUACUCAUCUCGUAUAAUUUAUAAUUCUUUCUCAAAGAUGUUUAAACAUUCUUGAAACACUUAAUCACUUAUUUGCUCUUUCAUACUCCAAGUAUAUCAUUUCCAUAAAGGCAUGCACUUGCUCACCAAAAUAUUUAAACGCAUGCUUCAACUUAUCUCCAAGGGUUUCUAACAUACCACGUAGUUUACUUGUGUUGUCACUAAUCCUUUCCUUUCAAUAAAGUCAAGACAAGAUUUGUAAAUUCUCGUAACAAUAUUCUAUAUAAACUCAUUUUCUAUAUCAUUCUUGAAAUCUUCAUUCACACUUUUAUCACUUGGUAUUGACAUCUCUUAUCAAUAUCUCAUACAUUCAUCUAACCUUUCCCUCACUUUGUUUUUAAACUUUUACAAGGUUUACUUUAUUUCUUAAGAUUUGACUUUAGUCAACAUAUUAUUCAUCUUAACACUCCCCCAAUGCACUUAAGACUCCCAAUAAUGAAACUCGACAUCAAAACCAAUGACCAUUUUCCAACUUGUGAGUCCAAUCUUUAUACCGCUCACAGUUUGCUCAUGUUUUCUAGCCAUUAGGGGCUCUUAACCAAUUACAUAUAUAAAGUGGAUAAUUCACUUAAUUAUUACAUCUCGUCCUUGCAGUUAUAAGAUCAAGAUUUCUCGAAUUUAGGAUGCAGAAGUUCCUUCCUAGAGCAUAUCCAAAAAUCCACAUAUUUCAAGUCCCACCUUAGGACAUCUUUCCCAUAUGGUGUAAUGAAUUCACAAUAUGUACAUCAUCAUACACAUAAUUACUUAUUAUUUAUGGUAUCCCACUAUUUUCAUUAUCCAUUAAUGAUCAUCUUCCUUGGCUUAUAACUCCAAUAGUUUAUUAACUUCCAGUACAAAGACCACGAAAAUAGUUCAUCUUUCACUACACUUAUACUCACAAUCCUUAUUAAUAAAAAAAUUAUCUUUUUCAGGUUUCUUCAUUUAUCUCUAAUAGACCAUAUUUGUAUUAGAUUAUCUUCCUAUAAUGUUAUGGCAUCAUUUUAUACUUCCUCCACCCUCAAGCUUACAAUCUUUGACUUUAUCACAUUAAUCGCUCAAAAUGUUAUCUAGAGCCUCAUUGAUUUCUUCCAUAUCCUUUCGAAUUGUAACCACAAUUAAGAAUCCCAAUUUCACAUCUCCAUGAUUAAUUGUUAGUCUUACCACACUAUCUCCCAAUAUCUCAUGCAAUUACAACACACUGAACCCGCUUAUUAUAACAUAGUCCCCUAGUUCAAUGUGUUUGCUCAAGAAUCAUCUUCUCUGAUACAAUUUGUCCCAUAAACCAGAAUUUUAUUUAUUUAGCUUUGCAUUCGGAAUCAUAUAAAAAACUCUCAUACUACGAUAAGUAAUAAUUUCCAACAAACAUCAUCAAUUCAAAUGGCAUUUUAUACCUCGUCAAAAUCUAGGGUUAUCACUCCAAAAGUUCAUCAUGUUAAUCGGUAUCCAUUUCUUAGUACUGCAAAAUACAUUCAUUAUUAAUUAGGGUAAUUGCUUGAAUCAUUAAUGACUUUCCACACCAGUCUUCAAUAAUUAUUUAAGAUGAUCAACCAUGCCACUAAGAUAAAUAUCUUUCCUUAAUAGUCAUAGUGCUAGUCCACCUCUGUCCUACCAAAAAUUUUCCAUAUACAUCCAGUCAUUUAAACAGCUACUUUAUAAUACAUUCUAGUCUUACACUUUUAAAAGCCAAACUAUUAACUUCUUUUUACUGAUAACUAUUACCUCCUUUACACUACAUCUUCCUAGUGUUAAAGUAGUACAAAAUCCUACGAAAAUAUUAAGUACCAUUAAGAUCAUCAUCUUAGUCUGAACAUAUUGGAAGAUUCUACUCCAGGUCCUCUUCCUCCUGAGAUUUUCUCCUUUGUUCCUCAAUCCAAGCUUGUUGUAUUCUCCUACAUUCCUCAUAACUCACAGGUGCAGCAUUUCUUCCACAACUGGGAGGAAAAUGUCGUACAACAGAUCCCUUCCUAGGGCGGUGAUUUACAACAUUUACUUUUUCUUUAUUCUUUUCUUAUUGUUCCCUUACAUUACUCCCACAGCCUGGAGGAAAGUGUCGAACAACGGAUACAGAUACCUUCCUAGGAUGAUAAUCCCCUUCGGCUAUCAUUAUUUUCCCCCUUUCUUCAGCGUAUUCCUUAAACUCUUUCAAAAGGGAAUUUCUCAUGCUUACAUUAAUGUCAUUACUAUAAGCACUUUCAAUGGUCUCACAAGGGUCGAAGCUUUCUUUUUCACAAACCCCCAUUCCCAAAUCCAGUGGAAUCCUAGGCAAGAUACUUCUUGGACUACUUGGUUCGGGUUGCCAUCGGCUUCUAACAGUAGAAUCUAGCGAUCUCUUGUUAAUACUAUGAGAGGCAUCGAGACUAUUGUCUCUCCUAGACAUGAUGUGUCCAACCAGCACACCUCAAAACCUAUACGCAAUCAAACAGUAGUUUCUUAAUUAUUUACGCAUCACAUGAGCAGGUAGGUUUCGAUAUGUAGAUGCAUGAAUUCAACUUAACCUAACCUAACUUAACUUGGGGCCACACUAACACUGUAAAUUUUUAAAAUAACUUUAAAACAAAAAGCUCUGUGCUCUGAUCUUUAAAACCAAAAGCUUUGAUACCAACUUAAUUAUCACGACCUGGAACUCCCAUCGAGCCUGUGACAAUCACGGCGAUGUCUCGAUAGACAUUCAUUACCCGAAAUGCUAAUUGAAACCUCACAAGGCUUAACAUCAGUUUUCUCGCUUCCCCUGUGAGUAUUAGUUACUAAAAUCAUGUUUUAAAGUGAUAUGAAUUAAUUUCAAUUCAAAAACAGUCACAGAGAAGUUUCAACAACACAGAGGUAUUUUGGUUAUUUUUCCCAAAAAUUUCGAAACUAGCUAAAAUGUAGUAUAUAAGAGAAAUUUACACAUUUCAUAACCGAAAAUAAGUUUAGAUAUCUAAAACAUUCAUUUAAAGUGAAAUUAUGACUAUUUGAAUAUAAUAAAAAUAUUCAAUAAAAUAUUCUAUUUUCUUAUAAAACAAUUUUUAUAGAGUUAUCUGUAAGAAAUUUUUGUAGCGUAAAAGCAAAAUAAAUUCAUACGUACUGUAAUACAGAUAGUCAAGGUAUGUAAUUAAAUUUACAAUGACACGUGGGCCCCCAAAUGACUAAAAGUAAUGAAGGCUGUGAACCUACAGUUUUUGAGGAUGCAAGUCCAACUGUAGCCCUCAACGAAAUGAGCUAUCUACUGACUAUCCUGAGCCUAAAAUGGGUGGAAAGGAGGGUGAUGAGAUUAUAUAAUCCCAGUGAGUAAACAAAUAUCCUCUAAAAUAUCUAAAGUUGAGUAAAUGGAGACGAUUGAAAUAAAUCAUCAUACUGUAAUCCAUCACCUUUCAACUCAUUUCAACCAAAUAGAAUCAAUUCAUUUAUAUCGAGUAAUCAACAUGGCUUAUGAAUUUCUUAAAAUUUGGCUCGUGCCAAAAUUAUUCUCAUACUCAGUUGUUAGGAAUACCUUGGCCUAGGGCUAUCCCAACCAAGUUCGCCAAGGAUGUUAAAAAGUCAUGUACGCAUAAAUCAUAUUUUUAUUUUGAAAACAUAGCCGUUCUUUGGCGUUGGCUGAGUUCACCCUCACGUGGUGGUUGGGCAUGAAGUGAACUCUAAAUUUUUACCUAAGAAGUUACCCUACGCUCUUCUUCAAUCGAGGUAAGAAUAUAAUAGGGUUUACAGUGCCCCUCUAAUAGGCUGGUCCACAGAAACCCGCCACUGCAGUGACUAAUCAAUAACCCACCAAUUCAAUAAAAGUUUAGACAGCAUGACAUGGCAAUUUUAUCAUUAUCCAGCCUAUCAAGGCAAACAACAGUUUAUGCAUUUUCAACACAAAUACCCAUCCAGCCAUUCAUGCCCACAUUAUCAUAAGCCAUUCAAUUCAAAACAUAAUUUACAAUACAGCAAGUAGUCUCCAAUUACUCCAUUUUCACGUCAUCAUUAAAUUUCAAAACAAUUUAUAAAAUCAUUUCAUUUAAACACAUUUUUCGUAAAAUUACAAAAUCGGGUAAAAACGUACUUCAGAUAAUUAAGACGAUAAUAAGGCUAUUCACAGUAAUGGGAAUCGAAUUCGGGAUACUUUGAUUCUUGAUCCUCGGAUACUACUUCUUUACUCUUGCCAGAAUGCUCACCACCUAGACAUAAUGCACAAUAAGCAAUUUGCUACAUUUGUGCUAAACCGUUGUAAAACUAAUCUAAGCUCUAUAUGAAUGCAUGAAAUGGAAUGCGAAUUGUUCGGAUCAUCGUCUAAACACGGUGUUCUACAUAAAUUCAAUUGUGUACCUAAAUAAAAUGGUAUUGGCCUAAUUCGAUCUAUCACCCGAUUAAUUGACCAAUAUGUCCAAUUUAACUCCAAAUAACUUCAUUUCUCACCCAAUACUCCAAAUCAUCAAACUCAACUUAAGUAACAUAAAAUUUAGCAAGAUCAUCUUCACAUUUCUUCUUGGGAAUUUCGACCAUGGGGGGUGCAUGAACACUAUGGUUUUUCCCACUUGAUUUUUACACCAUAAAUCAUUAAUUCCUAACCAAAUUACUUGAAAUAAAAUCAAUUCCACCAUCAACACAUCAUAGGGAAGAUUCUGCCAAUGGAGGGUGAUGGAAGAAAAUGAAUUUUUCUUGUUUGCUUUCCAUGCUACACAUCACUAACUAACUAAAAACACUAGAAUAACAUGUUUUCUAGCUAAAUCCAAGAUCAAAACCCCUCCCCCCAUGUCCGGCCAGCAAAGGUAUCUUCAUGCAAACUUGAUUCUCAACUAUGGGAAAUGAAAAAGAAUGCAUAGGAAAGGUAGAUCACAAGCUAAAAUCAAGAAAUCUUAUCUUUUGUCACUUGAUUCCUUGAAAUCUAGUGAUUUUCCCUUGAAUUUCUUAGCUAGGGUUUUGUUCUUCUUCUUUUUUUCUCUUUUUCUCUCUUUGGCCAACCAAGAUAAAUGAGUUGGGAGGGUUAUGGGCUGAUUUUUAAAGCCAAAUAUAAAUGGAUGAAAAUUUGACAUAUGUCACCAUUCCAUUGGCCCAUGUGUCAUACUUACCCAUUAAGCAAUCUCUCUCCACCAUUUAAAAUUCCUCAAUUGUCCAUAAUAAAAUGAGGUGAAAUUCAUGUGUUGGACAAGUGUUGGGUGGUGAAAAAUUCCAAUUUUGCCCCUAGGCAGAAAAAUGACUAUUUUGCCCCUUAUGCUCAAAAAAAUGUCAAAAUUAAAAAUUUUCUCCUCUCAAACUCAAAUUAUGUUCUAAAUGGUCAAUCUUGGUGAAAAACUUCUUCCAACUUUCCAAUUUUAACCUUAGGUGACAAAAUGACCAUUUUACCCUUACGUUAUGAAAAUUCUAAUUUGACUCUAAAUCGGUCUUCGAAAUCCGAAUCACCAUUUUAAGUCAUUUUAGGGUAUUAAAAUUCUCAAUUUCAUCUUAAAAUCUCUAUUUGGACUAGUUUGAGGCUUAAUUCAACUUAAUUGUACCAUUUGGCACAUUGUCGUCCUUUAACGAUUUUCGAGGUACCGAAGUAAGCAAACAUACAUUCUUAUAUAAGAAUGACAUAAUAAAUAUAUUGUAGAGCCGGGCUUGACAAUGGGAGAAUGUUGAAGCUACUGCUUGCAUGUACCAAGUGGACAAAAAGCCAAGUGGCAAACCACUGGAAAACAUGCACAUUAGUACGUGUCUUUGACAAUAUUGAAGAACAGUAUGUGGGACUUUGCAAGUUUAUAUAUCAGCUAUGUUUAACACUUGUAAAUAUGUCCUUUAACAAGUGUUUACUAUGUGGUUCCUUAUGCCUUGUAUAUACUGUUAAUGAUGAAUGAAAAUCAUUGUGGCAUUCUCUCUUUGUACAUAUUUGUUUAGAGAUAUAAAACAGAAAUUGCAUCAUAAUAGCCAUAUACUUUUUUUCUCCCAAAAUUACAACAAAAAAAAAAUUAUAUGAACAUGAAACAAGGCCCUUUACCAAGUGUGAUUUCUCACACCAAAGAGAAGCCAAUAAUGAAUCAAAUGGCUAGUAGAGGAGGUGUCACUGGUAUAAAAAAAAUUGUUGGUAAAAAAAAAGGAAGGAUCUUCAGAAAAAAAAAAAACCUAGCAGCCUUUGAGAAAAGGGUUCGGAUCUAGCAAUCGAAACCGCACAAAAAUCAUACACAAAAAGCACAUAAAAUGAUAAAAAAAAAUAGGGAAAGAGGUUGAGGGACUUUUUGAUCAAAGAGAGAGAUUUCAAGUUUUUGAAGGAAAAGGGUUGAUGUCUCGAGUUUGUGCAUUAGGAUCAAAGGAAUUACUUCCAACGGUUUCUUUGUUAGUGGCUAAGGUUCUUGUGCUUAGAGAGAAAUAGGGAGUUAGGGUUUCUGGAGAGGCGAAGAGUGCUGGAAGUGCCAUUCAAGACUGGGAUAAGGUUAGGGAAAAUAAAUGACAAGAAUAGAAGAAAAAGCAUAUCUUUUAUAGUUAGGGUAUUUGUUUAAACAAUGUCGUUUUACUACAAACUAGAAGGCUUAAAUGGUUUUGUUUCUUGCUGUAAGGGAAACCUCCUCUUCACUAUGUCAAACAGUGGGUUUUAAGCUUGGAAAGGCUGAGAAAUGGGCCAAUUUGAGCCCAUGAUAAAAAAGAAGCUUUGAAGCCCUUGGGCUAUUCUAAGCCUAAGGUAGGUAUGGACUUUGGACUUUCUAGUUUGGAUUGUAUCAUAUUUUGGGGUUUGGACCUUAUUUGGGCUAUGCUGUUUGUUGUAUGAUGUUGGGCCAUUUGUCUUAUAGUUUAGUUUGUAUUAAGCCUUUACAUUUACAUAAUAAACAUUAGUUCUUUUCGUUUAGUUAAUAUUUUUUUUAAAAUAUAUACAUGUAUGAGAAUAAUAUAUAUACAUAUGCAUAUGCAUAAAAAAAUAAAAUGGUAGCAGUUGAAAAGGUGAAGAUAUAGAAUGAAUGAUUAGGAAAAUAAAAUAUUAUAUAAGAUGAUGGAGUUUUUACCGGGACAUGAGAAGUCACAAUUUUAGGUCAAUUUUCUUAGGUGAAAUAUUUGACUAAGACUCUACCAGUAUGAUGAAAGGGUUUUAGUUGUACGUCAAAAUAUUUAUUAAUCCAACUAAUAUCUUAAAUUAGUAACUAAGAAUAUAGAAAAUUGUUUACUUAGAGUAGAGAAAUAGAAUAUUCAUGUCUAAAAGAUAAUAAUAAUAAAAUAUAGAAUAUUUAUGUUCAAAGAAACGCAAGAAGUCGUAAUUGCGGGUUAAUUUUCUUAGGUGAGAGAUUUAACUCAAGCUAUGAUGGAAGUACUUUAGUUUUUAAGACUCAAUAUUUCUUAAUCUGAAUAAUAUUUUAAAUUAGUUAAUAAAAGUUGGGGAUACUAUAGAUUUAGAAUAGAAAUAUAAAAUAUUUAUACUUAAAAAAAGAAUAUAGAAUAUUUAUGCUUUUAAAAUUAAAAUACAUAAUAAUAUAAAACAUGUUAUUUCAAUUAUACCAAAGAUGGAAUUUUAAUCUGAGUCAUGAAAAGUCCCAAUCUUGAGUUAAUUUUCUUAGGUGGAAGAUUUGAUUUAAAUUCCACCAGUAUAGUGGGUGGGUUUUAAUCUUAAGUCUCAAUAUUUUAAUUCAAAUAAAAUUUUCUUCCUAAAUAUUAAUGGAAGUGUAUUAAUAAAAUGGGUAAGUAAACCGUCUGAAGCUCCAUGGAAUCUCAGACAACAUCUAAUUCAAAUACACAAUUUGCAGAAGGAUAUAAUGAGAUGGAAAGAAACGCAUGUCUUGAAGACCACAAAUGAUGUGGCUAACAAGCUGGCCAAGGAAGGAGUUACUAGACGUUCAGAUUUAAUUUGUGUGAUGGAAAGAGAUGAAGAAAGUUAAGGAACUCAAUCAGAUUCGCUUAGAAUUUGAUUUGGUCAUAAAGAGCUGUUAGGAUUCGAGUUGCCGUAGGACUGUUGUACCUUCAAACCGAAUGAAAUUGAAUUUAAAUGGAAUACCAAAAGUGGAUCUGUUUUGAUUGAGCUUACCUUUAAAGGAAUUCAGCUUAGCUUUAAGGAAGAGUCGGAUGUUGGUGUGAACACGGGUUUUGAUAUUAUAACUGUUGCGGACAGUCACGUUCUGGAUAUUGAGACAGCAAUGGUUUGGCUAAAAUAAAAUUCGUACAAGAGGAUAGCUUUGGACAAGCUCUGAUCGGGUUUGGAUUGGACUUUUACAAAGCAGUAUGGCUUUUUGUGAGCCUCAAUUAUGUUCUUAGAUUUCGGACAUCCCAACAUCCGCAGACAAUUUACUUAGGGGUUCUUUAUUUUAUUUCUAUUUAUUUAUCUUAUAUUUUCUUAUUACUAGUAGUAAUAAGUCCAAAGUAAAUUGCUUGGACAUCUAGUAACAAAAUUAUAUAUUUAUCCAAAACAUAAAAGCAUAUUAAUGAAAUGAAAAAUAAUAAUAAUAACAAUAUUAAAUAUAUAGUAUAAAAAAUUAUAAGUAUCGAAAUUUAUUCUAAGUCACCAUCACCUUAUUUAAUUGUCAUUGCAUCUAUUUGGAUAUAUUUUGUACACAAGUUGAGGUCUUAAUGAUAGGACUUUUUGAGAGGCUUGCGACGACAAAUUCUCUCGAAAAAUUCCCUAACUGAAAGAAUACUUUCGGGUCCCAUGAAUAUAAAGGGAGGGCCUCAAGAAUAUUUUUAAUAAAAUGCCUUUACUCGUAUUAAGAUUUACAUGACAUGAAAAUGUUUUUACCCGCAAAUGAUUAUCUUGGGUUUUACUUCAUAAGCUUAGAAAGGUGAGUUUUCUCGAAUAAUUUCCUAUAUAAAAGAGUAUCUCUGUAUCCCACUAGUACGAUGGGCAGAUUUGAAAAAUAUUCUCAAUAAAAGGUUUCAUGUGACAUUUAAUUGAGAUUUAUACCAUACAUUCCAUAAUUGCAUCAUGUGCACGUCAUAGAAAUAAACCAAUUAAUGGAAUUUAGGUUGCGAAUAAAAUUAAAAGAAUAUAAUGAAUAAUAAUUAAGAAAACAUAAGAAUAAAAUUAAAAAUUAAGGUAAAAUAGGAUAACAUAUGAUUAAAUCUACCAAAAAUCAAUAUAGGAUCUGAUCGAAUAAAAUGAAUUUAAUAGGUGACGAAUCGCAUCAUAAAAAAAAUAUUGGUAGUGACUCCGACACUUUCUCGUCCCACCCAGACUUUCUCGUCGAGACUGACAGAUUCUCAAACCGACACAUAGUGACAAGAAGAAAAUAAAUUUAUUUUAUCCCAAUAUGGUAAAGCAAUUGAUUGUGCAUAUGCAACAUAAAAUUGAGACAUGCUGCUAUUAAAAUUUAUUCAAACAUAAUACUUGAGUUAUUUUCUGUCAACUAGUAUAUAUAAUGUUAGUAAAAUUUUUGUAUUGAUGAAAAUGAAAAUAUUUACUUAUUAUAAUUUUAAAUAUCUUUUAUUAUAAAUAUUAGUAAUAAAAUUUAUAUAAUUUAUACCAUAGAAUUCUGAUUAUAUUGAACGAUUUUUAUUAAAAAAUUGUUUUUUCUAAUUCUAUUAGUAUUAUAUAUUUUAGUAAUAAAUAACAUAUUUUUAUUUAAUUUUAAUUCCAAAUAUAUUUAAAAUAUUAAAAUAUUAUUUUAUUAAUGGGCAUGAUUUUGUGAGGAGUUCUUUCAUUAGAAAUCAGAUAUGGGUAGGUUUGAUUUUUUUGGUCAUAGGGGUUUUCGUAUUUUUAUUCUUUGUUUAUUUCAAUUUCCUUGUAACAAUAAAUCCAAAGUAUUUUUCUUUGACAUUCAACAAUAAAUUUGGGUAAUUUUUUAAAAAAUAUUAAUUAAAUAUUUUUAUAUUAUGAAAUGAUAAAUAAUAAUGAAUGAGCAACCCAAGCCGAGCAGAGCUUAACUUUUAACGAGAAGGCCUAAUUCGUAGAUACUUACAUGUUUUCAAUCCUUUCUUGCUACAUUAACGGUCACGUAUCCCAGUUGUAAUAUACAAGUCUCGAAAUCAUUAAGUUAUAAGCUUAAGUUUCGGUGUAAGUAGGUUUACUCUAAUUUUAUAUGGGAUUUUUUUAAUUAUAAAUUCAAAUUUAUUUAUAUGUGAUAUAAUAUUUAAAAAAGACUUGUAAAUUAUUUAAAAAAAUUCAAAUAAGUCUUUAUUCUUUCUAUUACUAAUAGUUGACUAAUUAUCAUUAAUUUAAAUGUUAUUUGUAAUUUUGUACCCAUAUGACACUGAUAUGACCUUGAUGUGAAUGAUAAAAAAUGUCACGUGGAUAUGUCAUCAAGUCACAUUAGCCAGGGACGGAGGAUAGUACUCCAAAAUUUUUAAAAUUAUUUAUUUAUCAUAUAUUUUUUAAAAAAUUUUCUUUAAAAUAUUAUUUUUUAAGCCCCUCAAAAUAAAUUUUUAUUUAUCAAUUAAUAAAAAUAAUAAAUAAUAAAUUGACCCACAAGCCUUACUUAAUUUUACCCCAAUUGUUAAGUUUCUCCACACCUCUUUCCCUUUUUCUUUUUCUCUUUCUAUUUUAUUUUGUUCUUUUAUUUUUACUUUACUCUCUUCUCUGUAACGUAACACUAAAACACACCUCAUUCCUCAAAAAAAGAUUUAUGAGCUUGUGAACUUAAACAAGGAAAGAUGAGGACCACACCAUUGUCUGAAAUUAAGAAGAAGUAAAGUUAUCCUUUAUGUUCUUUUUUCUGUUUAUAUUAUUUAACUAUUUAUAUAUUUAACUACUGUGUGAAAUCCUUUAUCUGGUAAUUAACUAUUUAUAUUUUAUGCAUUAUAGUUUUAUAUUUAGUAUUUUAAGUUUAAAUAGAAAUAAAAUAAGAAUAUUGGAUGUUGACUGCAUUAAUUUUUUUUUAUAUUUGAUUAAAGUAUGAGUAAGCUAAAAAGAAUUGACAAAUUCUUUAAAAUAAAAAGAUGGAAAUCGUCCAAAUGAUUCUCCUACACUUAAACCACCAAGCCUCAAUGCUUCAACUCAUGAACAAAAGCAAUUAAAAUUGAAACGCCUAAGCACAAUCUUGAAAAAAUUGUUGGUUAAGUUCAACAUUUUAACUUUUAAAAAUUUUUCGCCUUUAUUCCUCUUAAUCUUUAGGCCCCCAAAAAAAUGGAUUAACUUCGUCCCUGACAUCUAAAUGCCACGCCAUCAUCUAUUAUAAUAUUUUAACAUUCCACGUCAACAUCAUAUGACAUAAAAUGAUAAAUGAUAUUUUAAUUGAGUCAACCAUUAGUCAGAAGCACUUAUUUGACAAUAAAAAAAAAGUAUAAGAACUUGAUUGAAUGCAAUAAAAGAAUAAAAAUUUAUUUGAAUUUAAGGAUUUUUUUCGAUAUUAUUUCUUAUUUAUUUAUUAAUUGAACAAGUGUUUUCUCCAAAAAAUAAAAAAUAUUAAUACAGUUGAACAACAGUUAGUGAAGUAAAAAUUUGCUCUCUACGUUUGUUACCUUCAAGAUCAUGAUAAACUUGUUUAAGAUUUGGUGAUUAAAAAAGUGACACAAAUUUAAAUAUUAAGUAUCUUAAAUUUGAGUGAUCUAAUUUUGAAAAUUAAAUUUUUUAACGUUUUCUAUUAUUUCAAAUAAAAAAUGAAAGAUUAGAAUCCAAUCUUAAGUAAUGAAUUCAUAUAUUUAUCCUUAAAUCAAAUACUCAAAUGUAAAUAUUCAAAACUAAAAAUUUCACCAAAUUUUUAGGUUGUAUUUAAUUUCUAAUUGUCUUCCCUUCAAUUCAAGUUAGUGGAGAAAAAGACUUGAUUGUUUGGAUCAAGUGCUUAGGAAGCAGGGCAAUCAAGAAAUGAGGUAGCCAAGUAGAAAUUCUAGUUAGGGAGGAUCCUAGAUAAUUUGGGGGAUAGUACCAAUCUGGGGACACAUUUUUUUUAGCCAUCAAAUAUAAGGUGUUUUUAGAAAUAACCCUUCUCAUAAUUUUGACAAAUUUUAGCCAAGAGAAAAGAUUUUGGGACAAAAAUGCCCUUAAUGAAAUCUCUUCCUUCAUGUGCACUGUCAUACACACACAAAUAGGCGAAAAUAAAUCUACCAAGAAUUUGCUACAUGACAUUUUGUUAAAAACAUCCUCAUGUUGUAAGAAAUGAUUUUUCUUAUUUUCGGACAUUAACGUUAACACAAAUGUAGGUAUGUUACACAGCAGGUAUACUAAAUGAUUGUUUGAUCCAUUCUCAAAGAUAGGAAAGUGUUGAAUAAUUUCAUAGCAAAGUAAUCAAUUAUAGCAAAGAAGUUCACAACAAACGGUAAGUUAAUGAAUGUUGAAUUUUUUGUUGUGUUUUUUAGUGGGUUUAGUGAUUUGAAUGCCAUAUUGCUUGAGAAUGUGGUUAAGCGUUUUGGCGUUAAAUGGCAUUUGGUUUUGUUUGAAGUUGUUGAAAUCCCCAGAGAUAUUACAUGCCAUGGCCAUUUGGGUUGAAUGUUGUAAGCACAUGGAGAGAAAAUAGGCAUGGCGUGUAACAACUCUUGAGAUUUCUCUAAGUGCAUGAACAUGGCAUGUAGCAACCAGUGAAUUUUAGGCAUUAUGUGUAUCAUCUUAGGAUUAUAUGCAUGGCAUGUAGCAUGUUAUUAAUUUUAGGCAUAUCUUGUAACAAAAAUGGUAUUUUAUGCAUGGCGUGUAACAAAUUAUUCAUUAUACAUGGCAGUAGCAACCAAGAAUUUAUAGGCAUGGCAUGUAAGAAAAUAAAUAUUUUUGAAAAUGUCAUGGAGCUUCUCUGUGUUAACUGAUCAUUGCAUGUAGCUUACAUGUGCAUUAUUGUCACGACCCAAAUUCCGGGCCAUGACCGACGCAUGGAUCCAAUGGAUGUAAUCCACUAAACCCAAGCAAGCCUAUUAUUUAUCUUACUCAUCAUUCUAUAAUAAACUACUAAGUCACAUUUCAUAACUUAGAAUCAAAAUAGUGAUAUACAUUGCCAACUCGUACUGGCAUUACUCAUUUAAAAUUUACAUACCAUGUUUACAACAUGAAUUCUAAUAAUGUACAUCAAGUUUGUCUAUACAUCUCAAAAAGAAGACUCAAUUUCCAGCAGAGUGACUCGGAUGAAUAUAUAGCUACCGAAUGCCGAGACACCUACCAAAAGAUGGACACAGGUCUACAAAGACACCUCAUCCUAGUUACCGGCUGCCUCGUGAUCUGAAAACAUGAAUUUGAAAAUGGUGAGUAUAAACCCAGUGAGUGAACAAGAAAGGGAACAAGCAUACCGUAAGGAAUCUUUAAUGAAACCAUGAUGCAUUCUUUUUCAAAACAAUGCAAUUUGUUCUAUUCUUAUUAAAGACCCCUCAUUAAACCCUUAUAUGAUUAAUCAAUUGGUAAUGAGGAACCCAUACAUAACAAUUAAUUCCAAAAAUAAAAGCUUCAGUGAUACACUAACAAGUCAAAUGUGACGACGAAUCUUCGCUGCAGCGAGAAUGAAUUUUCGUUGCAGCGACAUUGGGAUUUAGCUAUUAGCAGAACGAGGGUUUCUUAACUGGCCAAGGGUUUCUCACUAAACCUCCUACUUUUAAACUUAAUUCAUUAAAUCCUUAAUGUUGGAAGUCCAUGCUUUGAUAUGGUAGCAAAUAAGUGAAAGAUAGGACAACAAUUGGACAAGAUAGGAGAUCAAAACAAAAUGAUUUUCGCUACAGCGAGAUUUAAUCUCGCUGCAGUGAAAUUUCAACCCAGAAACAGAAUGUUUCUCGUUGCAGCGAGAUUCAAUCUAGCUGCAGCGAAAUUGCUACCCAGAAAAUAGAAAGUUUCUCACUACAGCGAGAAUGUAUUUCGCUACAGCGAUAAGCUAUAGUGUCAUUCUUGCUACAGCAAAAAUGCAUCCUCCCUGCAGCGAGUUUUCGACCAGUGUACCCUUUCAAAACCCGAGAGUUUCUCACUGUAGUGAGAAUGAUUUUUGCUGCAGCGAGAUACAGGGCAGCAAUGAAAAUUUCCCCUUUUUUCUCAAAGAAAACCACCAUACUGAAAUGUUCAAACCACAAGAAACACAUUACACUUUUUCAAGGCUUAACAUGUCAAGUUUCACACGCAUUACAACCAUAAAUCAUUGUCCAUUAAUUUGCUAUAACACACAUAUUCACAUAUGUAUAUAUAUAUAUAUAUAUAUAUAUAUAUAUAUAUAUNNNNNNNNNACAACCAUAAAUCAUUGUCCAUCAAUUUGCUAUAUCACACAUAUUUACAUAUAUAUAUAUAUAUAUAUAUAUAUAUAUAUAUACGUAUAUAUAUAUAUGUAUAUACCCAUCAUCAUCAUCUCACCAACCCAUCAUCAUCAUCACCAGCUCAUGCGCACUCCUUACUCGCACAUAACCGGGUCGUCCUCGGUCUAUGCGCACUCUCUACUCGCACAUAGCUGAGUCAAUGUAAUUACACAACAUUAUAUUCAAGCAUAUAUGUAUAUCAACAUAAUGCAGCCACAUAGAAAUCCAUAAUAUCACAUAUCAUAACGUAAACCAUUUCACAAGAGCUUGUUCCCAAGGCAUUCAUUUUUGAGAAAAAUUGUAUAAAAUCAUUCAAACACUUUGUUCAAAACAGUCAUUUUCCCAAAACAAUUUUGAUAGGUAGUCCACUCACCAAUUAGUUGUAGAACCUUUAGAUGACUCCAAUUCCCUUAAUUGUCCAAUUGGAAGGAUUGGACUUCCUUAAAACCUAGGAUCACAUUAACAUAAACAAUAGAUCAAUUUACACACUAUGAACUUUAAAAGCUAUCUUUUAGCUAGUUUUCAAUUGCUACAUUAAAUGGCUAUCUAUGUUCACUAUCUUAAUCACUAAAAAGUAAUGAACAUACUCAACAAUAAAACAACUCAUAAAUCACAAUUACUAGCCAUUUUCUGCAGCUAAAAUCAAGCUUAAUUCAUCACUUACCCUAGGGUUCCUUUGUAGUCAAAUUCUCUUCCAAUUGCUUCCAAGUCAAUAAGGUAAUUCUCUUUUUCUCUCUCUAGAAUGCCCAACUAGUGAGAGAAAGUCUGGAAAUAAGCUUUAUCAAGGGUUUUGAAGUGAGAUAGUGAAAGAAUUCAAAGGUUAUAGUCAAUAGGGUUCAAAGGUAUGAAAACUAGAGCUAGAGAUAGAAAAUCAAGCAAGCUUCAAAUCAAGCUUCCAUGGAGUUUUGAAGAAACGUGAGAGAGGAGAAGAAGAAGAAGAAGACCAGCUGUUGGAAAUUCAAGGUAUUUAUAGGCAAUCUUAUCCUUUCCUAUAAAAUUACGAAAAUGCCCCUCCACCAAUUAACUUACUCUCCUCCAAUAUUUUAUGCAAUAUUUUUGCUCUUUAACACUGGGACAAGAUUCAUAAUGGUCUAGACAUGCUCGGGUUCAUAAAAACUUAAAAUUUUAACCCGAAGUGAAAAAUGACCAUUUUGCCCUUGUUAUGAAAAUUGUUGAAACUUCUAGUUUUUCUUAGUGUUUUCAUCAGUACACAUCAUUUAUACUGUCUUAUGCCUAUUUAGGCCUUAAAAUAUCAUAAAACUUUAUUCUGGAAGCUUAUUAGAGAAAAUGAUGAAAUUACCCCUAGCUCAUAUUAUUACAUUUAUGCUUAGUUACAAGCCUAUAGAAGUUGAGGUCUCACAAUUAUUGUAUUCUGUUGUAGAUGGAUUUUAGGGAGUAUGAGAACGUUGAUGUGAAACCAAAGGAAUAACAGAUCGUGGAGACUCAAAAAGAGGACGAUAUGAAAUUAGAAUUCCCUACUAUUGUGGUGACUGAAAAUGAGGAAAAUGUGAAACCAUAAUUCCCUAAGGGUUAUUUAUGUGUCGAUCUCCUGCACGACAUCAUGCUUUGUAGAAUCAAUGACCUAGUACAAUGGAGCAUUAGUACAAAGUAACCGAGAGAAACAAGCCAAAAUGGAUACAAUGUCCAAGGAUUAAUCGCAAUGUCUGCUAUUGCUAAUUAAAGCUUAACCGACUUGGCGAAGUGCGAAUAAGAGACAAAAAGAUUAAUCAUUUGGACAUGUGGCCAUGUUUGCAUCAUUGCACUUGUUUAGGCUUGAGUGUUGAGUGUUUAGGGUUUAUGGUUGAAGGUUUAGGGUUUAAUGAUAUGAGAAAAUUGGAAAUCACUAAAAUAUGAGUGAAGUAGAAUUAAUAGAAUUUUGCCAUACUUUGAGAAUGACUUACAAAUGACUUCAUUUACAUGUUGAAUUACGUAGCUAUUUAUAGUAGUAGAAAAGGUUUAGCUAGAAAGAAAAACAUAUAAAUAAAUGAAUAUUCAAAAUGGAGCAACUUCAAAAUGAAACAGUUUUCAAGGAAUGUAAGUGAAAAGACAUUUAGUCCUUAUACAUUUAAUCACAAUAAUGAAAAUGAAGACUACUAAUUUAGCGUCUCAAAACUCUGCACCUAAAUUAGAAGUGGGUGGUGAUUGAGGUUUGUCUAAUGCGUUUUGAUAAAUCAAAAUGCAAUUUUUUUUCCGAUCAAAGGCACCCAUGUUGUUUAAAAAUCAAAGAAAAUCCCUUAUGAAACCUUAGGUUUAGAAGUUUCAAAUUCUUGGGUUUAGGGUUGCUGAGGGCACGUAUUGAUCCGGUGAGAAGCUACUUCAAACCUUUGUGAUCAUUUCAACCGUUUGAGUUUCAUUAAAAACAACUCAAAAUAAAAAUCCCUACAUGGCCACUAGCCCCACGUGCACCAAAACCAUUGCUCGGUAAUUUUUAGGCAGGAGCAGAGUUGAUAGUAGCAUUGAAAGACCUAAUGCUUGACCAGAUUCAAUUCCAUUUAAAAUCCUGUCCUUGCUUCCCGCAAUAGAUGUAGUUAACACCUUCGUUUUAUCAAGUAUGUGGAAGUUUCUUUCUUCGCUCGUUAUUACUCUUGCUAAUAUGAAGAUCUUGAAAGUUAUCAACCUUUUAGGUGUACAAUAUCUGUUACAUUAUGGCAAAGUGUUCAAGAACUUUAUUUACAAAUGUACAUUAUAAAUGAUUAUAAGGGUUUGUUGCCUGCGAGUCUCUUUAGAAAUAAAACACUCAUGAAAUUGGAACUAUCUGUUUAUACUAUUAUUGUUUGGAGCAUCUCGACUGACAGAUCCUUUCUACUAAAGACUAUCAAUAAUGGUGGUUUAGACUUUGUCAAUGAUAAUUUGGUUGGAAGGCUUUUGCUUGAUUGCCCUAUGCUUGAAGAGUUCUUGAUUCGAUCUUCUCGUCAAUCUAAAAGUUUUACCAAUUUAAAUAUUUGUAAACAUGACUGAAAAGAUUGAAUUGAGAUGAUCAUGGUGAUAUGUCCGAUAUAAACCUUUUCAUCUUGGCCUUGAUGCCUUAAGUAUUGUCUACGUCAAAUCCAAUUAUUGUUGUGUUCGAUUAAAAAGCUACUAAUUAGUAAACUUACAUUCUCUUGUCAAUCCUGACAUGAGUGAUCAUGUAAUGGCCUUUGAGAUGAGUUCAACGUUGAUGCUACAUGUAAUUUGUUUAAUGGAAUGAGUAAUGUUCGAUCACUUCAGUUCAAUGAUGAGUUACUAUGGGUAAGUUCAUUGAAUUUUUCUUGUUGAUGCAACAUUUUGAUGGGAGGAAAUUUUGAUAAAUGGUCACACAAAUAUCCUUUUUGAAAAUAUAGUCUUUCAUGUCUCAUAAUUGAGAGUUUCAAAAAAGAUCUCAAAGAAAUGCUUGUAAAUUCUUUCAUCAUUGAUCUAUGUUUAAUAUUUUGAGUAGUGUAAUAUAAUGAAUUUACCUAAUGAACAAUAGUUACAUGUUGGUCAAAAGAAUUUACCAUGGUAUGCUGACUAUGUCAAUUUCAUUGUAAGUAAGCUUCUCUUUCUAAAUUUAACUUUUCAGCAAAGAAAGAAAUUUUCACAUGAUGUUAAAUUAUAUAUUGGGAUAAACUAUUUUUGUUUAAGCAAUGUGUUGACAGAAUGAUAAGAAGGUGCAUUCCAAAGGAGGAAGUUGAAAGUGUGAUGAGACAUAGUCACUCGUCAGAAUAUGGGGGCCAUUUUGGAGGAGAUAGAACAAAUGUAACAUUCCCAAAUAUGAUGUAAAUUAAGGUAAUUGAGAAUGAAUUACAAAAUAUGUGAAGUCUUGAGGACUUUAAUGAUAUGACAUAUAUGCCAAGUGUUGGAGAGUGAACAUAUUGACACUUAGGCAAAAUUUUAAGGAAAUAGGUGAUAAAUCCCAUAAUUUGAGGUUUUGAUUUAAGUUUGACUUCAUAUUUGUGAAUAUAUAUGUAUGGGAUUAAGUUAAAUGGAUGAUUUGAGGUGUGAUAUUAAUAGGAAAUAAAAUUAGGGGGUUAGACUUGAAUUUUUGGAAAUUUGGAAAGCUGAAAAUUGACUACAAGAGAAAAUGCAUUGAUACAUCCCCAAAUAUGUCGAUACAUUCUUGGCAAGAUAAACAAUAAAGGCUUUCAGUAGAUUUUCUAUUGAUACAUUCAAGAAUAUAUCAAUAGAUUUGGCCAAAGAUGAACAUGUAUUGAUACAUUUGAAGCAAAAAUCACCCAACGAAAAAAGUAUCGAUACAUUCCCUUUAUGUAUCAGUACAUGUUGGGUAGUGAGCCAUUCUACCCGAAAUCUAUUGAUACAUUGCAAAUGUAUCAAUAGAUUUAGUUGAAAUACGGGCAAAUGUAUCGAUACAUCACUGAAAGCAAGGCAAACAUAAAAAAGGGUUCACGAGCAUUUCACCUAUUUAACAAAAACCCCCAAACUCUUUCUCUCUUUACCAUCUCAAAAACCUAUUGCCCCAUAUGAAUUCUGGGAGCUAUUUGGACCUAUUCUGAGCUUGUGAAACACCUCUAGAGGUAAGAUUAAACGUUUUAACCAAUUAUUUUUCAAUUUAUUCUGUUAGAUUCUAAGAAAUCUAGUUUUUCCAACAUUGGUGAAUCUCCCUCGAUUCAGCUCGAAUUUGGAGCUAAGAUCCAGGUAAUCUAACUUUGAAGGUAUGAGUUUAGCUCAUUGUUGAUGGAUUUAAGCUUAAAUAGUUGGAUUGCUAAGAUUUGGUAAGUUUUGAAAAAGCUGGCAUUUUUUAAAAGCUAGGAUUUAACUAAUAAUUUAAUGUUUGAUGUGUUCUAAGGGGAAAACAGAGUUAAUUCAACUCGUUGGUGAGUUGAAGGACAAUUAGAGGCUAAAGAUCAAAGUUUGGCUUGGAGUACUUCUAAUUUGUCAUGAUGACUGGGUUAAUUAAAUGCAUGUAAUGCAUAACGCAUGGAAAAUGCAUUGCACUGGUAUUAUAUUAUGCAUGUAAGCCUAGAUGAACAUGCCUAGGCUAAAGAACAAAUGUUUUAUGUGCAAGUAAGAAUAUAUGUAUGUAUAUUUAUAUAUGUGUGUAAAUGAUAUGUGUUGAGGUUAUGUGCCUUAGUGCAAUGCCAUGUGGAUGGUUUAUAUUGUGUAAGCCUAGGCUAGAAUGUCUAGAAGCUAUGGUUAACCCCUAAGAGUAGGUUACCCUAGGUUAAUGAUGUGCUAAGAGAAUUUGACCAAAUGAUGCCUUAAGGAUAUAAAGUACUUUAGAAUGUUAAACAAGCUUAUAAACGAUUAAAGCUCGAUAAAUAUGAUUUGAGAUAUGUUGUGGACAUAUGGAAUGGUAAAGGCAUGAUGACCUCAUUGUGGAUUGUGUUCCGUCCGAGGGAUGAAUUCUGGACGUUGAUCUGACUUGUGGAUGAAUGGAGUUUUGUCCCCCUGUGACCUUUGUGUGCCUAUAGGGAUGGUGGUAAGCAAGGAUGGUGGCAUUAGUCCCGCUUAUGAUUCCCACCUGUGGUGUUUAGAUGCCACCUGUAGGAGAUUAUUUCAGGUGAUGCCGACCGCUAGGAGAUUACGUCGUUUGAUGACUUUGAUUCUUCAUCAACUACUUCGACGCUAUGUGUAAUCUGUUCUCCCUAAUGGCUUUGCCUUGAAUGUGAUUUGAUUCUCCACCGGUUGGACACUGAAUGUGAUUUGACUACGUCUAAGGGAGGAUCACUCGUUGAUGUGAUUUGCAUAUGAGAUGAGAUAGUCGUGGAAAGGCUUAAAUAUAUAUGAUGUGAUACUCCGACGACUAGAGUGUGUCAUGGAGAUUGAUUUAGAAUAUCUUGAAUUGGCUUCGAGAGUAAGUCUAAUGAUGAGUGUGGCCAAUGUAUGGUCGUAUGAACAUUUGUACAGAUUGUGAGCCAAGGAUAAUGCAUAUUAUUUGAAUUUUAUGAUGAAUAUUUGACUAUUAAAUCCCUUGGCAUUUACGUUGUAUGAUUUUGGACUCUGAGGCUUGCUCGAGUCUAGUGGACUUGUCUGUUGAACUCGUGCACUAGUCAUGAACUUUCAGGUUUUAGUCAUGACAGAACAGCAGCCAAAGUUCUUAAAUUAGGUUUGUAUUGGACAACACUAUUCAAGGAUGCUCAUAAGUUUUUUUUGCAUUGUGAUAGAUGCCAAAGAAUGGGGAACAUUUCUAGAAGACAUAAGAUGCCAGAUAGCAACAUGUUGGAUGUAAAAAUUUUUUAUGUCAGGGGAAUUGAUUUCAUAGGACCAUUUAUAUCCUCCUUCAACAACCACUACAUUUUGGUGGCUAUUGACUAUGUGUCAAAGUGGGUCAAAGCCUUAGCUCUACCCUAAAAUUUCUACAAAAGAGCAUCUUCACCAAAUUUGGUACUCCAAAUGCUAUUGUGAGUGAUGAAAGGAGUUACUUUUGUAAUAAGUAUUUUACAACAUUAUAACUAAGUAUGGAGUGACACACAAGGUUGCCACGGUCUAUCACCCUCAGAUGAGUAAGCAAGUUGAAUGGUCAAACCAAUAGAUCAAGAGAAUUUUAGGGAAAGUGGUAUCUCCAUCAAAGUAGGAUUAGGCCAAUUGACUUGAUGAUGCAUUAUAGGCAUAUAGGACCACUUAUAAAACUGCAAUAGGUAUGUCCCCAUAUCAAUUGGUAUUUGGAAAAGUGUGCCACCUCCCGAUUGAAUUAGAGCACAGUGCAUUUUAAGCCAUCAAGAAUUAAAUUUUGAUUUAAAGGUAAUGGGUGAGAAGUGUUUUCUUCAAUUAAAUAAGAUGGAUGAAAUUCACUUGGAUGCUUAUGAAAAUGCCAAAUUAUACAAGAAAGAGACAAAGCGAUGGCAUGAUCAAAAGAUUGUCGAGUGGCAUUUCAAGCUAGGUCAGCAUGUGUUGUUGUUCAAUUUAUGAUUAAAGCUAUUUUCAAGCAAGUUAAAAUCAAGAUGGUCAAGACACUUUAUUGUAUCCAAGGCGUUUCCCCAUGGAGUAGUAGAAAUAGUAGAUGGGUCAACUAAUAAGACAUUUGAGGUGAAUGGGCAACAAUUGAAGCACUACUAGGGAGGAAAUACUGAUCGCCAACAACCUUCCAUCGAUCUUUUCGAUUCUAAAUGAGCUUAAAAAAAUCCAGCUAAUAACUAUAAAGGAAGCACUUCUUAGGAGGCAACCCAAGUUUCUCAUCUUAAUUUACUUUAGUAGUUAUUUUUUUAGUUUUUAGUUUAUUUACAAUUUUUUUCUUAUCAUUUUAUGUUUCUUUUCUAUUCUAUGUUUGAUUUUGCAAGUCUUAGAAAUACAAUAGAGUAAAGUGAUAUUGAAAAAAAAAAAGUGAGAGUCACAACCUUCACAUUGAAAGCCACAGCUCUAAAAGCAGGUAACAUAAUAUCUACAAAUAGAAUGGUUGAGCACCGCGACCUUCAUUUCUUAGAGACACAACGUUGGCACAUGAAGAAAAAAAAUGUCCAACAUAGAAUGGUCGGCACUGGAAUUAGGAAUUAAAUUUGCUAGAAAUAGAAAGCUUGAGUGCCACAGCAUUGAAACAUGAAGUGUAAUGCUUCAAGUGUAGACCAAGCGAGAGUCGUGGCUCUCAAAGUGAGAGCCAAGGCGUUGAGUCGAGGCCCAGCCCCAACCUUGUUUAAGACAUGAUUUUCAUCAGUCUUCUCACAUUCUGCAAUAGCUUCAACACAUAACCUAAGCUCCUAAACAAUCCUUUUUCUUCCUCAUCCCCUGGUUCUUGCCUCUACAAUACUCACCCACUUGUGCUUUUAAAUUGUAAGUGUGUGCAUUUAUCUCAUUCACCAUUCCUCAUCUUCUCCAUAUAUGCAAUCAAUUAAGUGCUUUCUUCAACAAUUUUCAUUUGUUUUGAGAAUUUUUUGUUGAUAGUAAUUGCCAUUGCUAGAUUCCAUAGAUUUUACAUAUUGAUGGUAACUUGCACGUGGUUGGUGAUGGGUUUGAAGAUUUUCUUCUUGAUUAUGCUUUGGGGGAGGUGAAUUCUUGUUUGAUUGAUGAUGAUUAUAGUGAAAUUAUUACUGAUUAUGGGUUUGGUUCAUAGAAUUUUGUGUGCUUGCUAAUGCAUAUGUUGAAAGUCUUGUUUCCUAUGGUGUGAGUUGGUAGAAAUUUGCUUGGUGGAUAAUGGGCAUGUAGCAGAAGUUGCAAUUUUGGGUUGGGAAACAAUUAGACUAUGGCAUUUACAAACAUGGUGAUUUUGGAAAUAAUUUGUGCUAAAACAAUUUGGUUUGGUUUCUUUUACACACUUAUUAUAUUUUGUGCUCAAAUUUUUUUUAGAUAUUGGAAAUAAUUGAACUCUUGUUAUUUUGGUUGCAUUUUAUCUUUGUUGGUUUUUGGAAAUUCUACAAUAAUGGCACCUAAGCGCUCAAAACCAAAUUAAAGUGGCACAUUCGAUCGAGCAAAGUUUGUCUCAAUGGAUGCUUCAACAAGAUAUUAUAAUUUGAUGAUUAACAAUGUGCCUAUCCUUGAACGAGGUUUAAAUAUUCCUCUAGUCCAUUAUGAAGAGAUACAUAAGAUGAUUGAAGAAUGACAUUUGCAGCAAUUUUGUGCCUAACCUAAAGCUGGGGUUGUGCCAGUGGUAAAGGAAUUCUAUGCGAAUGUAUUUGAGCAUGUUGAUUGGGUUGUUUUGGUCCGUGGCAAACAGGUACCAUUCGACAGUUAGGCCAUUAACAAAUUCUUUGGAACUCUAAACCUUAAAAAUAAUGAAUACAAGCAAUAUUUGGGAGAUCAACAAGAUAGUGAUGUGAUCAUCUCGGAGCUUUGUGUUAUGGGAACCCAAUGGAAAACAUCUCAUGGAGAGCUUGUUUCGUUCAAAUGAAGUGCCAUGAAGAAGGAGCUAAAAGUGUGGUUACAUUUUUGCGGCAGCAAGAUUGCUCCCAUCUACCCACAUCAGUGAUGUUACCAAGGAUCGUACAAUUCUUACGUAUGCUAUUUUGACUCAUAAAUACAUCGACAUCGGGAAGGUUAUUUCUCAUGCUAUACUUCACACAUGUCGAAUCAAUCGAGAUGGUAUAGGAUUUCUUUCUUUCAUAACUGCUUUGUGUGGAAAAGCUGGUGUAUGAUGGAAUGAUAGUGAAGAGUUGCAGCAAUCUAAAAUUCAAACCACCAUUGGAAUUCUGAGGCAAUUGGAAGAGUCCACAGUAGUGGCUGGUAGUUCUUCUCCAACUGUUCCAUAACCUCCACAGCGAGCUCCAACCCAUAGUGCAAAUGGAUGGAAUGGAUUGAUCAUCAUAUGGACCGCCAAGAAAGGUAGAAUAGAACACUUCAGCAAAUUAUGUGAGGCUAAGAAAAAACAUAUUGGGAUGGAUAUGGCUGUUUUCCUUUCGUUGCCCACGAAUUCAAACUCUGAUGACGAUUUUAGUAAGGAUGAUAAAGAUGACCAAUACGGUGCAGCUAUAGUUUAACGGAGUAUUUUCUUUUCCUUACUUUUCAUAAUAUUAGGGAUAAUGCUUACUUUAAGUGUGGGGAGGAAGUUUUUAAAUUUUCAUGUCUUUGAUUAUGUUUUGAAGUUAAGUUUAGUUGUUUAGCAUGAUAAUUUAGGAGUAGUGAAUUUAGGAAAAUGUUGAAAAACUAAAGCUAAAAUUAGUGCACUAAUGAAAUUGAUUCGCCCAUCCAAUGAUGAUAACUAACUAUUUUGUUGAUCUUUUACUCUUAGUUGUUUGAAUGUCAUGUGGAGUCUUGUUAGCAUCAUGAUCGGAUGAAAUUUUCAUACUUGAGCACUAUAUCUCUACAUUGAAAUAUCCUAUCUCUUUAGAGAAAGUUUAUGUAAAUGAAGAUUUUAUAAAUAUGUUUAUAGUUUUAGAAUUUGUUUAAUUCUUCCUUGAUGCAAAAUCAUAAAGCUAUACUUAGUCAGGGACUUGACUUAGGCCAUUCUUGGACUAAUUGAGCCUUUCAAGCCAACCUAUUUACAUCUUUAUCUAUAAUAUGCCCCUUUGAGCUUAAAUUGUCUUUUAUUUGAUUUAACCCAUAAAUAACAUUAGCUUAGCGUUUGAGAAACUUCUCCUAUUUUUACAACCCUCACUCCUAAACAUAUAUAUUGUUUUAAGAAAUGUAUGUUGAACUGUUUGAUGAGAAAAGUGGAAAAGAUGAAAUAUAGAGAAAAAUGCAAAACAUUUUGAAGUAUUCAUCCCACUAUUAAUGAAAAAACCAAGUUUGGGGUUGUUGAAAAAAAAAUAUGUUUGAGGAAGGAAUAGUGAAAGUGAAAGAAAAAGGGUGUACUCGAUGAAGAAAAAUAAUAAGGCUAUAUAGGUCCUAAAACAAUUAUGUGUUUAGAGUGACUUAUGCUACAUAUUAUCCCGGAUCCUACCUCCACCCUAGCCACACAUUACAAGCUAAAUAAAGUCCUAGGGAUCCUUAAUUUAGUAUUAGCCUACAUUAUUGGAGAGGGAGAGGAAAAACAAACUUAUGAAAUUUUUAACUAGUUUGAAGUUUGAAUGAACAUAAACCUAUCCGGAGUGCAUGAGAUUCAUGGCAAGAGAUUUCACACACAUUCACACACACACACACAAUAAUUUAUCCAAAAAUGAGCUUGCAUUGGAAUGUAAUGUGAAUUUAGAUAAUAUUUAUGUCUUACUAUGAGUUGAGAUAACGAGAUAGUUUAUGAGCAAAUUAAAGGUUAUAAAUGAAUUGGUGCAUCCGAUUUUGUUAGUUUGAUGUUUUCAAUUAUGUUAUUUUGUUUUCUUAGUUUUUGCUCGAGGAAUAGCAAAAUAUCAAGUUUGGGGUUGUAAUAACUCUAUGAUAUAGAGUUAGUUUGCCACAUUUUGAUUGUAAAAAGCAUAGCUAAGUUCUUGUGUUUUGAAGUUAAUUUUAAGUAAUUUUUAUACUUUUCUUUAUUUAGUUUAUUGCAUGUUGAAUUAUUUUUAAUUUGAGUAAUUUGAGCUUAUUUUCACAUCAAAAGUCUUAAUUUGAGAAAUCACAAAUUUCGUCUUUAUUUUAAAGGUUCUCAAGUGUAAAAAGCUUCAUGGAAGUGAAAUGUGCAAGAUGGUUAGGUGUAGAAUUUGCUAAACAUAUUGUAGUAUUUCUGCCAUAACACUUUCUAAAGAACUCCAAAUGAGGUGAUUCUAGACCACUGGAAAGUUGCAAGGAAAGGCUACAACUUUUCUAUUUAUCACUUUGCCCAGCUUGGAUUGGAAGGUGAUCAAAACCAGUGUCAAAAAGAGAGUACUGCACUAAGAGAGUAAAACAAAGACAGAACACUUGAGAGCCGCGGCGCUGAAAGGAAUUUGUGGCGAACUUCAAAGUCAGAACUGUUGAGAGCCACAGCGCUAAAGCUUAUUUCCAAAAAUAAUUGUUUGACUAGAAAUUUGGAAAUUAAGCUAAUUUGUGCUUAUUUAAGGGACAUUUUCAAAGAAUUUUAGAGAGAGGACAAUAGUAGCUAUUUUGAAGAAUUGUAGCUAACAAUCAAGCAAGAGAACAAGAAAAAUUGAGAGAGAUUCGAGAUCAAAAAGCUUCAACAUUAGUUUCUUUCUUUAUUUUGUGUUUUCCUUAUUUUCUUUGACUUGAAUUCAUAGCUAAAUUUCUUUGGAUAAUGUUUUACUUAGAUAUCAUGAACUAAUUUAUUUGUCUAGGAUUAUGAUGGAUUUCAACAUGUAGUUUGAAUAUUAGUUUCUCUUUUAUUUAUCAUGAAUGGGUAUAGUUUUGCUUAUUCAAAUCUAUUCUUAAUGCUUUUAAUUGCUUGAUCAAUAAUUAAUUAAUUUGUGAAUCUAAUUGAGACUUGACAAAGAGGUUUUAGAUUGGACUAAGAUUUAAAUAGUGUAUGUUAACAUCACUUAGGUGAUCUGAUUCGCGAUUUGGAUAGACAUACGCCAAUUGCCAUACAUAGCCAAAUUAGGACACUAGCUUAAUGAACUUAAUUUAAUUAAGUCCUAUAGACAUAUAGUGAGCUAAUUAAGUUAGGUAUUUGUGCAAGCAUCUCGAUGGAGACUUGUAGACAGCUUUGGAUUCUAGGUUAGUAAAACCACCUAGGAAGGUAAAUAAUAAGCGAAGCUGGUAUCAAAUGAAGUGUUGAACGAACCCAUAAUCCUAGGUCUUUAGUCUGUUGUCUUUCUCAAGUAACUUUAAUUUCUGUUAGUUAAUUUAGUUCUUGCUUUAAUUUAGUAUUAAUUAAUUUUCUUAAAAUUUGAGUUACUUAAAUAAGAUUAAUUUGUUAUAAAAUUUUAGUACUUAGUAAAACUUUAGGAAGAAAUCUUUGUGGGAACGAUACUCUACUUAUAACUAUAUUACUUGUUUGUGAUAACAUGCACUUAUGUGAAAAAUCAAUAACACUCAUACAAGCACCUUGUGCUGUGAGGAUCGAUAUACCCGUCCAUGGGAGUUGCUCCUUGGCUAUUCCUGUCACAACCUAAUUUCCUGACCAUGACCAGUGCAAGGGCCCAAUGGGCUCAGCCCACUAAGCCCAAGCAAGCCUAUUUAUAUAAUCUGGUACACUAAUCCAUAUGUCUUUAAAAUCCAAAACUUGUAAUGUUCAAAUAUAAUUCCUUUGAAAACAAUUCAUAAGACCCAAUAAUGUAUUCAUAAUAACAUCAUCAACCAUAAUAUACAUAUAUAGCUUGACAAAUGAGUCUUAGCAUUUCACAUCCAGCAUUCAUAUACACAUAAUUAGACCUUGAUCGUUAGCGGAGUGAAUCUGGGCACGGUUGCUAACAUUUAGUGUCAUGGUAAACCUACCGAGCAAUGGAUAAGGAAGAGCACUUCUUCCUAGGACCAACCACCUUUAACUCAGAAAACCUAAAACAUGAAGUUUAAAAACGUGAGUAUAAACCCAGUGAAUGAACAUAAGAAGGGAACAAGUAUCAAUUCGGGAAGUUUUAGAAAACAUGAUGCACUUAUGUUGAAAACAAUGCAAUUCAACUUAAUUUCUUAUCACAAUGAAAAUCCAUUUUUGCUACAGUGAAAAUCAAUUGGAAAGCAUUUCUCAAAUUUUAACAUUCAAUAAUCAAUGCAAGCACAAUAUAAUUUCCAUAACCUCUCUAUAUAUAACAUAUAUAAACAUACAUACGACCACCGGCAUCACCCCAACUCUCCCUCAGCUCACGUGCACUCCCACAUCGCACAUAACUGGGUCAUUAUCAGCUCAUGUGCACUCCUACACCACACAUAGCUGGGUCAUCAUCAGCUCAUGUGCACUACCACACCACACAUAGCUAGGUCAUCAUCAGCUCAUGUGCACUCCUACACCGCACAUAGCUGGGUCAUAAUUAUCAAACAAUAAUAUCAUUCAAUGCAUAACAUUCACAUCAACAUAAUGUGGAAACACAGGAAUUCAUCACAUUCAUAUUUCACAACAUAAAAAUGUUUCAUUAAGUGCUUCUUCCCAUGCAAAUUUUAAAAAAAAACCAACCAAAUAUCUCAAGUGGUUCAAUCAAGCAUCUAAUCAUUUAUUCCAAAACAUUUUGAUGCAAGUUCAUUCUGUUGUCUCCAUUAGUUUUUUAUGAUAAUAAAACAUUCCCAUUUAUGUGUGUCUAAUGCCUUUACUUGAGUGGGCAGGAAAGUAAUAUAUGAAAUUAAUUUAUUGACUCUUCAAAGAGUAUUUUUGAAAGAAAAAGAGGGAUAAAACCAACAAGAUGUAACUAAAUAACAAGGAGCAAGCUUAUUGGUGAAACAAGGAAAAACAUUGGUUAACCAAAUUUCAAAUUGGAGAAAUGGCGAGCUGAAAAGUUUGAGAAACAGAACCAAUUUAGUCAACCAAGUUAGUCAACUAAGUGCUCUCUGCCAGAAUCUGCAAACCAGAAACAGAACCAACUUAGUCAACCAAGUUAGUCGACUAAGAGCUCUCUGUCUGCAAUUUGAUCCAGAGCACUACAAGACAGAUUAAAGGCUAGAACUCAUUCUCAAUUGUUUCCAAUGGAUAUAAACUACCAAACUGCCAUCAAAGUUGCAUUUCCAAGUAUAAAAGGGUCUUCCAACAAUAAGAAAGAAGUUUUUUAAAGCUUUGAAUGAGAUUUGAGCUAUAGAAAGUAGAAAAAACCAGAAAAGCUUCACUGCACCUUACUGCACUUAAAUGCCAAAUUUUUGUACUAGAGUUCAACACUUCAUCUUGUACCAUCUAAAUCAAGUAAGUGAUCAUAGGUACUUCUUUAUUACUUCUUUUGUAUUCUUAGAGUGAGGGAGUCACUCUAAGGGGUUGUUCAAGCUUGGGAUGGCUUGAUUGUUGUAGGUUGUGGUUGAGCCUUGGAAAACCACAUUGGGUUUUAGUUGAGCCCGUGAAAAACUAGUGUAAAAGGUUGUGGCUAAGCCUAGUAAAAGCCAUUGUGAAGCUUGGUGAAAGCUUGUGAAUUUCACAAGUCCAUAGUGGAUUUGUGGGAAAAUCCUUGGUUGGAUAAUCAAGGUAGUGGAUGUAGGUCUUGGACUAAACCACUCUAAAUUGUUGUGCAUUUUAUACUCUGUUUUUGGUUUUCUUAAGUUCUAGAAAUUACUUUCCAAUCUUAUCAAGAGCCAAAUUGUGCUAUUCACCCCUCCCCCCCUCUAGCACAUAUUAUCAUGACCAACAAUUGGUAUUAGAGCUAGUUACCUAUUUUUAAGGCUUAACAUCCUUUAGGAGGAUCCAAAUGGCUCAACAAAAAACCAUAGUUGCAGAGGGACAAUCAACAAACAGACCACCUCUGUUUGAUGGCUCUAAUUACCCUUAUUGGAGCACUAGAAUGUCAAUUUAUAGUAGGGCUAUAGAUUAUGAAAUGUGGGAUGUCAUAAUUGAUGGACCCUUUAUGCCCUCAACAGUGAAUGUAGUGACAAAUGAGUUGCCCAAGCCAAGGUCUAAAUGGACUGAGGCUGAAACUAAGAAAGUUCAAACAAACUUUAAGGCCAUCAACACAUUACAUUGUGCCUUGACCCCCACUGAAUUUAACAAAGUCUCAAGCUAUACAACAGCUAAACAAGUGUGGGAGAAACUUAGGAUAAUCCAUGAAGGGACUUCCCAAGUCAAGGAGUCCAAAAUUGCUCUCUAAACACAUAAUUAUGAAAUGUUCAAAAUGGAGCAUGGUGAAGACAUCACCAGCAUGUUUGAUAGGUUUACAAACAUCACAAAUAACUUGAGCCAGCUAGGCAAACCUAUCUCUGAACAUGAAUUAGUUAAGAGACUGCUUAAAAGCCUACCAAAAUCCUGGAAACCAAAAGUGAUUGCCAUUAGAGAGGCUAAAGAUCUAAACAUCAUCACUCUCGAUGAGAUUUGUGGUUCUCUUCUUACUCAUGAGCUGGAGCUUAAGGAAGAAGAAGAAAAAGACCGAAGGGAAGCAAACGAAAAGAAAAAAAGUAUUGAACUUAAAGCUAGCAUCCUUGAAGAAGAGUUGGAAGAGCUUUCUUGUGAUGAUGAUGAAGAAUUAGCUCUAGUUGCAAGAAAAUUCAAAAAGCUAAUGAGAAAAAGAAAUCAAAAGCUAAUUAGAAGAGGUUUCAGGAAAGACCAAGGUGCUUCAUGGAAAAUAAGGAACAAAAAAGAGGAGAUGAUCUGCUACGAAUGCAAGUAACCUGGUCACUUCAAGUCCGAGUGUUCAAUGCUGAAAGAUGAAGCCCCCAAGAAAAAUAAGAAAUCCAAGAAAGCAAUGGUGGCUGUUGCAUGGUCGGAUAGUGACACAUCAAGCUCGAAAAUUGAUGAUGAAAAAUCUGAGGAAAGAGCAAACAUUUGUUUAAUGGAACAAGAGGAUGAAACAGAGGUACCCUCAUCCCCUUGCAUUAAUUCAAAUGAUGAUUUUUAGGAUGAGUAUGAGUGCCUUUAUGAUGAAUUUGAAAAGCUUUUUUCAAAAUACAAAUCAUUAAAGAAAAAGGCUGCAUUUCUUGAAAAUGAUUUGGAACAAAUCAAACAAGAAUUUACUUCUGUUUUUAAGCAAAGAAAUAUUUUGCAAAUUGAGUUAGAACACUCAAAAACAGACUUUGAGGUUUUUAAACAAGAGCUGGAAAACAAGUCUGAAGCUUUGCAAAUAACUCCUAAUGAAAAUACAGCUCUUAAAUGUUUGAAAAAUGAAUCCUCAAAAAGAGAUGUACACCACAAUAAAAAUUCAACUAAAGCAUUACCUAGAUGUUAUAAUUGUGGUAAACAUGGUCAUUUAUCAUAUAAGUGUUUUAAGAAAAGAAUAGUGCAGAAAGUUAAGAAAAUCUGGGUUCCUAAGGGAUCUUUUGUUGCAACUAACACUCAAGGACCCAUCAAAGUAUGGGUAACUAUAAAGAAAAACUGAAAUUCUAUUUUGUAAGUUGAGCUAGACUUAAAUGAGACAUGUUCAAAAACUCAACUCAAGAAGAAACAGCCUUGGUACUUGGAUAGUGGCUGUUCACAGCACAUGACAGGACAUGAAAUGCUGUUUGCUCAGUUGGAUAAGAGAAAGGGAGGAACCGUAUCCUUUAGAGAUGAUUCAAAAGGAAGAAUUCAUGGUAUAAGUACGAUUGGUAAGAAUUCCCAAACUCAAAUUAGUCAUGUGUUGUUGGUUAAAGGCUUAAAGCAUAAUUUACUAAGUAUUAGUCAAUUAUGUGAUAAAGGAUUUAGAGUGUGCUUUGAUUCAACUAAGUGUGAAGUGAUAGACAUGAGUACAAAUAAAAUCUCAUUUAUAGGAAAUAGAUUGAAGAAUAUAUAUGUAAUUUUUCUUGAAGAUCUUGAAGUAAAUAAUGAAGUACGUCUUAUUGCAAAUGAAAAAAAUGAUAGUUGGCUAUGGCAUAGGAGAUUAGGACAUGUGAGCAUGAAUACUAUGUCAAAAUUAAUUAAGAAAAUUCUUGUUGUUGGACUGCUUGAGUUAAAAUUUGAAAAUGAUAGGAUAUGUGAUGCUUGCCAACUAGGAAAACAAGUUAAGACAUCCUUCAAGUCUAAGAAAAUUGUGUCAACAUCUAGACCUCUUGAAUUGCUUCAUAUUGAUCUAUUUGGUCCAAUAAGUACAACUAGCUUAAGAGUAUUAUCUUAUGGCUUUGUUAUAGUUGAUGACUAUUCAAGAUAUACUUGGGUGUAUUUUCUUGCUAUUAAGAAUGAUGCUCUACAAGCAUUCUUAAGUCAUUGUAAGAGAACAGAAAAUGGAAAAAGAAUAGCCAUAGUUAGCAUAAGGAGUGAUCAUGGAGGAGAAUUUGAAAAUGAUGAGUUUGAAAAGUUUUGCAAUGAAAAGGGGUUGGAUCACAAUUUUUCUGCACCUAGAACACCCCAGCAAAAUGGAGUUGUAGAGAGAAAAAACUGAACCUUGAAAGAAAUGGCUAGGACCAUGCUAUGUGAGAACAACCUACCUAAAUAUCUUUGGGCUGAGGCAGUAAAUACAAUAGCUUAUAUUCUUAAUAGAGUCUCAAUAAGACCCUUAAUUUCAAAGACUCUAUAUGAACUUUAUAAAGGUAUGAAACCAAAUAUUUCUCACCUUAGGAGCUUUGGCUGUAAAUGCUUUGUAUUGAACAAUGGAAAACAGCCCCUAGGGAAGUUUGAUGCAAAGAGUGAUGAAGCAAUAUUUUUAGGAUAUGCUUUAAACUUAAAGGCCUAUAGAGUUUUCAACAAAAGGACCUUAACCGUUAAAGAAUCAAUUCAUGUAGUUUUUGAUGAGUCAAAUGCAUUGCAAAAAGAAGUUCAUGAUGAUGAUGAUGAUGUAGAAGUCCUAGAAAAACAAAUAAAGGAAAUGAGCUUAGAAAACAACAAAAAUAAUGACGAAAGCUCACCUAGAAAAGAAGAUGAAACUCCACCUUUAGAAAAUCUGCAAAGAGCAGACAAUCAGCAUGAUGAUCUACCAAGGAGUUGGAGAUUUGUGAGAGAUCACAAAGAUCUACAAUACCAAAUAAUUGGUGAGAUUUCUCAAGGAGUUAAAACUAGGAAAGCAACUAGAGAACUUUGUGAGUUUUCAGCGUUUAUAUCUCAAAUUGAACCUAAAAACUUUGAAGAAGCUGAAAAAGAGGAAAGUUGGAUAAUGGCCAUGCAAGAAGAACUUGAUCAAUUCACAAGGAGUCAUGUAUGGUCAUUGGUACCUAAACCUUCAAAUCACCCUAUUGUUGGUACAAAAUGGGUAUUUAGAAAUAAGGUAAAUAAGCAAGGAAAUGUAGUUAGAAAUAAAGCUAGGUUGGUAGCAAAAGGAUACAACAAAGAAGAAGGAAUAGAUUAUGAUGAAACUUUUGCUCCGGUUGUUAGGAUUAAAGCCAUAAGGUUGUUGCUAACUUUUGCAUGUUUCAUGAAUUUUAAAUUAUUCCAAAUGGAUGUGAAAAGUGCAUUCUUAAAUGGAUUAAUUCAAGAGGAAGUAUAUGUAGAACAACCACCUGGUUUUGAAGACUUUGAAAAAUCUGAUCAUGUUUUCAAACUUCAUAAAGCCUUGUAUGGAUUGAAACAAGCUCCUAGAGCUUGGUAUGAAAGGCUUUCAAAAUUUCUAGUUGAAAAGGGGUAUGAUAGAGGUAGCAUCAAUACUACAUUGUUCAUUAAGAGAUAUAUAAAUGAUUUAAUUGUUGUGCAAAUAUAUGUGGAUGACAUUGUUUUUGGUGCAACUAAUGAGGCUUUGUGCAAGAACUUUGCUAAGGAAAUGCAGGGUGAAUUUGAAAUAAGCAUGAUGGGAGAGUUAAAGUACUUCCUUGGUCUUCAAAUCAAACAAAGUAAGGAAGGAAUCUUCAUCAACCAAGAAAGAUACACUCAUGAUAUGCUCAAGAAAUUUGAUAUGCUGAAGCUGAAAUCAAUGUCUACACCAAUGAGCCCAUCCACCAAACUCGACUUAGAUGAAAAAGGUAAGGAUGUAGAUCAAAAGCUCUAUAGAGGUAUGAUUGGUUCUCUUCUCUACUUAACAACAAGUAGACCAGAUAUUCAGUUUAGUGUGUGCUUGUGUGGUAGAUUUCAGUCACACCCUAAAGAAUCACACCUAACAGCUGUUAAGAGAAUUUUUAGAUACCUUAUAGACACUCAAGAACUAGGAAUAUGGUACUCUAAAGACUCAACUCUUAGCUUAGUUGGAUAUUCAAAUGCUGACUUUGCCGGCAGCAAAACUAAUAGGAAAAGCACUAGUGGAACAUGCCAAUUUUUAGGAAGGAUGCUUGUGUCUUGGUCCAGCAAAAAGCAAAACUCAGUGGCACUGUCGAUAGCAGAGGCUGAAUAUGUAUCAUUAGGUAGCUGCUAUGCACAAAUCCUUUGGAUCAAGCAACAAUUAAAAGACUAUGGAAUAACUAUGCAUAAUGUACCAAUAUACUGUGAUAACACAAGUGCAAUCAAUAUAUUAAAAAAUUCUGUGUAGCACUCUAGGACAAAGCACAUUGAAAUUAGACACCAUUUUAUUAGAGACCAUGUGGUGAAAAAUGAUAUUAAGAUAGAAUUCGUGAAUACUUUACAUCAAUUAGCAUAUAUUUUUACCAAACCUCUAAGUGAAGAUAAAUUCUGUGAGAUUAAAAGAAAUUUAGGGAUGAUUAGUGUGAAGGAAUUAUAAGAAAACCUUAGGCUCUCACAUAGAAAAUAGAAUGCUUUCAGUCAACUAAGAGUGGUCUGAUAGCCUUAAAUAAUAAAACUCGGUGAGUUUUAGAGAAAGAAGUGUAAAAUGUGGUAAAAAUUUGGGUUUACUGGGUGCAAAAAGAAUGAAGAAAAACUGUCUAAGGUAAAUAACCAGAUUUUAGAGGGAAGUUUGAAAUUAUAAAGAAAUAAAAUAAGGCAGCACUUAAAGAAAGGUGAGGAUUUUUUUUUCGUAACAGCUGCUGACUGCCUCUCCUCCUCUCUCCCUUGAAACUCGUUGCUCUAAAAAUAAAAACCUAAAUCUCCCUUUUUGCCUCUAAAAUCGACUCAAACCCUAAAAAAUUUCUACAACCAAUAUGGCUAGAACAUCUCAAAGCAAAGAGAUAUCAGAGAAAAAGAAAGGGAAAAGGCCAAUGGAGGAAGAAACAGGAACUGAAAGUCUGAAGAAGAAACUGAAAAUCAUGCCUGGUUCAGUGAAAGAUAUAUUCGAGAAACUAAGAGAAAAGAAGCAGAAAACUGGUAAGAAGAAAGAUAUAGAGCCUUCACUCCACAAAGGUACCAGUUCUUCUUCUUCAAAAUUUAGGAAUAAGUUGCAUGAGUAUAGAUUCAAAAAUAUCGAGAAUGCACCAAUCUCCUAUGGAAAGUUUAUUGAUUGGAAGAGUUUUGAGGAAAAUGUCGAAAUCCAAACUAGUUUAUCUGAGUACUUUGAUGAACUAGAAUUGAAAGGUUACAGCACCUUUAAGAAUAGGUCUUGUAGUCCAAGUCUGGUCAAAGAGUUUUACUCUGGAAUUGCUUUGAAAGGAAAGGAAUUAAUAGAUUCUGAUGAUUAUGUAGAAGAUGGGUUGAAUGUUUAUCUGAAUGGAAAAGAGUUUAUUAUGACUGUUGAGGAUUUAGGGAACCUGUUGAAAAUAGAGUAUGAAGAAGGUGAAUUUGAAUUGCUUGAAAAAUAUGAUCCGUCCUCAUUGUGGGAGAUCAUCACUAGAAGGAAAGAAAAUUAUUCUUCAAAAAGUAAUUCUGGUUUGAUAACCAGCCCUCAUAUCAGAAUUCUACAUUAUUUCAUAGUAGUUAAAAUACAAGGCAGAAGUGGAAGCCUUAGCUACAUCAGCUUUCAGGACCUUUGGCUAAUGGAGCAUGCUUUCAAUGGAGUGUUUAUGAAUUUGGGAAGAUUUAUGAUUGAGAAAAAGAGAAGUGCCUGCAGACUUGAUAAGGUAAAUCUGCCAUAUGGGAAUAUGAUUACAUCCCUUGUGCAGAAGAAGGGAAUAUGGGUAAAGAGGUAUGAUAUGGACUUGGUAAAAACCAGAGACCAAGCUAUUCAUUUUGGCAGCUUGGUUAAAAUGGGCUAUGUACUUGAUGGAGAAAGGUUCAUUAAAACCUCCAAGAUUGGUCCAAGAAAAGAACACAGCCUACCUGCUUAACCUAAAAAAGCUCCCUCCAGAUUUUAAAAUGAAGUGAUUUUUAAUUUGCUCAUGAGGAUUGAUGGUAAGCUGACUGACCAAGGAAUGAAGCUACAGAAAAUGGAAGAUAAAAUCACUAAGUUGGAAAACAAGCUGAAGGAGAAGGAAAACAUGCCAUCUGAACCUGUGGCUACAGAUAGCUCUGCCACAUCCAGCACUGCAUCUGCACAACAAGUGCUGAAAGUUUAGUUAAGUCAGCAGAAAAAUUUGCUCCUCAUGUUGGAAGUUCUAGCAUUUAGACUGAAGGUUCCACCCAUAAAUCUGCCAGUCCUACUCUACAGACUGAAGACUCUCCCCAAGGGGUUGAUCAACAAGCCAAGACACCCUCCCCUGAACCUCAAAGCAAAAAUAAUUCAGAGAUAGAGAAACACUAGGCCUCUCCUCCAAACUCAGAGGAAGUUUCCAUCAUGGAUGUCUUCCACCAAAUGGUUAAGGAGGGACAAGCUGAAAAGGACACUGCCAGGACAGAAACUCAAAAGGAUGGUGAAGGUGUAGGAAAAGGAAAGAAAUCUGCAUCAGCUACUAGAGUAAAGACAAAAGCAGGGAAAGCCAAAGCCACUGCAGCACCACCAACUGAGGCAAAACUACCAACCAAAGGCAGGAAGACCAUGGCAACUAAGACAGCUUUUCUCAAGAGAAGAAAGUCUUCCAGGUUGGUAGAGAAAUCCAGACCAGUUUCAACCUCCUCUCCAAUCCCUGUCUCAAACAAGUCCUCACCAGAACCUUCCCCAAGACAUUCAUCACCUCUCCGAGAGCCCUCUCAUUUUCCUCUCAACCUUUUCUACAGCACUGAAUCCUCACCCUCUGACACAUAAGAUGAAUAGAAGCCCCUCCUUUUGAUGCUGACAAAAAGGGGGAGUAGAGUAGAAUGGGUACACGAACCAAGAACCACAAGAACCAGGAACCAGAGAAUAAAUUUAAAAAAAAAAUGUUAGGGUAGAGGAACCAGGAAGGAACCUAGGAAAGGAAAAAAGACAGAAUCAAAGAUGAAUGAACUUAGAAAAAUAGAAGAUAGGAAGCAAAAAAAGUCUAGGGGCAGUUUCAGAAUACUUGUUGAUUAACUGUUAUUUGUGCCAUGGUGGCACUUAAACACUCAGUUUUAAUUCUAUUAUUUAUGUGGUUGUAUGUGAAAAAUGAAUGCUGAUAUAGCUAUGUUGCUUAAUUGCUAAAAAUUGAAGUCUGUUGAUAAUUUGUUAUUUUGGUAUUUUGACUGUCAUGAACAAAAUCUGCCGGUGCUAUUCUAAUAUUGAUUUACAUGCUGAUAAAUUAUUUUUGUUAUGCCAUUGCGGAUAAUUUUUGUUUGAAAAUAGAUAUAGAUGGUAUGAAUAGUAUAUCAAUUGAAACAUAAAUGAAGUGAACAAAAUUUGAAAUCAAUAAACUAUUAAUAGCUGCUGGAACAGUGAUGAAAAUCUGUCAACACUUAAAGCUGAAAGUUUAAUAAUGAUCUGCUAAUACUUACUUGCUGAAAAUCACUCUAUUUUGCUGAACAUAUGUAUACUCUAAAUGUACAAUAUCAUUUUCUAUAUGACAAGAAUAAAAUUGGCUGAAAUAAAAUAAGCAAAAUAUGCACACACUAAGGGGGAGCUUAUACUUAGGGGGAGCAAUCCUCAAUUUUUGCAGAAAACUAAAAAGAAUUAAAAUGACACUAUGCUGUUAAUCAAGGAAUGUUUUGUCAUCAUCAAAAAGGGAGAGAUUGUUGACUCCAUUAGUUUUUUAUGAUAAAAAAACAUUCCCAUUUAUGUGUGUCUAAUGCCUUUACUUGAGUGUGCAGGAAAGUAAUAUAUGAAAUUAAUUUAUUGACUCUUCAAAGAGUAUUUUUGAAAGAAAAAGAGGGAUAAAAUCAACAAGAUGUAACUAAAUAACAAGGAUCAAGCUUAUUGGUGAAACAAGGAAGAACAUUAGUUGACCAAAUUUCAAAUUGGAGAAAUGACGGGCUGAAGAGUUUGAGAAACAGAACCAAUUUAGUCAACCAAGUCAGUCGACUAAGUGCUCUUUGCCAGAAUCUGCAAACCAAAAACAGAACCAAAUUAGUCAACCAAGUUAGUCGACUAAAAGCUCUCUGUCUGUAAUUUGAACCAGAGCAUUACAAGGAAAAUUAACAGCUAGAACUCAUCCUCAACUGUUUUCAACAGAUAUAAACUGCCAAACUGCCAUCAGAGUUGCGUUGCCAAGUAUAAAAGGGUCUUCCAACAAUAAGAAAGAAAUUUUUUGAAGCCUUGAAUGAGAUUUGAGUUAUAGAAAGUAGAAAAAACCAGAAAAGCUUCACUGCACCUUACUGUACUUAAACGUCAAUCUUUGUAACAGAGUUCAGUACUUCAUCUUGUACCAUCUAGAUCAAGUAAGUGAUCAUAGGUACUUUUUUAUUACUUCUCUUGUAUUGUUAGAGUGAGGGAGUCACUCUAAGGGGUUGUUCAAGCUUGGGAUAGCUUGAUUGUUGUAGGUUGUGGUUGAGCCUUAGAAAACCACAUUGGGUUUUAAUUGAGCCCGUGAAAAACUAGUGUAAAAGUUUGUGGCUGAGCCUGGUAAAAGCUAUUGUAAAGCUUGGUGAAAGCUUGUGAAUUUCACCGGUCUAUAGUGGAUUUGUGGGAACAUCCUUGGUUGGAUAAUCAAGGUAAUGGAUGUAGGUCUUAGACCGAGCCACUCUAAAUUGCUGUGCAUUUUAUACUCUGUUUUUGUUUUCUUAAGUUCUGGAAAUUAGUUUCCAAUCUUGUUAAGAGCCAAAUUAUGCUAUUCACCCUCCUUCUAGCACAUAUUAUCAGGACCAACACAUUCACCGGUCCUCGUUGAUUCUUAAAUCGACUCCAACUGCCCCUAAUGGUCCAAAUGGAGAUGUGGGGUCUCGUUAGAACCUAUCACACAUAAUAGCAUCACAAAUCAACUCAAUUCACAUAACCAUAAUUCUAAAAGCUAUCUCCUAAAUCAUGUUCUACUAGUUAUUCCUAGCUAGCUUCCAACUACCAUUAAGUGGAUAUCUAUUUUCACUAUUCUAGUCACACUAAAAUGAAUAAACCACCUCAACUGCAAAACACUCACAAAUCUAACCACUAUCCAUUAUCAACAACUUAAAAAUCAACUCAAUUUUCAUUACUCACCUUGGUAGCUUUGUAAUUGAAUUCGUUUUCAAAAGCUUUCAAACUAUUGUGAAAAUUCUUUCUUUCUCUCUCUAGAACAUCCAACAAGUGAGAGCAAGUAUUAAGGAAAGGCUUUGGAGGGUUUUAAGGUGAAAGAGUAAAAUAGCACAAAGGACUUUGUAAAAAGGUGAAGAAAAGCAUAAAAAUUGGGGUUAACUUGAGAAAAUUUAUGGAGGUUUCAAAGCAAGCUUCCAUGGAAUGUGAGAAAAUGUGAGGAGGGAAGAAGAAGAAGAAGAAGAAGAAGUUGCUAGAAACUUAGAUAUUUAUGCCUAAUGUUUAUCCAAUUUCUCACGAAAUUACCAAAAUGCCCUUAACGAGGUCACUUUGUCUUCCUCUUACCUUUAGAUAAUCUUUUUACUUCUUUGACACUGAGACAAAGUCCAUAAUAGUCUAAAAAUACUCGGGUUCAUGAAAACUUAAAAGUUUUGACUCAAGAUGUAAAAUGACCGUUUUACCCCUACCAUGAAAAUUAUCAGUAUUUCUAUCUUCUUCAUUUAUUUUAUCAUCAUUCAUUUAUUCCUUAGGUCUAUUUAGACCUUAAUAACAUUUGAGAGCUACUUCAAGGAGCUCACCAUGAGAAAUGACGAAAUUACCCCUAGUCCAUGUUAUCGCAUUUACUUUUAAUUACGAGUCUAUAGAGGUCGAGGUCUCACACUCCUCUUGUCUCCUUGGUGCCCAAAAUACCUUAUUAUGAUGUCAAAUCACUUUUUUUAUCUUGCAAAUUCUUCCUUGAUAAAAAUAUUAUUAUUUUAUUAUUAUUUCUUCACGUGCGUAAUAUUUUAUCUCAAACUAUUCCUUUCAUCUUUUAUCACUUUUAAACAUUAUAAUUAACCUCAAUUGGCAUUCAAUAAGCUUUAUUAAUCACCAUAUCAAAUUACAAGGUAUUACAAUGCCAGUAGCUAUGUCAAGCUUAAAACCUCUAGGGAUCGACCCCUCCUUGCCAUGUGAAUAACCUUUCAUGCCUUAUUUGCAAAAAUUACAUUUCUUUGGUUUCCUUAUCCAAUCAUACUUUCAUCCAUUGAUACCACAUUAAUCCAACAACAUCAGAGUAGGAAGUUCAUGUCAAUCUAGUUAGGAAAACUCAACCAACAUUCAAAUUAUAUUAACACGUAAUUCAUUCAAACUUGUCCAACAUUUACUUAAGUUUAAGCAACAUCAUUUCAUAAAAGGUGGGAGUUUCAUUAUAUGAAUGUAAGAGGUUUGCUUGGGACUAGCGGGCUAUACCUAUCUAAAUUCUAGUGCUGGUCAUGGAACCCCAAAAAGGGAUCGUGAUAGUAUCAUAAAGGGUAUUGUUAGUAGGGGUAGCUGACAAAGCUAUAUGGUUGCUACGCAGAUUUAUUUUUGCUCAUUUGAAGUUUUUGAGAUCACAGGGGAAGGCUAUCUAGGCCACCCUUAUGUGUUUUCUUUUGUUGUUCUCAUCAUGAAUACAAAGUCAUUACCUUUCAAAAAAAAAAAGGUAACAUUUUAUAAAGUAAAUUCAAAUAGGUGGUCAAUCACACCUAAACAAAAAAUAUUGAUAAUGAUUUCAUUUAACAUUAAAUGGUUUAGUUUCGGAACCUGCACAUUAUGACACACACAACUAGAUUUUAGAUGUAAGUAGAUAUAUAAUGGGAAAAUGUUUACGGUUAGUAGUUUUUUUCUAUUUACACCAAAAUUGCUAAUAGCAAGACCAAAUAUCCAUUUGGAAAACGAGAUUGCAUUUAGUAUUUUGAUUCAAUAUGUACUACAUAGGACCCCUGCUAGCUUUAAAAAAUUUUCCUUAAUGUAUAAAUAUAAUUUACUAGAAUUAGGUGCAAUAAAUGAUACAACAUAGCAUAAUAGUUACAAGCAAGACUCAAUUAGAAAAAGAUAAGCAACCUUUUAUUCAAAGACCUCAUAAAGCAUAAAAUCCAAUUAUUAAGCCACUCUUGGGCUGAAAUUUCAAAAUCUUAUUUCAGUAAAGCUUGAUCACAUUGUUCCAUCGGAAUGGGCUCAAGGAUUGGCUUGACACAAUCUUGAUUUUCUUUGAUUUGAAUGCCAAACCAAUCGCAAUUUUGGUAGAUCCGAUGAAUACAUGGUGUCAUUUCGACAGCAACUUUGACAAUAUCGGGUGCUCGAAGAGAAUCUUUAACUAUUACUUUGUUAAAUUUUUACCACAAAUUUCUUAUCAAGCCUGUCACAUGAUUAUGUGCUUCUUCUUCCGAAACACCUUCUUGGGUCAUGUAAAAAUGGAUGAAAUUCAUUGAUUCUCCCCUUUUGAUUUCAACCUUCAAAAGAUAAGUAAUAUCUAACUUAACAAAUUAUUGAAAUAUAAUAAAAUAGGUAGCCACUAGUUUGGUAGACAAGUGAGAGAGAUUUGUUGAAACGUUAAAUUGGUACAGCAAUAAAGCAAUAGCAAUGCAGGCAAGAACAAACCUCGGCAGUGUUUAAAUCAUUAAUGAGUCGACCAAUGUAGCCAGGCAACCUAACUAAGUCAGAGACAGACCAAUGCUCCACAAAUUCUGACAAAUAAUCAUUUAUAGAGUGUCCUGCCACUCCAAAAAAGCCAUAGACAAUGGAUACAGGUACACCAAUCGAGACCCAAGCAUUCUCAAGAUAUUCAUCUGCAGUUGGAGUGUAUCCGCUGUGAAACCAUCGUGCUUCCUUGAGAUAUCCUCUAAUAUAACACAACCACUACAAAAAUUGAAUGUCAACUUGUCAGUAUAAAUUACAAUUAAUAGAUAAAGUUCUCAUUAUGUAUGUACUCCAUGCAUAAUUUCCAUUUUUUCUCUAUAUAUCUUUUUUUAAAAUUAUGUCAUUUUUUUAAACAUCUAAUAUUCUUUUUUGUAUUUUAUAAAUUAUUAUUUAUAAUUUCUUUUUUUACUUUUCAGCAUUAAAAAUUGUAAAACAUCAAUUAAUUUACAAAAUUGUUUUGAAAUUUUUUUAACAAAUAGACUAAAACUAAAGGUUUUUUUCCCUUAAUUUCUAUAAAAGUUCAAGAAAGACAAAUAAAUAAUAUUUUAUUUGGUCAUUCGAUUAUGUACCAUACCUAUUACAUUUUUUUUAGUGAACAUAGCUAUUCCUUAAUAUAGGGUAAAAUAUCCAUGCCAUUAUCUUUCAAGGCAUAUUGGACCAAUUCACUAACAUGGUUGCACAUGGCUGAGGAUACUUUCAUGUACUCUUGGAAGUUCCUCCAUUGCCUUAUUAAGAUCCCAUCUGCAAUUCGGGAAAAGUUUGUCAUUAAAAGAGUUUGGAAACGUGUACGUAGAAUGAACACAAAUUUUCAAAGCAUUGCUCAGACUAAGGAAAGAAGUUGAAAAUCUAAAUUUCUCACCUAUUUACUGCAUCUGUGUACUUCUCAAGCUCAUCAAGUGAGCCAUAUACGUCCAAUAUGUCAUCUAAGGCUGUUCCCAUGAAUCCGAAUUUCGCGAGGUUCCUCCUCAAUAGGGGUAAUUGGGGCCCCGGAGGGCAACUCCCCAGUGCCCAAAAAUAAGACUCAAGUAGCCUAUCCCGAGCGAAAGGUCGCCUUUCCUUAUAGUUCAAGUCCCUCCACCCCCUGCCCAAUCAAUUGGAAAACAGUAAAUAUCUUUACAUACAAACAGCAACUAAAUUCAAUUUGUAGACUUUAUUACAAUUUACUACCUAUUCGCGAUUUAGGGGCAUUUUCCAUUAAACCAUGUAUAUCCAUUUAACAGCACUGAUAUUUAGUAACAAUUUAAAUGAUUUAAGUUGAUGUGAAAAUUAAAUUUCUUAACUAUCACAUUUUAUUUUUACCCAUAAAAAAACUGACAUUUUAAAAUCUGAUUUAUUUUCAAUCUAAUUUAACUAAUGAUAUCUAGUAAUAAUAAUUUAAAAAUCUGAUUUCUUAACAAUGUAAUUUAAGUAAUUACUGAUGUCAAGUAAUCGUAAUUUAAAAAUCUGAUGACAAUCUUAGCUUAAAAGUUCUUUUUUUUUUCUUUUUCAGAUUUAUUUUUUAAUAGAUAAUCUUACUCCACUAGUUCCUGUACCUCCUUCAGAUAAACAGAUUGCAUGAUAUUGUAGUUCAACUUGGCAAGCUCGAGCAAAACCAAAUUCAUCUUAUCAUCAUAUUGGUAGAUAGCAAUGAAAUCUCGUGCUUCUGUCCAAGGCAUCCUCCAGUGCAGUGGAUAUUCCAGUGAUUGUUGUAUUUGCCGAGCUAUAGUCUUCUUUAGCACUAACAGAUGUUUUGUACUAAAAUUCAGGGCCUCGUCUAAAACAUCUUCUUCUGGCAUCCCAAGGUAAGAAGCUUUGUGUAAACUCAAUAGCCCAAUAACAUCUUCUCGUGAGCUGUCCAUGAAUUUUCCAUCUAUCUCCAUGAACUUAUUAAACAGAUCUGCACAUUUUCACCCCUCACAUCUUGAGUAUGUAUGUUACCCAAAUAAACAAGAAGUGGAAUCCCUUAAAUGAUCCAGCUGCAGGGUCCCUGCAAGGGCACAGCUGUUGAAAAUGCUAAAUGAAGAUGAGGCGUCGGUAAGGAUUCGAAUGCAUAGUAAAGCAAACUAUUCCUUUCAAGAUAGUUGGGUAUAGAUUGGUAAAAGAUAUUGUAUUCAUGAAUAUCUAUUUAUUGUGAUAGUUUCAAUAAAGCGAAAUAAACUAGAUUUGUCAAAAAAAAUUAAAUAAGGAGGAAAAUUAAAAUUAAAAAAGAACACGAACAUUUUGAGUCUUGUUAGCCAAUCUGAAGUGUUAAAUUGAAUGAUUGAUUAUUCCAAAAAGUUAAACUAAUAAAAAAAACUUGAUUAUUAUAUUUAAAUUCUAAUACACUUCUUCACAUGUAUUUCAGAUGAAUAUUUAAUGGGCUUGCAGGUGGACUCAAGUGUAGAAAUAAGCCACGCCCAAAAAAGGAUUAAAGAAGUAUUGUAAAGUUCAAUUUGUAACCAAACACUCGAAACAAUAUUAAAAGGAGAGUAACACAUUUUCUAACAUUCGAAAUCAAAGCUCUAAUAUUAUAUUAAGUUGGGCGUUCAAUUAUUUCAAAACUUUAGUUGAUAGGAAAGGGACAACUAUCAUAUUUAAGUUUAACACUAGGCUUGACAAAAAAAGAUGACCAUAAAUUAAAUAUAGUGUCCUUUAAUGAAACGCUAUUCAAAAUGAUAAAAAAAUAAGUUAACUAUAGUGAAAACAUUUUGCGCAUAUAACCUGUACCAAUGAAGAAACCAUUUUGACGUAUAAGUCUAAAUUGCAAGGCGGCAGUGUAAAGAUCAGUGGCAAUGUUGGCAUCAACAAGUUUAGCGAGAAUAUCCUUGAUAUCCUUCUCAAAGUGGUAAGCCCCUCCUAAGCGUUGCAUUGUAUUGAUCAGAUCCAGUUGGUCACGUGGUUCUUUCAUGCUAGCAAGUAAAUCCCCAGCACCUUGCUUAAGUUCCUCAAGACGAGUGACAUGGUUCUCGAACUGCAAAGUUAACCAAAAUAAAGUGGUGCAGGUUAAACACAGAGUAAUUCUAAGGUGAUGAAGCUUGGGCAUCUAAUGAAAGUAAACUUACUGAGUAGGGUGUGGUGAAGGACUUGACGAGUUCAACAUCCCAAACAGUGGGAAGGUUACCUGCUGAUCGUUGUUCAAUACCUUCUGCUUCCAUGGUAAUACUAAAAUGAUUAAUAUUGCGUUGUAACUCGACCGGUUACAGGUAUUUAUAUAGAGAUGCAAUGAAGAAUUUAUCCAUAACAUAACAGAGGAUAAUAAUUAACAGCAGAAAUAGUAGAACCCACAAAUAGUUCUAAAUGACAAAACAGCAUGUCUUUCGGUUUUGUUAUUCAAAUAAUUAAUUUUUAAAUUAUUUACUUAUAUAUAAGCAUUAUACCAACAAAUAGAAGAACCCACGUGUAAAUCUUUUUGAUGGAUAUGCAUCAAACAUAAUUGGAGAUUUGUACUACGGAUUGAUAAAAAUCCAUUUGACUUAUUCAAAUUCUGAUCCGAUUUAAUUUGAUUUGAUUAGAAAAAAUCAUCAAAAUGUUAUGAAUAUUUUUGUGAAUAUUUAUUUAUACCAUGUAUAUCUAGAGUUGGAUGUAAAUUAGAUUGGAUGAAUAUUAAGAUUUAAUCCAUCUAAUCCCUUAGUAUUAUCUUCUUCUUGUAAAUUCAAUAUAGAUAAGGGGUUAUUAGCCUAUAAUAGGCCUCUUCACUUCAUUUGUAAAUAAACACUUGAAUAAGAUCUUCUUACUCCCUCUAAAUACUUUCUCUUUCCUCUAAAUACUUUCUUUUAUAUUUCUCUUGUAAUUGUUCUUUCAGAUUUAUUUCAUAACACGUUAUCAGAACGAUUAUCCGAUCUCUCAAAUUUUAGAAUUAUUAUGUUUUCAUCAUCUUCAAGCUCCAAAAGAAUUUCAAUGAUUGGGUUUUGAUUUCUGAUUCUAGAGAAUCAGGUAAGUGACUUGAUAUCUCUUUAGUAUUUUCAUUCUUUUAAAAUCAACCUUAAUAUGAAUUUUACUAUUAUGUUGUAUAUAUUAUAUUUUGUCCCUUGAUUGGAAAGUGAAUUUGCUAUUAUAUAGUUCAUUCCCUAAAGUGAAUGUGACAAACGAGUUGCUAAUAAAAAACUUACAUCUCCUUACCUUAUUUGUUGAGUUUGUAGGUUUGGAAAGCAUGAAGAUAAGGAGGAUAAAAUGGUACAAAUUACUCUUAUUUAAGUAACUAAAAUUUUAAUUACCUCUCCUUUAAUAUGCUCAAAAGCUAAUCUAUAUUCAUUUAAAUAAAUUUAAUUUCUAAAAUUAAAUAACUUGAUGAAUGAAGAUACGCAAUUGAAAUGGUAAAAAUUAAUUCAUAUUCAUAACUCUAGGCAACACUCAAAUAUUAUUCAAUUGCACCAUUUUAUUUGAUUAAUCCAUAUUCAUUUAUAAUAUUAUUCAAUUGCAAUCACAUUACUUACAAUCACAUUACUUGUAAUCAAAUAGCAUUGUAAAGUAACAAACGCCACCAUAAUAUGAUUGCAAGCAAUAUGAUUAUAGGAAAAAAUAACAUUACAAUAUUUGGUAUACAAGCAAAAUAAUAAUUAAAAUGUAGGGAGAUAAUAUUACAGCGUUUGAUUUACAAGUAUUUUGAUGUAAAUGUAAUAUUAAUUUUCAAAAUUACCCUUACUAUUAAAAUGAAAAUUUAAUAUACUUGUAUUUUUUAUUGUUAAUUUUUAUAUAAUAUCAUCUCUUAAAUAUAUUUUUAAUGUCAUAUAUUUUAUUUUCAUUUCUUAUUAUAAUCUUAUAUAUUUUAUUUUCAUUUCUUUAAUAUAAUUUUUUACAUUAUAUAUUUAUUUAUUUUAAUUUCUUUUACCUAUAUUAUAUAACUUUUAAUUUCUUAUAUUUUAUUUUAUUUUAAUUUCUAAUUUUUAUAUUAUAUAUUUUAUUUUAAUAUUUUUUAUUUUAAUUAUAACAUUAGAAAAUGUUUUUAAUAAAGUAAUAAAGUUGAAGGGUAAAAAUGUCUUUACUAACAUUGCAGAGUGCAAUGUAAUGGGAUUGUAUUGGUUUUGGAUUGUAAUCACAUUACAUUACUUGGCUACAAUGUGAUUGCAUUGCAAUCUUACAUUGCAGUGGUCUGUUGCAAAAACAAAUAUUGCAGUGUAAUUUAAUUUGACACAUUAUAGGGAAUGGGCUCCCACUUCUCUUAUACCAAAUGCUACAUUAAAGUAGUCAAUUCCCAUGAUUCGUAGGGUAGCUUCUUGAUGUUAGAAUAAAAGAUAACAAGAAUUUCAAGUUUUUUCAAACUUCUGGAUGCCCAAGCUUUCUCCAAACGACAACGUACUAAGUAUAGAGUUCGAAGGUUUGUUAAGAAUUGAAGUCCUUCUAACAACAAAAGAUUCUUGUAAGAACUAAAACUUUAAGGGUUUUCAUUCCUUCAAAGAACAUAAUUGGAACUCUUGUUAAACUGCCUUUGUGAUAUUGAUAACCAUAACUCAACAAGAGAGUUUUGAGAUGUGGAUACUCUAUUUUGUGAAGAAGAAUAUUUAUGUUACUCUUUAUUAAUGACAUUGUUGUGUAGCUUUCAAACCUUUCAUUCCUAGGCCAUUUCUCUAACUCACUUUUCACCAUGAAUGUGUUUUCCCCUUCUGAUUUCAUCCAAUGAAUAAAAUCAUGAGCCACAUCAUGCAUUUUCACAUGUCUUUUAUUACUACUUUCCAACAACAAACCUAACUUUUGGAGGUUUUUUUUAUUGUUACAUGCAUUUCCCUCCUUGCAUCUUCAAGUUAACAUCGUCGAACAUUCCUUCCCCAAUUCCAUACAUAGUUAAUUGGUCGAUACUAACUUCAUAAUCUUCUGGGAAAAGAAUAACACAAUAAUCAACAUGAAUGACUAUUGUUUCCUUUUAAAUAAUCAUAACUAAUCUGAAGUCCGUUGUAGAUACCUCCACAAACAUCUUGAUUCUCUUUAUGUCUAGAGCCUUUUAGUCAUUGAUUUACUACUUCCCACCCAUCUAGAGUUUCAGUUUUCAAAGCUCUUCCCACAAUCACAAUUGUAAGAGGCAAACCCUUGCAUUCUUCGGCAACCUCCUUAGCUACAUCAUGCAAAAGGGAAGUGACAUCUUUUAACCGAACAUUAUCUUUGAAUAAAGCCCAUGCUUCAUGUUCAGAUAAGAUAUUGAGCAGAACAUCCUUUUGACAAUUCAUUUGAGUGAAAACUUGUUUAAGGCAGGUGGUUAGAAAAAUUUUGCAACCAUUGUGAUCAUCACCGAAUGGAAUUCUGAUAACCUUCAAGUCAAGUUCUUCCCAAACAUCAUCAGGGAUUAUAAGGAUGCUAUUCACCUCUUUUAUUCUCAACAACAAUUGCUCUGCUUUUCCUUUGAUAGCGUUCUUUUUAAAAGCUAAAUCUAAUAAGUUUGCGAUUUUGUCUUGAAUAUUGUUGAAAUUUGGAGUUUGGGACACGGUUGUGAUCACAACUUUAUGGAAAAGUUGUUUGGCUUGGUUUCCCACUUCUUUUGCCAAAGUGCUUUUACCGUCUCUUCCCAUCCCAUAUAGUCCAAUCAUGUUGAGAAGAAUUCGAAGAUUCAGAAGACAUGAAAUCCUUAGAUGGAAUGAACUCUAAUCCUAGAAUAGUAGCUUGGUAACCUACUCGUUGAAAAUUACAAGUCUUUAAAAGUUGAGAGAUAGAAAGUGUCUUCUUCGCUACUUUCUUACUUAAUCAAUAAUGCUAACCGCAACAAGGACACUAAUUGAAACACUUUUUACAUUCUAUUUCAUUUUCCAAACUUUGAGCUUCUUCUAGUUCUUUCUCUGCCCUUGUUAGCCAGUCCUCAACGUCCUUCUCAAUUACCUCAGUUUGCCUUAAAGCCUCAUCAACAUCAUUUUUCACCCGAUCUUUUCUCAAUUCAAGUUGGUUUUGCCGAUUCUUGAACUGCUCAACAAUUUUGCCCAAACGAAUAAAGCAAUUGACAUAAGGUGAUGCGUAUUUAGUUUCCAGGUUCCCUACAAUGUUGGCAGCAAUAGCAAACUCAGCAGCCAUUCUUUGAUGAUUUGAGAUUGAAAAGCAACUUUGAUGAGAAAAAAGAAAAGAAAAGUGACUUCAAUAAGUAAAAAGUGUUACAGAGAGAUAAAUACAAUUAAUGAAAGAGAAAAUUAUGAAAGUUGGUCGUCUUCAAAACUUGACUUCAAAAAUAACCAUCAAAAUAAAAUUAACUGUUUUUAGCCAUAUUUAACCAUAACUUGACAAAAAUAUCUUUGAAACCAUUUCAAAUAAAUUAAACUAUUCACUACAAUUGCUCUCGAUUAUCGUAUCUGCUUUAGAUUUCUCUCUCUCACCAUUCAGCUCUCUCUAAUUUAUCGAUUUCUCUUUUCAACAUUUGUCUAUCGUGCUCUUGAUUUUUCUUUCCUAUGCUUUCAGGAUGCCAAGAGAUGAUUUUAAUGUGCUUGGGGUGGGUGGCUAUUUAGAAAAUUUGAUUUUAGGUGUUUUGGAUGAAACUAAAAUUAUAGAAAUGAUCACAGAUGUUUGAAAUAGUUUUUAAUUGAAUCAAUUCGGGCCUAAACACUAAUAAACUCAAGAAUUUAAAAUUUAUAAUUCUAGGGUUUCAAAGGGAAUUUUUUUCAAUUUUUAGUUAAAAUAUGUGUUUUAGAUUAGGAAAAUUGUGUUUUGAUUUAUGAAAACGUGUUAGAAACAUUUUAAUCAGUGCCAAAUCGUAAAAAAAAAAAAAGAAAUGAAGAGAGUUGAAAAGAUUUGAAGUUUUGGUUCGUAGGUAACAACAACAUUUCAAGCAUUAAAGUGUAACAAAAUUUUUUAAACAUGGUGUGUAACAAUAAUAUUUUUUCAAUAUGGUGUGUAACAACAUCAUUUUGUUCAACAUGGUGUGUAACAUAGUUUUGUACAUGGUGUGUAACAACAAUUUUUUUUUUUUCAAUAUGGCAUGUAACAACCCUUUUUUAACCAUAGCGUGUAACAUAUUUUUGAACAUGGCGUGUAAUAACUUUUUUUAACCAUGACAUGUAACAUAUUUUUGUACAUGGCGUGUAACAAUAAUAUUUUUUUUCAACACGACAUGUAACAUCAUGUACACUUGAUAUAAAGAGGUUUAAUACAUGACGUAUAAUAUGUUUUUGUACAUGGCAUGUAACAUUAUGUGCACUUGAUAUAAAGAGGUUUCAUUAAGGGUAAUUUUGUCAAACUUAGUUAAACAUAAUUAAAAUUAUAAAAGGGUUAUUUUUUUAAAACAUCUUAUCUUUGAGGACUAUUUUUUAAAAUGCCCCAUUAUGAAAUAUUUACAAAUUAAGUACCUUACCUUCUGAGCAAUAUCUUAAUGAAAAUGUGAGUCACAUGAGAAUAAAUUGUCGAACGACCAGCUUGAAAAUUGAAAAUGCAAUUGACAACUUCCUUAUGAAACAAAAGCUCUGCAGAUGAAGAACAUUUUUAUUUCUUCAAGUUUGUUUUAUCAAUAAUCAAUUGAUUUCAUUUCACUCUUUGUUUAAGAUUUACUAGCCUAAUCUCACCCAUAUAAACAAAAUCAAUUUCGAAUUGUUUAUGCUUUCUAGUUUAGUGAUAUUCAAUGGCUGGAGGCCAUGAGUUCAUGGAUGAAGUAUGGAUAAUCGUCAAUUAAUUAACAAGGCAGUAGAAAUGUAUUUAUAUAGUUAAAAUCAAAAUAAAAAAUUGGAGCCAAAGCCUUUUACCCUUUUUAUAGUUGAUGCUCCUUCCAUCUUUCAUCACUUGACUUUCUCCUUGGUCUUUGAGGUGAUGGCCUUGGAGUACUAGUGGCUUCUUCCAAUAAUUAUUAGUCAUUUUACAAUUAUGAGAAAAUACCUUAUUUAAACAUCUAUAUAAUAUAUUGUCCUUUUCUAAAUAAUGAAGACCUCAAUAAGCUAAGUUUUAAAUUGAUUAAAUUAUGGAAAACUAUUUAAUAAAUUGCUGAUGGAGUUUAAAAUCUCUACCAGUCGAGUUAAAAGGUUGUCAAAUAUCUUAUUAAGUGCAUUUAAAAAAUUAAUAAUAAAUUAAUAUGAUGAAUAAAAAGAUACGUGACAAUAUUCUAAUCUAUCUUGUGUUGUUUAGAAACUAAACUGAUAAUGUAUAAAAUAUUAUUCUAAAUUUCCCAAGAAUAAUUAUAUUUUAUGAAGACUAACACGCCUAUUUUUCGAAGUGGUAAGAACUAAAAGCGUAAUCAACCACCUAUUUAUUGAUGUAUAAACAGUAAAGAUGGUUAGGAAGUUAAUACAAACGAACCACCCAAAAAUUAACAAGUAAAAUAGAAGAAAGAUGGAAGAAAGAAAUGAGAAUACUUGGUAAUUUGCUAACAUGUAGCAGCAGCAGCUAGUAAAAUUCAGAUUAUGCUUUAACGUAGUUUUACAUUCUUGUUACACUGUAUUGUGAUUCUUCUGAUGCAACGUUGCUCAUUUUGCAUGGAGCCUUCCAAACCAAAGAAAGUAAGAAGAGUAGGUACAGGAAAUUUAAUUAAAUAUUGGCAACUUGGCUCAACGUCGUCCCAUUGAGAAAGCUACAAUGCCUAAGCUACUUCAAUGCAUUGAGAAACUUUGUUUUAUUUAUUGUUUUCCAGCUACAAUCCAAAACAUUGUUUUCAUUAAUAGUGUAGAAAUAAAUUUGUUAGAGAUCCUUUGAUUUGACAACUUGUAUACAAAACAAGAAUUUUGGAAAUGGCAACCAUUGUGUUUACACUGAAAAUAUAGAGCUAUUAUUUAUAUAGAGAGACAUGUGAGGUUUAUAUCAAUCACAAGAGCUCGAAGUACAUUUUUCAACAAAAGCGUCCUUAACCUUAAACAACAUCGAUGGAUAGAGUUACUUCAAGACUAUAAUUGCACCAUUUUGUAUCACUCCGACAAGACAAAUGUGGUGAUGGUGUAGACACCUCAUUUUGUCCAAGUCAAUUUAAGUCAUUAUUUUUAUUUUAUUUUAUUUGUAUCCAUAUUUAUUUAGUAUUGGGUCAAAUUAGGUGUGGGUUUAAGUGAUUAAGCCCCUUUAGGAUGGAAGUUUAAUUAAAAGGUUAGGUCUUUUGAGCUUUUAAAUCCAAAGUGUUUUGGGCCACUAUUACAUGAACCUUUCUUGGACUUUCCAGGUCCAAAGGCCUUUAAUUAAAUGGAUUUAAUAAUAAAACAAAAAAAUAGAGAGAAAAUCAAUAAAAUAAAAAAUAAAAAAAAAAACAACAAAUUUGAAAAAUGGAGGUCAUUGCUAAAAACCUACCAUGGCAACCGCUACCUUGUGUGUAUUGAGUCAACCUUGUAUAGGGCUAUGACAAGGUAGAAUUCCUUAGGAGAGUGAGUCUUUUGUACCUCUAAGGGAGAUGUUGCCCACUUUCAAACAUUGCAAUGGCUCUUGGUGACAUCUUUAGAAAUACUUGUUAAGUCUUUAGGGGAGAAAACCCUUUAGGAAAAGAUUGUUCCCAUCUCAAGCAUUGUAAUGGCUAUUAGCGAAAUACUUAAAAAAUCUUGUAAACUCUUUAUAGAGGGUGUGCAGUUGACAGGCUGUUGGGCUAUCUCACUGGUUUAGGUACGUUUGUGGCUAACCAUCUAGGGGUGCCCCUAUAGCUCGAUGAUGGUGCGUUCCUUUUCUUGGUUCCUUUGUACUUAUUUGCAAUAUUAAUAUAACACAAGUGGUUGCAUAUAUGGCAUUUGGUAUGCCUUUUGAUUUUAAUAUUGAUUUCCAUGACUUAACUCAUGGCUAUUAUUCAUGUUGUUCAAAUAUAAUUGAACAAUUGGGUAGCUUGAGUAGAAAUGUCCACCCAAGUGCUGCACGGAUUAUCAUGUACUUAAGCAAAUACGGCGUAGUAUGUGACAGUUGGUAUUAGAGCAUGGGUGAGAUGUGCUAAGCAAAACAAUAAUCAUGGUGACCACAUAGAGUUCACCAAAGGACCAUCAGAAGAUUGAUGAGCUAAAGACCGUGGUGACCACAGUAAAAGCUUAGAUGGUCCCACGUGAGUGAAUAAAUAAAAUUGAGACAGUCUAGCAAAAACUGUCCAAGAUUAUUAAUACCUUGAAUGAUGAGACCAAGGAUGUGUUGAGCACUCUCCAAGGCGAGAUUGGAGAAUUGAAAACUUAAGCAAAUCUUUUGGUUAUUGUUGCAGGUAAUACUAGUGCAAACUAUAGUCGAAAAAGUCGAGGAAGAGUCAACAUGAAUGGGUUCCAUUCGUUUCCUCAGCGCCUUACAAGCGCAAUUGGAAUAGAUGGAGAAGGAGGCCCAAUGAGGUUUAAUGUAUGUAAAGGUGUCAUUGAAUGAGAAAAGAACCAAAGCCAUGCUUGACACAAAGGCCUCAAACACUUUCAUCACCUACGGAUAAGUAAAGAAUUAAGGUCUAAAGAUUCAGAAAGACUUUGGACAGAUGAAAGCAAUUAACUCACCAACCUUCGUUAUUAUGGGGAAUUCAAAAAUUGUGAAGAUCAAGUUCAACUCUUGAGAAGGGAGUGUAAAUUUGACUAUAGCUACUAUAGAUGACUUUGACUUUGUCUUUGGUUUGGAUUUCAUGACAAAGGCAUAGGCCAUUCCAUUUCCUGUGGCUAACUACUUGAUGUUUUUGGGAAGACAACCAUGUGUGGUACCAAUUACAAUCCUACCUAAGAGUGAGAAGAAGGUUAUAUCUUCCAUUCAGUUCAAGAAGGGGAUUAAAAGAGGAAAACUGUUUUAUGUGGCGAUUUCGAUUUAUAAAGAUGGAAGAAGCCAUGAUCUAGUACUUGUAAGACUAAAGUUAGUUUUGGAAGAAUUUAAGGAUAUGAUACUAGAACAAUUACCUAAAAUACUACCACCUUGACUAGCAAUUGAUCAUGAGAUAGAACUAUUUCCGGGAGUUAAGCCUUCGACAAAGGGACAGUAUAGGAUGGCUCCCCCAAAGCUAGCAGAGCUAAAGAAGCAACUUAAUGAGUUGAUACAAGCAGGAUUUAUUUAACCUACAAAAGCACCUUUUAGGGCACCGGUACUAUUUUAGAAGAAGCAAGACGAAAGUUUAUGGUUGUGAGUAGACUCCCGGGCUCUAAGCAAGGUCACAGUAUGAAACAAAUAUCUUAUGCCUUUAAUAGCAUGUUUGUCUACCCAACUGAGUCACACAAACUAUUUAUCUAAAUUAGAUCUUAGGUCUGGCUAUCAUCAAGUUAGAAUUGCUGAUGUGGAUGAACCAAAAACCACUUGUGCCACACGGUACAGUGCAUUUGAAUUUCUUGUUAUGCUUUUUGAACUAACUACUGCUCCUGCCACAUUUUGUACAUUGAUGAAUCAGGUUUUUCAUGACUACUUGGACAAGUUUGUGGUAAUCUACUUGGACAACAUCGUAGUAUACAAUUCAACAUUAGAAGAGCAUAAAAAACAUUUGCGAAAGGUGCUUCAAAGGCUUCGGGACAAUCAAUUAUAUGUGAAAAGUGAGAAGUGUGCUUUUACGCAAACCAAAAUUCAGUUUCUAGGCCAUAUCAUUGAAUAGAGUCAUAUCCAAAUGGAUAUACAAAAGGUGAAGGCCAUUAAGGAGUGGGUGACCCUAAGAAUACAACUGAACUUCGUUCAUUUUUGGGGUUAGCUAAUUAUUACCAGGAUUUGUGGAAAGUUAUUCAAAAAGGAUGGUGGCAUUCAUGAAAUUGAUGAAGAAGGGGCAAAAGUGAAGUUGGACACUGCAGUGCCAAGCAGUUUUUGAAAGCCUAAAACAAGUCAUGAUGAUAGACCCUGUUUUAGCCCUCUCAAACAUCAAAAUGCCUUUUGAGGUACAAAUAGAUGCAUCAGACUUUGCUCUUGAAGAAGUAUUGUUACAAGAAGGAUACCUAGUUGCAUUUAAGAGUCGAAAAUUGAAUGAAGUCAAGAGAAAAUACAUUGCACUAGAGAAAGAACUUUUAGCAGUGAUUCAUUUUCUACGGGUGUAGCAACAUUACUUGUUAAGAUCUUAGUUCAUGGUUAAGAUAGACAACAUAACUGUAAACCACUUUCUCACAUAGCCAAAACUUAUAGCUAAGCAAGCAAGAUGACAAGAGCUCUUGACUAAAUUUGAUUUCUCCUUUGAGCACAAAGCCAGAAAAACCAACUGUGCAGCAAACGCCCUAAGUAGAAAGGUUGAGUUCAUAGCUCUUAGGGUAAUCGAGCCAAUGAUAGGCAACAAAGUGACCACAAAUAUCCGUAAUCUUGUUGAAGAAAACUUGCAUUGAGAUCCCCAAGCAAUUUCCAUUAUAAAGUUGGUUGAGAGUGGAAAGUCAAAAUACUUUUGGGUGGAACAUAGACUCCUACCAAUAAAAGGACCACGUUUAUUUAUUCCAAGAGCGAGAGAGUUGAGAUAGAAGUUGAUGCAGGAAUGUCACAACACCUCUUACGCAAGACACUCAAGUUGGCAGUGGAUCGUUACAUUACUAAAACAAGGUUACUAUUGGCCUCAUAUGUAGCAGAAUGUGAUAGAUUAUGCCAAGACAUGCCUCAUUUGCUAAUAAGACAAAGUAAACAAAUAGAGAUUAAUGAGCAUGCUCGAACCUCUACCAGUGCCAACCAAACAAUGAGAAAAUAUUUCUCUGAACUUCAUAGUAGGACUUCUUAAAGUGAGAGAUAUGAUAGCAAUCUUGGUAGUGGUGAACCGUUUCUCGAAGUACGUGAUGUUCAUCCCAUGUAGAAGUUUGGUUAUACAGAAGAAAUGGCUUGUAUAGGUUUUAAACAUGUGAUAAAAUAGUGGGGUGUUCUUAUGAGUAUUAGUAGUGACAGGGAUCCGAGGUUUACUUGUUUCUUCUAUACAGAGUUUUUCAAGCUAUUGGGGUCAGAACUCAACAUAUCUUCUAAUUAUCACCCGUAAAUAGAUGACCAAACAGAACGCUUAAACGAGUUGUUAAAAGAAUAUCUACGACACUUUGUAUAGGCGAACUAGAAGAAUUGGCCCAACCUGCUAGAUGUGGCCUAACUAUGUUUUAAUUCGUACAAAGCUCAAUGACUAAUAAAACCCUUUUUGAAGUCAUCAUUGGAUAGCAACCUAGACUUCCCCAUACCUCAGUGGAAUCAUAUAGUGGAAACAGUCCUCGAGCCUUUAACUUUGUAAAGGAGUGGAGACAAAACACUAAUAUUGCCAAAGCCUAUUUAGAGAAAGCCUCCAGUCGCAUGAAAACUGGGCAGAUAAAGGUCAAAAGAAGCAACACUUAAAGACAUGAGACCUGGUGCUAGUGAAGUUGGUACCUGAACAACUUUGAUUCUUAAGAAAGAGAUAUUGAAGACUAAUGCGAAAGUCUGAAGGCCUAGUACCAAUUAUGGUAAAGGUGGGGAAGACUUCCUACAUGAUUGAUUCACCCAAGUUGAUGAAGGUACACCUUGUAUUUCACGUCAGCAACCUAAAACCAUUCCACGUAGAUCCAACAGAUGUAAGUAGGAGUCAAGCCAUGAAAGCCACUAUCAUCACCAAACCACUAUCAUAGCGCAGAAUAGAGGAGAUCUUGGCAAGGAUAAUGACAAUAAUCAACUAACGACCAACACAAGAGUAUCUGGUGAGAUAAGAAGGUUUGGGGCCAGAUGAAAUCACUUAGGAGAAGGAAAUUGAUCUCUGCAGCUCAAAACAGAAAAUUGGAGUAUUCUAAGCCAACUAGUGAACGAGGACGUCGAUAGAUUGAGUCGGGGAGGAUGUCAUGAGCCAACCUUGUAUAGGGCUAUGACAAGGUAGAAUUUCUUAAGAGAGUGAGUCUUUUGUACCUCUAAGGGAGAUAUCCUUUACUUUCAAACAUUGUAAUGGCUCUUGGUGACAUCUCUAGAAAUACUUGUUAAGUUUUUAGGGGGGAAAACCCUUUAGGAAAGGAAUGUUGCCAUCUCAAGCAUUGUAAUGGCUAUUGGUGAAAUGCUUAUAAAAUCUUGUAAAUUCUUUAUAAGGGUAAGUAGUUGGUGGGUUGUUGGGCUGUCUCACUAAUUCAAGUGCAUCUGUGGCUAGCCAUCUAAGGCUGCCCCUAUGGCCCGAUGAUGGUGCGUUCUUUUUCUUAGUCCUUUUGUACUUAUUUGCAAUAUUAAUAAAAUAUUUUCUUUUAUAUAACACUGGUGGUUGUAUAAAUGGUAUUCGGUAUGCCCUUUGAUUUUAAUAUUGCUUUCCAUGCCUUAACUCAUGGUUAUUAUUCAUGUUGUUAAGAUAUAAUCGAGCAAUUGACUGGCUUGAGUGGAAGCGUCCACUCGAGCGCCACAUGGACUAUCGUAUACUUAAGCGAAUAGGGGGUAGUUCGUGACAUUGUGCCUCAUGCUUUCCCCUUUUGCUCGAGCACUGGUUUGGAAUUUCUGAAUCCUUCCCCAAAAUGGAAACACAAUAAAAACACGCAAACUAAAAGAUGAUGAAACUAAGAAAAGAUAGGGAAAAGACAAGUCAAAUGCUACCAAUGGCAGUAGUCAAGCCUCUUGUUCGCUACCAAUGGGAGCAACAUCAAAGUGAUCCCCUCUCCUUUAGUUAUAAAACUAGGAGAUAGGAGCAUGGUGAGGGGGAAAAAGAAUCCUUAAAAGAAAAGAAGGAGAAUAUAACAAAUUUAAUAGAUAGCCCAUCACACCUUAUAAAAAAAAAAUUGGUGACAACUCCAAAACCUUCACAUCAAGAUGGACGGAUUCCCAAACUUGCACGUAAUAACAUUAAAAUUUGUUUUGAUGUCGUGGGUUUUGAAUUUUGUCUACUGUGAUUGCUUUGAGUAUGUUUUUUGCGGGCUUCAGGCUGCGUGAUUUUUUUUUUUGAUGGUUGCUAUUUGGCUCCCGAUAUGGUGGUUUUUGUGUAUGGAGUUUUUGAGAGCUUUGAUGCAGGAUUGAUGUGGUUGUGAUGUACGUCUCGUUUAUGAGACUCUAUUGAACAUUUGUAUCCUUGCCAUGAUUCAAUGAUAUUUAAACAUUUUAAAAAAAAUGCUUGAAAUUAAAUCAUAGAAAAUUUGGCUCUCCCACCAAAACAACUUGGUGAGACCAAAACCCCUAAAGAAUUAUUGAUGCCCAACUCUCUCCAUCUAUUAUUUUGCGGCUGUGGCUGUCUGAUUCAAAAGCUUGCCGUGGACCAGCUUUUGCCGCCUGGUUUGACUAAUUGAAUCCAUAGCAACUGUCGACAUGAGCACAUAUUCCCAUUGACUAAAGAUAUACUUACUGUACAUUUUUCAACUCUUCAUUUCAGAAAUAAUGGAUAUGGAGCAAAUUGUGGCUUGGAGAGAAAUAAUUGGACGAAUAAUAGAUGGAUAAAAUCUGUUAUUAAAGAGAAAUAAAAUAUGCUGAUCAAUCAUGGUUGGAUGCAAGUUGUUAAUAAUUAAACAGAAAUAAAUAGUUUAGCAGUUUCAAAAUCCAAAAGGUUAUCAAUAUAUAUAAUAUGCUAAUGCUAUGAAAAAUCCAUAUAUCUAUAGCAGCUAAUUAAGUUUACCCAGGCGAAAACAUUUAUAUGGCACUCCAAGCCAGUAUUUUCACUAAGUCCUGCUUCCACCGAGGCGUUUAUAUGCCAACUCUUCCGUCCAAAUUUCGGGGGAGACAAUGCUUGGCUUCCACAAACUCAAUGGCUGCAGCAGCCCUGCAAGGCUCUCCGCUGUCGGCAAACACUCACCAAGAAGUCUUUCGUCCUUUGGCAGACUUCCCCCCGGAUAUAUGGGGCGACUGUUUCAUGUCUCUCUCGCUCGAUAACUUGGUAACUCACGUUUCUCACGUAAAUUAUAUGCAUUUGUAUGUUAAUUUUCACAUUUAUUAUAUACGAUAUAAGUAAGUGUUUAUAGAUAAACAAACAAAAAUAGAAUAUAACAUGUUUUUCGUAAAAAAAAAAAAAAGAAAGGUAAAAGUACGAUAGUUGGAAAAUUAAUAAAUAUGAAACAGAACAAACAUGAAACUUUUUGGUGUUUGAAAAAGAAAUAAAAACAUGAUUGAAAGACGUAUGAAAGUACAAAUAAUCAACAGUUUAUUUGAAAUUGAGGAGUAAAGUAUGAUAACGAGAAAGUAUCGAAGAUCUCUAAUUAUUGUACCUUAAGUUGCUUUCCUUGUGCGUUCUGCAGGAAUUUGAAUCACUCUGUAGACAAGUAGAGGUGUUGAAAAAGAAGGUGAAGGGCAUGUUAUCGGCUCCGAGUGACCAAGUAGAAAAAAUCCUCUUGAUCAACUCUCUAUGCCGCCUUGGAUUAUCGUACCACUUUGAGAAUGAGAUUGAAGAGCAAUUAAGUUACCUUUUUGUUUCAUUAUCUAAACAUAUGGAUGAUAAAGACUAUGACUUGGAAACAGUUGCAGCGAUAUUUCAAGUUUUCAGGCUACAUGGUUAUCGAAUGCGCUGUGGUAAGUCUCAUUUACGAAUAUAUGUAUAUGCAAAUUUUAUUGAAUUAGUUCAUUAAGAACAUUUUUUAUCACUAGCAUGCAAUGAAGGAUGCUAGCUAAUCCAAUAUUGGAUUUUAUAUCAGAUGUGUUUAACAAGUUUAAGGAGGGUGAUGGUGAGUUCAAGGAAGUGUUAGCUAGUGAUGUCAAGGGCAUCCUAAGCUUGUAUGAAGCUAGCCAGUUCAGAAUAAAUGGCGAGAAAAUUUUAGAUGAAGCCCUUGCUUUCACAACGAAGCACUUAGAGUCCUUGACAGACCAAUCAAGUCCCCAUCUUAGAGAAUACAUAGGAAACGCUUUGAACCGACCUUAUCACAAAGGCAUGCCGAGAGUGGAAGCAAGGCAAUAUAUAACUUUCUAUGAAAAAGAAGAAUCGCCCAAUGAAACAUUGCUCAAGCUCGCAAAAUAUGAUUUUAACCGAGUCCAAUUUCUACACCAGCAAGAAUUAAGCAUCCUUUCGAGGUUAAUAUUAGUUCUAAGCUUUAAGGAUGAUAGGUGCAAGGUAUUCUUCUUUUGAGAUAAACAUGUUAGAUGAUAAUUGAUUGCAAACUCUAUUAUUUGUGUUGCAGUUGGUCCAAAGACUUGAACAUAGCAUCACAACUUUCUUACGCCAGAAACAGAACGGUGGAGAUCUUUUUUUGGACAGUUGGAUUUUAUUUCGAGCCACGUUAUGCACUUGCCCGAAACAUAUUCACUAAGCUGCUGAUCAUCUUAGGAUUUAUAGAUGAUACCUAUGACGCAUAUGGUACCUUCGAAGAACUCCAAUGUUUCACAGAUGCAAUACAAAGGUACCCUUUUUAUCCUUUCCUUUUUUAUACAAGUCUUUCUUUCCAUUUGUUUCACAUAUGGAAGGUUUUUUCUUUUUUUUUCUUUCGAUGAUGUCUGAUCAAGUAAAUUCUUCAUGUUUAGGUGGGAUAUUAGUGCCCUUGAUCAGCUGCCCGCAGAUUAUUUGAAAUUUCUUUAUGGGGCACUCCUUAAUGUUUAUGAUGAAGUGGAUAGAAUGGUGAGCAUGGAUGGGAGAUGUUACAGCAUGUCUUUUACCAAAGAUGAGGUGAUCAUUCUUUCUUAUCCUCCACCUAGUUACACAAUUAUCGAUAGUUUUAUUUACAUUGAUGAGAAGCAUAUAUCUUAGAGUAAAGUUGUGUAUAUGUUACUUCCAAAGCUAUGCAUACUUAUGAUUUUUGUCCCUAUGGUUUCAAAUUUCACAUUUUUUAUUGAAGACUUCUCAUUUGACUAAAAACUCUAUGCCCAAUAAAACAUGGGACAAAAAAAACAUGCACCUUGUUAUUUCUUUGAUGCUUAAGGGCUCAAUGUACUGGAGUUGACACUGAGACUUUACCUUUUUGUGGUAAAUUAGUUGAAGAAAAUUGUUAUUUCCUACCUGGUUGAAGCUCAGUGGACGCAUGAAGGUUAUAUGCCAACAUUCGAUGAGUAUUUGGACAUUGCAUUACAUUCAAGUGCAGCCAUUCUAGUGAUUGCUGAAGUCUUGGUCGGAAUGGAAGAAGCAGAUGCCAAUGUUUUUGAAUGGUUGAGACAAGGUGACAGUAAAUCUCUUGCAGCAAUAAAAAUAAUUGGCCGUCUCUAUGAUGACAUCGCAACCAAUGAGGUAAUAUUUAUAAUUUUAUUUUCAAAGGGAAAAUAGAAAAAUAUUCUAAUUACCAUAUUCUCUCAUUCGACCAAAUAAGCUUUAUAGUUUUAGCUAACUAUAUGCCCUUUGAUAUGAUGGAAGGAUGAGGAAAAGAGAGGACUAGUUGCUUGUGGAAUCAAAUGUUAUAUGAAGCAAUAUGGCGUUUCAAAGGAAGAAGCUAUUGAAGAAUUUCGAAAAAGACUUGUCAUUGCUUGGAAUGAGCUUAAUGAAGAUCAUAUGAGGCCAACGACUGUCCCAAUGGAAAUCCUUAAUCGUGUUCGUAACAUUGCAUGUGUAAUAGAUCUUACAUACAAGGAUGAGGAUGGAUUUACCAUGUCUGAGAAAAUUUUGAAAGACCACAUUACCAAAGUGCUCAUUGAGCCCAUUCCUAUUUGAGAAAAGGCAUUCCAUGUCUGUACAAGUACGACUACAUAUUGUAUUUGCAAGUUAGGUUAGGGUUCAUUUUGGUUUGCUGCGCUACUUUUGAUCAUGAUAUAGCUCUUAAUGUUGAGGUAUUUUCUGAAUCAGGGUUGUGAUGCUUCAGUCAUCUUAACUGACAGCAAAGGUGAACGAAGCAAUUUCACUGAGAGGCAAGCUGUGCCAAAUAGGACAUUGAAAGGUUUUGACAUAAUAGAUUUGAUUAAGGAGGAGGUUGAAAAGGCUUGUCCUGGAGUAGUAUCAUGUGCUGACAUACUUGCACUUGCCACCAGAGAUGGCAUUCUUCUGGUCUGUUUAAUCUCUCUCUUCAUAGAUGUUCUUUUUCUUUCUGAAAUUCCUCUUCCAUUCAAGGGAUAUCAAGGUUCAAAAAUUGGAGGGGUCGUUUUAGUUUUGAGUAUGAUAUAUACUUGUGUUGGUGUGUAAGGCAUAGACUGGUAAAAGAGUACUUCUCUCUGCACAAUUUUAUAAAUGGAGACUCUGGUUAAAUACUCUGGGCUACUCCUCUAACUGGUUGCUCAAAAAUCAAAGUGUACAGCAAUUUAAGUUGGUUUUGUAGUAUAACUGUAAUGGGCUCUUUAACAGAUAUAGGCUUUUACAUAUAUGCUUCUUUCUCUCAGUAUUAUGCCCUUUUUGUCAUUGCCCAUAAUUAUACUUUUUCCAAAACUUCAAGAGUACUGAAACUUCAAAAUGAUUUUAGAUUUCACAUUACGCUUGAAUUAAUAUGUCAUUAGCAUGAAGACAAACAGAUGUAGAUUGGAAUUGGAUAUUGGGAGGAGGAUUAAUAUCUUUUACAAUAUUAGCAGUAAGAGUAUGAUGCUUUCACUGAUAGGGCUUUCUAUUUGGUACAUCUCAAAACUGAAUUGUGUGGACUUCGGAGACAUGCUAUUGUUCUUUGGACGUCUUUCUUUUUGUCCUUCCUUUUGUAUUCUGAAAACCAAAGAGAAAAAAAGAAGCUAAGAUUGUAGCUGAACAUGUUACCCAAUCCAGAUAACUGCGUGCGUGGUUCUCUUUGAGGAUACUCAUUCAUAUUUAUUUUCAAUGCUUAUAUCAUGAAACAAUGUUGCUUUCAGAGUUUAUCAUUAUAUAUUUGAAAGUAUGCUGGUUUCUUAAUGCGCUAUCUUCCGUUUGAAUCACAGGUUGGUGGCCCAUUUUAUCCUGUAUUCACGGGUAGAAGGGAUAGCAUUCAGUCUUACUUCAAUGAAGCAGUUGCUGAGAUUCCAAAUCCUGAUGGUAACCUCUCGGAGACACUUUUCCUCUUUGGCCUUAAAGGUUUUGAUGAAAGAGAGACAGUCAGUCUUUUAGGUAUAUACCUGGAAUUUUUGUCCCCUUGCCUUAUCUCCCUCUAUAUGGUCCUUGAAAAGUGAAACUUAAGAUGUCAUAAUGGUUCUUUCUGAUUAUCUGAAGGGGCACAUAAUAUUGGAAAAAUUAGCUGUGAGUUUAUUCAGAAUCGCCUCUACAAUUUCUUAGGGACUGGACAGCCAGACCCAAGCGUUCCAUUGGAUUUUCUCAAUGAAAUGAGAAUAAAUUGUCAAGAAAUUCGUGACAGCAGCAAUGGUAUGUCUCCUACUGCCACAAAUCCAUGUAUCUCGGAAAGUACUGUCUUCCAAGGACUAACUUCAAUUUCCUCCGGAGCUGGUUUUGACAAUCACUUUUAUCAGAACUUGGUAAGGGGUAGAGGACUCCUCUUUUCUGAUCAACAACUAAUGGCUGAUGAGAAGACUGCUAGAUAUGUAAGGGAUUAUGCCUUUGGUAAUGGAUCAGCCUUUAGAACAGACUUUGCCAGGGAUAUGGUAAAGAUAUCUGUACUCGAUGUAUUGACAGGAUUCCAAGGUCAGGUCCGAACUAACUGUUCCCUGCCUCUCUAUGGCUCUUAAACAACAGUCUCCUAACCAGGUUGUGCAUUUUGAGAUUCUCCAAUUCUUUACUAGUUUAAUGUACUACUAUCUCGAGGAGUUGUACAAUUGAUGAAAAACUUUUUGCUUCAAUACCUUCAACUACUAUUAAACCCAAUUGUGGAGCAAUAAUCAAGUUGAGGAUGACAUUUUGAUCUGUUUGUAAGUUUGAUCAGGAGAAUUCUGGAUAAGUAAUAUCUGUAGUGUACGAGCAUGAUUUCACUUCAUCAUUUUUGCCUGGUAUUUGGAAACUAUUCUGUGUGAGUGUGAAGCAUUAAUUUGCAAAUUCCUAGCUGUCAUGGUAAUCACUCACAGGCUUCCUAGAUGUCGGAUUAUUAUCAUCUGUCUGUGUAAAGACUGUUGUCUCUAGAAAUGCAACGAAGAUUCUGUCAACCCUUUUGGUUGUUGAAAAUGGGAAUGUCAGAACAUAAAAUCUUUUAGUUAUCAUAAUCGUCAUCUUCUUCUUCUUUGUUUUACAUGCAAAAGUUUUGUGUUCAUGCUUGUCUCAUAUUUUAAUCUGUCAUGAGCAGGACUACAAACUCCAUGUAGUCUUGCAUAUUCGAAUAAUGGUGUGCUUAAUUUGGUUUAGCAAAAUGAAUUUCACUGCCAGAUCAAAUCAAGUCAACAUAAAGAUGGAAGCUAAAACCACUAGGGAAUGGGGCACAACAGACAGUGCACAAAUGCAGGUUCUGAUACAUAGAUGAACUAGAUUUUUAGUGCGUACUCUAAUUUGCAAAAACUUGCCCCAUUCUUCUUUUCAAGCAAAGUUCCUUUUUUCGCUUAAAGCAUGUCGCAAUUAUUAUUCUGAAGUCACAGAUGAUGCGGUAUGGAAACUAAGCACAGAUCUUUUCUUUGCAAUGAAGCACGGAAAUGUUCAGUCAUGUCUAAAUCUUCAGGCUUCUUUCCAUUAGGAAGCUUCCAAUCAAAAUGGUAGAGCAGAUUUGCAAGUAUAAGCUCUACAAUUGCAAUACCAUACGUUAUACCAGGACACAUCCUCCUUCCAGCACCAAAUGGAAUAAAUUCAAAGUCUCCUCCCUUAUAAUUAAUUGAACUAUCACAAAAUCUCUCAGGAUAAAACUUCUCAGCGUCAGUCCAGUUAUUUUGAUUUUGUCCUAUUGCCCAUGCAUUAAUUAUG
rnacentral:lncRNA from 1 species